UUUUUUUUUUUUUAAGAGGACCCCUUUACUACUUUAAUUACAAAUAUAUCCCUGCAAUUUUAUUUUUGUCCUUAGCCCUAGAGCACAUUAGAUCUUGAUCUUCUCUCUCUGAAUGAUUCGUAACUGUUUUUUUUUUUAAUAUAAAUUUUAUCAACAUAAUUUUCUUUUGUGUCCUAUAAUAUUUUCAUUUUAGUUUGAGUUUCGUCUUAUAGUUAAAUCAUUCGAGCACUUUUCACAAUACGAACAACCUUAAUUUAGAUAAUGUUCUUUUAUUUAUAUUUCUCAACUGAAUUUUAUAGGAUCUUGGCUUUCUCUCUAAUGAGAAUUUAACAAUCACCCUCAAAUAAGAUUUUUAAAAUUCAAUACACUUUCUUGUGUGAAUUAUAAUAGUUUAUAUUUGAGUUUAGAUUAUUUCUCAAAAUCUAAAAUCAUUAAAGUAUUUUUUUUUUCUAUAGAUAACUAAAAUACAAACGAAAUCCCUUAUUCUUACGGCACUGAAAUGAAUUGGGACUUGAGAGAAUAACUUUUUUUUAAAAAAAACCUUAUACAAUAAUUUGUGAGGUCAAAUUUGUAGAAAUGAAAAAUGUGGGGUUUUACAAGAUUUUUAAAUGGGUGUUAACAGCUGAACCCCACUUUGAAUCAAUGUGCAGCCCAAACCCUUUGCCGGUGAAAUGCCGUGGCUCUUCUUUCAUCCUACUUUUUCAUUAUUCAUCUAUGGUUCUACUUAGUAAUCCGUUUCAAUGGUUCUUUUCUUUUUAUACGGAAACGAGAAAUAUCAUAAAAUUAUAAUUAUAAAUUAUUUAGUGUUAAGUGUUAAGUGAAACCAAAAAAAAAAAAAAAAAGUAUUUAAAGCAAAUAAAUAACUAAAAUUAAAUCAUCUCAUUUGUCAAAAAGAAAAGCAGGAUAGAGCUUUAUAUUCUCAAACUAUGCAAUCAUGUAACGGUCCACAUACAAUGGUAAUAAGUAAGUUAGGGACUUAUGAGUGCUUUUAAGUUAAAUUAUAUGUAAUUUACGUUAACCUAAAAAUAGUUUUUUAUGACCUCUUAAUUGUUUGUUAUGUAACAAUUAAGUUAUAAAAAAAAAUGAUUUUGAUUUAAUGCAACUUAGAAAGACACGUUGUUUAAAUCUUCAUUUUGCUUUAUUUCAAAAUCCAAUGCGCUAUUUAAAAUAAUAAUUUUGUGGUACGCUAAAGAACUUCGGAUGCUACUUUAAACUUUUUUUUUUUCCAAAUUUUAAAUCUAUUGUGUUUCCCCUCCAAUCCAUAAUCCUUCAUCUAGACUCAUCAAUCUAUUUACUAGUUUUAUCUAUAUCUUUAUGAGUUUUCCAAUUAUUUUUUAACUUUUUCCUUUUUCCUUUUUCUUUUUACUUCAUAUAUAUAUAUAUAUAUAUAUAUAGAAAUUAAUGAGAUAGCUGUUCCGGCAACCUUUCUGCAUAUUAUAAAAUCGGUACAACUUAAUUCCUCUAUGAUAAAAUUGGUCUAAAGUAGUGGAUUCCCCUUACUGCAACUUUUUUACUUUUUUCAUUAAGUUUUUUUUAUAAAAAAAAUUACUCUUAAUUGUACUUGCCAUGUCAUCUUCAGCAAAUGUGUAACUAUCACUAUGCAUGUACCUAUCUAUAUAUAUGUAUAAAUCCUGGCGUGUAUCGCACAGCAAUCGUCACACUCUUAAGUCCCUAAGAGUAACGGACAGCCACGUCACAUAGCUGCCAAAAAUGCAGGAAGUGCUCGCCAGAAGCAAGGGCCGAAUGUUGUCAGCAACGGACGACAGUGCAAUGAUGAAGCAAGUUCAGGCGAGUCAUGCUCCGGAUGGCCGAGAAGUUGAUGUUAGACCAAUUCUCAGUAUCAUUGAAGAUAUUUUUCGUCGUGCCACUCCUAGUACUAUCGAUGGAGUAGUAAGUGUAAAAUUUUGAUUGUGCCAUUCAAUUCAUUAGCUUUGUGUAUGAUAAUAUGCAUAUAAAUUGGUGGCAAUUCUCGUAGGGCACGAGUGAACAUGUGGACGCAUUGGAUAAAAAUGCAAGCCCGGCUGCUCUCAGUGGCAUGCUUGACGUAUUGUCUUGUGAUAUACGCAAAAUCUCUUGUGAGGUGAUUUUUUAUUUCCUGAUCCUUUUGAAUGUAUUGGACAUAUACCAUUGCUUCUUGACCUUAAACUUUUAAUUGUUAUCCCGCUGCAGUGCUUUGUGUGCUAAAACUGCUUUAUAACUUAAGCAAGGAAAGCCAAAGAUCUCAAAUAAUCUAAUAUCGGUUUUAAUUUGUAUGCACGUACUUGCAGAUAUCGUGCAAGUGCUCGGGAGGAGAAGAGGCACAUGCCACAACCAUGGACUUAUUCAACAUUCUUUCGGUCUACUCAUGGGAUGCAAAAAUGGUGCUAUCCUUAGCAGCUUUUGCUUUGAAUUAUGGGCAAUUUUGGCUUGGCGCCCAGCUCUGUAAUAAAAACUCACUUGCCAAGUCUAUGGCUGUACUUAAGCAACUGCCAAACGUUUUAGAGCAUUUUAACGCUUUAAAACCCCAACUUGAUGCACUCAUCGAGGUCAUGUUGGAUUUAACCAAGUGCAUUGUUGAGUUCAAGCAGCUACCUUCUCAGUAUAUUUCAACUGACGCGCAAGCGAUGUCCACAGCCAUGGCUGAUACCCCGGCAGCUGCAUAUUGGACCUUUCGAAGCAUUGUAGCCUGCCAUUCACAGAUUUUAAGCCUCGCGGGCUUGAGAGAUGCGUAAGCCAUCUAAGAACACAAAUUAAUUGCCAUUCAAAUAUAAAGAUUAAAUGUCAAAUAGCAAAUCUGUCACUAAUAUUUCAGGUACACUGCAUCAAACACUGACGCAUGGGAACUAGCAACCUUGGCUCAUAGAGUCAGCAGGAUACUCGAGCACUUCAAGAAGCUAAUUGCUAUUUGCUAUCAACAAAUUGGUGAGCCCUUAAGAAUGUACAUUUAGGUGGUUUGAUCUCUGCCCUUUUCGAGAGUUUUCAGCAAAUAAUGUUUUUUUUUUCCCUCUGAUCCUUACCAUGGAUGCAGAUGAUAAUAGACAAAUAGAAGCAUAUCACAAUCUCGUGCGCCUUCUUGAAACAAUUCACAUGGACAACAUGAAGGUUCUGAGAGCAUUGAUUUACGCUAAGGAUGAUAUUCAACCUGUUGUGGAUGGUUUCAGCAGGACCAGGGUUUGUUGUUUCCAAAUUCCUUUCUAUGCAUUUUUCCGGCUAGAAGCUCCGUCACUGCAUUUGAAACGCUAGCCUUCUGUUUAUGCGAACAGGUUAAUAUCGACGUUUUGAGAAGAAAGCAUGUGCUGCUACUCAUAUCGAGCCUUGAUCUCUCCGCCGAAGAAAUUUUGGUUCUUGAUCAGAUGUAUAGAGACCCCAAAGCAAGCGAAGAGUAUCACUACGCAAUCGUGUGGCUUCCAAUUGUGGACAGGUCAAUUGCUUGGGAUGACGGGUAUCAACAAAAAUUUGAGCAGCUACAAGCAAUGAUGCCAUGGUACACUGUCCAACAUCCUACGAUUAUUGAACCUGCAGUCGUUAAGUAUAUCAAAGAAGUGUGGAAGUUUUCAAAGAAGGCGAUCCUAGUGCCAGUGGAUCCACAAGGGAGGAUUUUGAACCAAAACGCUUUUCACAUGUUGUGGAUUCUUAUAUAUAUAUAUAUAUAUAUAUAGAAAUUAAUGAGAUAGCUGUUCCGGCAACCUUUCUGCAUAUUAUAAAAUCGGUACAACUUAAUUCCUCUAUGAUAAAAUUGGUCUAAAGUAGUGGAUUCCCCUUACUGCAACUUUUUUACUUUUUUCAUUAAGUUUUUUUUAUAAAAAAAAUUACUCUUAAUUGUACUUGCCAUGUCAUCUUCAGCAAAUGUGUAACUAUCACUAUGCAUGUACCUAUCUAUAUAUAUGUAUAAAUCCUGGCGUGUAUCGCACAGCAAUCGUCACACUCUUAAGUCCCUAAGAGUAACGGACAGCCACGUCACAUAGCUGCCAAAAAUGCAGGAAGUGCUCGCCAGAAGCAAGGGCCGAAUGUUGUCAGCAACGGACGACAGUGCAAUGAUGAAGCAAGUUCAGGCGAGUCAUGCUCCGGAUGGCCGAGAAGUUGAUGUUAGACCAAUUCUCAGUAUCAUUGAAGAUAUUUUUCGUCGUGCCACUCCUAGUACUAUCGAUGGAGUAGUAAGUGUAAAAUUUUGAUUGUGCCAUUCAAUUCAUUAGCUUUGUGUAUGAUAAUAUGCAUAUAAAUUGGUGGCAAUUCUCGUAGGGCACGAGUGAACAUGUGGACGCAUUGGAUAAAAAUGCAAGCCCGGCUGCUCUCAGUGGCAUGCUUGACGUAUUGUCUUGUGAUAUACGCAAAAUCUCUUGUGAGGUGAUUUUUUAUUUCCUGAUCCUUUUGAAUGUAUUGGACAUAUACCAUUGCUUCUUGACCUUAAACUUUUAAUUGUUAUCCCGCUGCAGUGCUUUGUGUGCUAAAACUGCUUUAUAACUUAAGCAAGGAAAGCCAAAGAUCUCAAAUAAUCUAAUAUCGGUUUUAAUUUGUAUGCACGUACUUGCAGAUAUCGUGCAAGUGCUCGGGAGGAGAAGAGGCACAUGCCACAACCAUGGACUUAUUCAACAUUCUUUCGGUCUACUCAUGGGAUGCAAAAAUGGUGCUAUCCUUAGCAGCUUUUGCUUUGAAUUAUGGGCAAUUUUGGCUUGGCGCCCAGCUCUGUAAUAAAAACUCACUUGCCAAGUCUAUGGCUGUACUUAAGCAACUGCCAAACGUUUUAGAGCAUUUUAACGCUUUAAAACCCCAACUUGAUGCACUCAUCGAGGUCAUGUUGGAUUUAACCAAGUGCAUUGUUGAGUUCAAGCAGCUACCUUCUCAGUAUAUUUCAACUGACGCGCAAGCGAUGUCCACAGCCAUGGCUGAUACCCCGGCAGCUGCAUAUUGGACCUUUCGAAGCAUUGUAGCCUGCCAUUCACAGAUUUUAAGCCUCGCGGGCUUGAGAGAUGCGUAAGCCAUCUAAGAACACAAAUUAAUUGCCAUUCAAAUAUAAAGAUUAAAUGUCAAAUAGCAAAUCUGUCACUAAUAUUUCAGGUACACUGCAUCAAACACUGACGCAUGGGAACUAGCAACCUUGGCUCAUAGAGUCAGCAGGAUACUCGAGCACUUCAAGAAGCUAAUUGCUAUUUGCUAUCAACAAAUUGGUGAGCCCUUAAGAAUGUACAUUUAGGUGGUUUGAUCUCUGCCCUUUUCGAGAGUAUUCAGCAAAUAAUGUUUUUUUGUUUUUUUUGGCCCUCGGAUCCUAACCAUGGAUGCAGAUGAGAAUAGACAAAUAGAAGCAUAUCACAAUCUCGUGCGCCUUCUUGAAACAAUUCACAUGGACAACAUGAAGGUUCUGAGAGCAUUGAUUUACGCUAAGGAUGAUAUUCAACCUGUUGUGGAUGGUUUCAGCAGGACCAGGGUUUGUUGUUUCCAAAUUCCUUUCUAUGCAUUUUUCCGGCUAGAAGCUCCGUCACUGCAUUUGAAACGCUAGCCUUCUGUUUAUGCGAACAGGUUAAUAUCGACGUUUUGAGAAGAAAGCAUGUGCUGCUACUCAUAUCGAGCCUUGAUCUCUCCGCCGAAGAAAUUUUGGUUCUUGAUCAGUUGUACACAGGGCACAAAGCACAAGGAGAGUUUGACUAUGCAAUCGUGUGGCUUCCAAUUUUGGACAGGUCAACUGCCUGGGAUGAGGGUUAUCGACAAAAAUUUGAGCAGCUACAAGCAAUGAUGCCAUGGUACACCGUCCAACAUCCUACGAUCAUUGAACCUGCAGUCGUUAAGUACGUCAAAGAAGUGUGGAAGUUUUCAAAGAAGACGAUCCUAGUGCCAGUGGAUCCACAAGGGAGGAUUUUGAACCAAAACGCUUUUCACAUGUUGUGGAUAUGGGGAAAUUUGGCCUUCCCUUUCAGUGCUGAAAAGGAAGCAGCGCUUUGGAAGGCAGAGUCUUGGAGACUUGAGCUACUUAUUGAUGACAUUGAUAGCACCGUACUUGAAUGGGUACCUUAAUAUUUCAAUCAAGUUAAUUGAAUAGAAUUAGUAUGUCAAUGUGAUAUUAACACUAAAUACUCCUAAUACUGAAAUCUCAUGUAUUUUUAUCAGAUGAAAGACGAGAGAUUCAUAUGCUUGUACGGGGGUGAAGAUAUCGAGUGGAUCAGACGAUUCACAACCUCAGCAAAAGCUGUAGCAAGAGCAGCUCAAAUUAACUUGGGAAUGGCUUAUGUUGGAAAGAACAAUGCAAAGGAGAGAUUCAGAAAAAUCAGCCGCAUCGUCAUUCAGGAAAAUCUAAGUCAUACCCUGACUGAUCCCGCAGAAGUGUGGUUUUUUUGGGCACGAUUGGAGAGCAUGCUCUACUCAAAACUGCAACAUGGCGCGACCGUUGAAAACGAUCACAUCAUGCAAGAGGUGAUGACAAUACUUAGUUUUGAUGGCAGUGAACAAGGAUGGGCAAUAUUUUGGAGAGGAACGACGCAUGAAAUGGCAAGAGCUAAAGGCGAGAUGGCUGUCGAUUGCAUGAUGGAGUUUGAAAAAUGGAAAGAUGAUGCUGAUCAAAUGGGUUUUGUGGCUGGACUCAACAAUUAUCUGCAACGAGUUCACACCCCACGUCAUUGCAAUCGUCUCAUCCUUCCCGACAUCCAUGGGCCAAUUCCAGAGAGGUUGGCCUGUGCAGAAUGUGGCCGCACCAUGGAGAUGUUCUUCAUGUACCGCUGCUGCCCCGAAUGAGCAAAAAUAUCAUACCUUAGCUUGAAUUACAAUAAGGUUUCCACUUGAGUUUUAUCUCAAGUAGUAACAAAAAUUGUGCGAUUGAAUUGCUUGGUUUUGUGUUCUUACUGGUUUUGAGGUUUUGUUUCCCUGAAAUGCUUAGGAUCUGUGGCCUUUUUCAUUAUCUUGGGCACUUAAAAAGAGUCUAGGAUUUUUAAGUGUUAUUGUUAGUAACAAUAGUAUUGUGCCUUAGAUUUCCAUAUUUUGGUUUGUUAUUAUCCGUUAGAUCCAACUUGAAACAGAACACGAAACAGACUAUGCAAUAUGUUAACGUGACCAAAGUUUGUUAAGAAUGUUCCUCCUCACAUAAAAUUCUCAUAAAUAAGUUGUUUGUUGGCGAUAAGUAGUCAUAAAAUCAAAUUAUAUAAAAAAAUUGAGGACCAAUAUAAAAUACAAACAAGAAAACAUAAAAGAUAUUAAAAUUUUACUAUCAUAUAUAUGAUGAGUGUGUGAAUAUUUGUGUAAUUUUUUUAAAUACAUUUUUGAACCUAAAUCUUAUUUAUUUUAAUUAAUUCAACAUCGACAAAUUUAUAAUUUAAUUAAACUAAAAAUAAAAUGUCUUCUUGUCCCACUUGUUUUUUAGUGGCUCCGUCACUGAUUACUGGUUUUUAACUUAUACCUGGUUAACUUGAAACAACCUUAAGGGAAACACACUUUCAGAUAUUGUCCCAAAGCUUUGUGCUCCGCCGGCGCCCGCGGUGGCCUGACAGUUUAUAUUAUAUAUUUGCUCUUCGUGCUUAUUAAAUAGCCGUGAAACAAAAAAAUAAAAUAAAAUUCUGAUUUGAUGAUUUCUUGUUUGAACGCAAUAUUGGCUUGCCGCUUGCAUUGCAUCAUUACAGUCACAAACUCUUGUACAAACUUAUUUUGUACAAACUGAUGUGGCAUGAUAAGAUGGGUUGAAUUAAAUACCACUUGGCCUACAUGAUUUGUUUUUAUUAAUUUAUAUUUUUAUUCAACCAAUGAAUUAAUGCCACGUCAGUUUGUACAAAAUAAGUUUGUACAAGAAUUUGUGGUUGUAUCAUUACUCAUAAUAAAAUAUUCAUUAUCAAAAUUGACCGUCGUUAUUACCGAUCACUUACUGUAUUAACCUAGUUUUUAAAAAAAAAAAAUUUAAAAAAAAGUUAAUUAAACUCUAAUUUAAUUAAACUAUUUGGGACUAUUCAUUAUAAUUUAAUUAAACUAUUGACCAAGUAAACGGUUAAGGUCGUAUUGAAAUUGAAUGAUGUAAACCAUUUGGAACUUCCAUCUCUUUUCCCACAAUAAAAGCCAAAGGGAUUUCUAAUUUCUUUAACGGCGGCUCAAAAAGACACAUUUUACGAAAAAAAAAAACCAAAAACUGAGAACCGUCGGGGGCUUGAUAUAAGAGUUUUAAAUAUUCAACUCAAAAUACUAAUUUAUUAGGUGGAGUGAUUUAUUCUCUUUAUAAAUUUAAGUAUUUUUAUUUUACUAGUUAAUGUGAGACACAAAUCCACAAUUUUUUUUCUUGGACAAAACUAUCGCCGAACCCCGUCAUUUCAUCCAACACACAUGAGUUAUUUCAUCACUAUAUUUCGACUACUAGUGUCUAGCUCUGAUACCAAUUGUUAUGUGGGCUUGACCUAAGAUUUUUAAAUAUCCAACCUAAAAGACUAGUUUAUUGGGUGGAAUGAUCUAUUCUACUUAUAAAUCCAAAUAUCUCUCAUUUACUAGCUAAUAUAAUACACAACUCAACAAGAACAUUGAAACAUUUUCAAGAUAACAAAAAUACAGCCUUUAAUAAGUCCAGUGUAAGUGAAUAAUUCAAAGAACAUAGCAUUGACUUUUCCAGAAAGCGAGCCAAAGCUAUGUCCAGAACUCAAGUGUAAUUAAAAUGCAGAAUUGCAUAUCUCUAUUCCUUCUACUUUUUCAAAGGAGUAUUGAUGCAGAGCAAGAAAUUGAAGAAAUCUUAAUUAGAUUUAAAUUUAUAAUAUUUAGGAAUAUUUUAAUUAAUUUGUAUUCUAGUUUAAUUUAGUUUCUUAUUUAGAGUAUUAUUGUUUAGGUGUUACUUAUUUGAGUAAUAUUCCUAAUUUAGGUAUAAGUCUUAUUAAAAUAACUUUUCUAAUCAAAUUAGGAUAAGUCUCUUAGUUAGUAUAAAUAAAUGUCUUUUGUAUCUUUUGGAGUAGAAUUUUGAGUUCACUAAUAUUUUAAUUUUCAAAUCUCUUUGUGAGUAUUUUAACAGUUAAUUCUCGGUAUUCUGCGAAAUCAACGAGUCUUAACCCCUAAGUUCGCGGUAUUCUUUUGAAUCAACGCGAAUUUAGUUAUUCUUUUAUUUCGGUAUUCUUUAAAAUCAACGGAAUAUUUUAAACAUUAAACUUCCACUGCAUCAAAUAUCAAUUAUAAGAAUAUCUCAGAGAAACAAAUAUUGCCUCUGCACAUUACAAGCACCACAAAUUCAACAACCCAACAGUAAGCAUUCGUACGGUGAAAUUGAAUUUCAGAUUUCCAACGGUGCCCAAAUAAAUAGCCGAAUUAAAAUUACAAUGAUGGUCUAUAAAAAAAACGAAGUCAUCAUUUGCCAGGCAAUUAAACAACCAUCGUCUAGAAAUAAAUGGAAAAUUCGCAAAAAAAAAAAAAGCCAAAAAACAAAGCUAAAUUUUUUUAUAUUUUUGUUUUCCCACAAUGCAAACGGAGGACCCACGUAACUAGGCAAUAUCAAUUACAAUAUAUAAAAAAUAUAGAUCAAACUCAAAAUUAAUAACCAUAUAAAGUCUACGAGAACAGUAAAACUUCAUAAUGAAACAAAGAACAAAAUGUUGCUUGGUUGGCAUUUGGUGCUUUCCCACUUGGAUUUUAUUUGGGCCGGGCUUUGCUUCAUGGUUGGAUCACUUUGAAGAGUGAUUUCUAUUUCCACUCCUCAAAAACCCUUAUCAAACCCCAUUUCUAUUUUAAUUACUAAAAUAACUUUUCUUUUUUUUUUUAAAAAAGAAAUUUAUGGGCCAUUUGCUCUCCCCUCCAAGUAAGCGUUUGUCGGCCCUAGAGCAGAAUCAAUCUUGAAUUUCUUUCUCUCAUUGAUCUUAAUUUUUUUUUUUGUCUAUAAAUUUUAUCGAAGUAAUUUUCUUUUGUGUCCCUUAAUAUUUUCAUUUAAGUUUGGAUUAAAUCAUUUGAGCACUUUCGAUAAUACAAACAACCUUGAUUCAGAUCAUUUUAUUUUAUUUAUAUUUCUCAACAAAAUUUCAUACGCCUCGACUUUCUCUCUCUAAAAAAAAAGUUAACGUUCACCCUUAAAUAAAAAGUUUUAAGAUUAAAUAAACUUUCUUGUGUGAAUUAUAGUAGUUUAUAUUUAAGUUUAGAUUAUUUCUCAAAUCUAAAAUAAUUUAAGUACUUUUUUUUACAGAUAACUAAAAUAGAAACGAAAUCCCUAUUUUUAUGGUAUUGAAGAAUGAAGAGAGUUUUGAAAAGAAAAAUAAAAAAAAUGGUGUUUUAUAAGAUAUUCAAAUGGGUGUCAAAAGCUCCACUCCAGUUCGAUUAUAUGAUGCAGCCCAAACCCAUUGGCCAUUGCCAGUAAAAUGCCGUAGCCAAUUCACCCUACUCUUUCAUCAUUCAUCUAUGGUUAAUCCGUUUCAACGAUUCUUUUCUUUUUAUACGGAAAUGAGAAAUAUCAUAAAAUUGUAAAUAUAAAUAUUUAGUGUUUGUAAUUAUAAAUAUUUAGUGUUAAGCAAAACAAUAAAUAUAUUUUAAGCAAAUAAAUAACUAUAAUUAAAUCAUCUCAUUUGCCAAAAAGAAAAGCAGGAUAGAGUUUUAUAUUCUCAAACUAUGCUAUCAUGUAAUUGUCCUUGUCCACACGCAAUGGUGAUAACUAAGUUAGGGGCUUAUGGGUCCUUUAAGUUAUAUUAUAUGUAAUUGAUAGUUAAACUAAAAAUAGUUUUUUAUGACCUCUUAAUUGUUUCAUAAGUAACAAUUAAGUUAUAAAAAAAAUGAUUUUGAUUUAAUAAAACUUAGUAAGACAUGCUGUUUACAUUUCACUUUGUAUUAUUUUAAAAUCCAUUGUGCUUUUUUUUAUAAAAAAAAAAAAAAAAAAUUCCGUGGUAUGCUAAAGAACUUCGGAUGCUCCUUUGAUUUUUUUUUUUAAAAAUCUAUUGUUUUUCCCCUCCGAUCCAUAACCCUUUUCCUUUUCCCUUUUUCUUUUUACUUUAAAAAUAUAAAGAAAUUUAUGAAAUACCUCCACCCGCAACCUUUCUCCAUCUUAUAUUACUAAUAUAGAUCACAUGGCAUUUUAACCAUAUUAUAAAAUCGGUACAUUUUAAUUCCUCUAUGAUAAAAUUUGUCUAAAGUGGUGGAUUCCCCCUACUGCAACUUUUUAAUUUUUCAUUAAUUUUUUUUAAAAAAAUACUCUUUUGUAUACUUCGUAGGGAUGGCAAUGGGGCAUAUAUGGGUUGGAUCUACUCUGCUCCAGAUCCAGAUCCGUCAUAAAAAUCAAGAUCCGUAUCUGCUCCAGAUCCGUCAUAAAUGCAUAUUUUUCGCUCCAUAUCCAGAUCCAAAAAAGAAAUAAAUAUCUAUAUCUGCUCCAAAUCCGAAAAAAAUAAUUAAAUCCAAAUAUACUCUAGAUACGUCAUGAAUUCUAAAAUUCAGCAAUAAAAAAGUAAUAAUUUUUUAGAAUGAAAAUUAUUUUAUUAUUUUUAUUAUUUUCUUAAAAAGAAAUAAAUAUUUUAUUAUUUUUAUUAUGGCCCUAUUUGACUAAAUAUAUGAAUAACUAUAUUCUUUAAAAAUUAUUUGGCCAAUAUAGUAAAAUAAAUUGCCAAGUUGUAUUACUUGGUUUGCAAUUUGAAUAUUUCAGAUACAUGCUUUGGGGCUGACUGACCUUUAAAUUUACAAAACUAACUUUUAAGUUUUAAGAGUUUAAAUGUAUGGUAAAUACCACUAAUAUGCUAUGAAUAAAAUUUAUUAUCAUUAUAAUUCUACAAUUGUUAAGAGACUUUUAAAAUAAAAUAAAAUAAAAAGAUGAGUGGAUAUGGAUAUGGAUUUAGAUAUUAGGAUAAAUCCAGACCUACUCCAGAUCCGUACAUCAAUAUCCAAAUCCGAUCCAAAUUCAUUUUAAACCGACCCAAAUCCGAUCCGAUUGAAUUUAGAUCACGUGGAUCUUAGAUCAAAUCCAAUCCAUUGUCAUUUCUGAUACUUCGCAUGUCAUCCUCAGCAAAUGUCUAACAUAAUUACUGGCUGUGUAUAUUAAUAUACAUACACACAAACCCCAAAGCAGGGCCUGUUAAAUAAUUACAUAAAUUAAUCUACCACUAUUCGACAGUCUGUCUACUACAAGCUAGGUCCCUUGCUAUCAUUAACCUCCUUGGGCCACCAUUGCUUUGUAUUUUAACUUGCACAUUAAAAUUUCCAUUAUUCGAUGACGUCCAUUAACUUUGUCUAAACUCUAACGCAAGCAAGGAACCUGUUCAUUUUUUUAAUUUAUUCCAUCCCCUUAUCACUAUGCAUGUAUAUGUAUAAAUCCUGGCAUGUAUCACACAGCAAUUGUCACACUCUUUAAGUCACUAAGAGUAAGGGACAGCCACAUCACAUAGCCGCCAAAUAUGCAGGAACUGUUCACUAGAAGCCAGCGCCGAAUGUUCUCGGCAUCGGACGACAGUGCAAUGAUGAAGCAAGUUCAGGCAACUCAUGCUCCGGAUGGCCGGGAAGUUGACGUUACACCUAUUCUCAGCAUCAUUGAAGAUAUUUUUCGUCGUGCCACUCCUAGUGAUAUUGAUGGAGUAUUAAAUGUAAAAUUUUAAUUAUGCCUUUCAAUUCACCAGCUUUAUGUAUGACAGAUAAUUUGCAUAUAAAUUGGUGGCAAUUUUCGUAGGGCGCACGUGAACAUAUGGAUGCAUUGGAUGAUAAUAUAAGCCUGGAUGCUUUCAGUGGCAUGCUUGAAGCAUUGUCUUACACGAUACACAAAAUCUCUUGUGAGGUAAUUUCUGAUUUCUUGAUCCUUUUGAAUGUAUUGGACAUGUACCAUUGUUUCUUGACCUUAAACUUUUAAUUGUAAUCCCGCUGCAGUUCUUUGUGUGCUAAAAGCUUAUACGGCUUUAUAACUUUAAGCAACAAAAGCCAUAGAUCUCGAGUAAUCUAAUAUCGUAACUCCACCUUGAAUUCUUGCCUUAAAAUGUUUUUAAAAAAUACGUACGGAUCAGUUCUGACUUGUGUGCAUGUACUUGCAGAUAUCGUGCAAGUGCUCGGAAGGAGGAGAUGCACAUGCCACAACCAUGGCCUUAUUCAACACUCUUUCGGGCUACUCAUGGGAUGCCAAAAUGGUGCUAUCCUUAGCAGCUUUUGCUGUGAAUUAUGGGGAAUUUUGGCUUGGCGCUCAGCUCUGUACUAAUAACUCACUUGCCAAGUCUGUGGCUGUGCUUAAGCAAGUGUCAAACGUUUUAGAGCAUUAUAACGCUUUAAAACCCCAAUUUGAUGCACUCAACAGUCUCAUCAAGGUCAUGUUGGAUUUAACCAAGUGCAUUGUUGAGUUCAAGCAGCUACCUUCUCAGUAUAUUUCAACUGACGCACAAGCGGUGUCCAUAGCCAUGGCUCAUAUCCCUGCAGCUGCAUAUUGGACCUUUCGAAGCAUUGUAGCCUGCUAUUCACAGACUUUAAGCCUCACAGGCUUGAGAGAUGCGUAAGCCAUCUAAGAACACAAAUUAAUCGCCAUUCAAAUAUAAAGAUUAAAUGUCAAAUAGCAAAUCUGUCACUAAUAUUUCAGGUACACUGCAUCAACCACCGAGGCAUGGGAACUAUCAAGCUUGGCUCAUAAGGUCAGCAGUAUGCUCGAGCACUUCAAGAAGCUAAUUGCUAUUUGCUAUCAACAAAUCGGUGAGCCCUUAAGAAUGUACAUUUAGGUGGUUUGAUCUCUGCCCUUUUCGAGAGUUUUCAGCAAAUAAUGUUUUUUUUCCCCCCCUCUGAUCCUUACCAUGGAUGCAGAUGAGAAUAGACAAAUAGAAGCAUAUCACAAUCUCGUGCGCCUUCUCGAAACAAUUCACCUGGACAACAUGAAGGUUCUGAGAGCAUUGAUUUAUGCUAAGGAUGAUAUUCAACCACUUGUUGAUGGUUUCACCAAGAACAGGGUUUGUUGCCAAAUUCCUUUCCAUGCAUUUUCCUGGCUAGAAACACCGUCAAACGCUAGACUUACUGUUUAUGCGAACAGGUUAAUAUCGACGUUUUGAGAAAAAAGCACGUGUUGCUACUCAUAUCGAGCCUUGAUCUCUCCGCCGAAGAAAUUUUGGUUCUUGAUCAGAUGUAUAGAGACCCCAAAGCAAGCGAAGAGUAUCACUACGCAAUCGUGUGGCUUCCAAUUGUGGACAGGUCAAUUGCUUGGGAUGACGGGUAUCAACAAAAAUUUGAGCAGCUACAAGCAAUGAUGCCAUGGUACACUGUCCAACAUCCUACGAUUAUUGAACCUGCAGUCGUUAAGUAUAUCAAAGAAGUGUGGAAGUUUUCAAAGAAGGCGAUCCUAGUGCCAGUGGAUCCACAAGGGAGGAUUUUGAACCAAAACGCUUUUCACAUGUUGUGGAUAUGGAAGAAUUUGGCCUUCCCUUUCACUGCUGAAAGGGAAGCAGCACUUUGGAAGGCAGAGUCUUGGAGACUUGAGCUACUUGUUGACGGCAUUGAUGCCACCAUACUUGAAUGGGUACCUUAAUAUUUCAAUCAAGUUAAUUGAAUAGAAUUUGUACGUCAAGGUGAUAUUAACACUAAAUGCUCCUAAUACUGACAUCUAAUGUAUUUUUAUCAGAUGAAAGAAGAGAGAUUCGUAUGCUUGUAUGGAGGUGAAGAUAUCGAGUGGAUCAGACAAUUCACAAACUCAGCAAAAGCUGUAGCAAGAGCAGCUCAAAUUAACUUGGGGAUGGCUUAUGUUGGAAAGAACAAUGCAAAGGAGAAAUUGGGAAAAAUCAGCAGCAUCAUCAUUCAGGAAAAUUUAAGUCAUACCCUGGCUGAUUCGACGGCAGUGUGGUUCUUCUGGGCACGAUUGGAGAGCAUGCUCUACUCAAAACUACAACAUGGCGCGACUGUUGAAAACGAUCGCAUAUUGAAAGAAGUGACGACAGUACUUAGUUUUGAUGGCAGUGAACAAGGAUGGGCAAUAUUUUGGAGAGGAACGACGCAUGAAAUGGCAAGAGCUAAAGGCAAGGUGGCUACAGAUUGCAUGGUGGAGUUUGAAAAAUGGAAAGAUGAUGCGUAUCAAAAUGGUUUUGUGCCAGGACUCCACAAUUAUCUGGAACGAGUUCGCACCCCAGAUCAUUGCAAUCGUCUCAUCCUUCCCGGCACCCAUGGGCCAAUUCCAGAGACGGUGGCCUGUGCAGAUUGUGGCCGCGUCAUGGAGAUGUUCUUCUUGUACCGCUGCUGCCCCGAAUGAGCAAAAAUAUUAUACCUUGGCUUGAAUUACUAUAAGGUUUCCACUUGAGUUUUAUCUCAAGUAGGAACCAAAGUGUUAAUUGAAUUGCUUGCUUUUGUCUUGAUUUUGUGUUCUUACUGGUUUUGAGGUUUUGUUUCCCCGAAAUGUUCGGGAUCUGUGGCCUUUGUCAUUAUCUUGGGCACUUAAAUAGGAUUUUCAAGUGUUAUUGUGUGUUAUAGCAAGAACUUGUUCGUAACAAUAAUAUUCUGCUUUUGAUUUCCAUAUUUUGGUUUGUUAUUAUCUGUUAGAUCAACUUGAAAGAGAACAUGAAACAGUCCAUGUAAUAUGUUAAUGUGACCAAAAUUUCUUAAGAAUAUUCCUCCCCACGUAGAACUCUCACAAACGAGUUGUUUGUUGGCAGUAGAUAGUCAUCAAAUCAAAUCGCGGUAAAAUUUAUGACCGAUAUAAAAAUACAAGUAAGAAAACAUGUAGGGUAUUAUAAUUUUGAUAUCAUAUAUAUAGGAGGAGAACGUGAAUAUUUGUGUAAUUUUUUACCUACAUUUUUUGAAUCUAAAUCUGAUGUAUUUUAAUUAAUUCAACAGAGACAAAUUCAUAAUUCAAAAAAACUAAAAAUUAAAAUGUCUUCCGAAACUUUUGGUCUUUAUUGUCCCGCUUAUUUCUUAGAGGCCCUGUUUCUCGAUUUUUCUUGGUUUUCGAUUUUCACCUGAUGAACUUGAAACAAUCAUAAGAGAAACACACUUUCAGAUAUCGUCUCAAAGCUUUGUGCUCCGCCGGCGCCGGCAAUGGCCUGACAACUUUUAUUAUAUGUGUCGUUCUUCAACUCCAUGCUUAUAAAAUAGCCAUAAAACAAAAAGAAAAUAAAAACUUUGAUUUCUUCUUCCAACGCAAAUAUUGGCUUGCAUUGCUUUACACGCCACCAUGUUCACGGCAUAACCUUGUUGUCAAGUCAACACUUCAAUAAAACAUUCAACAUCAAAAUUGACCGUCGUUAUGCCGAUCACUAACCGUAUUAACCUUGUUUAUCUUAUUCUAUCAAACUCGAUUUUUAUUUUUUGGGUCGAUAGACUGAUAUUCGACAGUGACCAAGUAAACGCUUAGUGUCGUAUUGAAAAUGAUCAUUAUUAUUUUAAUUUUCCAGCAUCUUGAAGUGGGACUAUCAGUAUCAUCCCCAGGAACAAGGCAAACGUUUAUUGGACGCCGAGAUGACUUUAAUCUACAGACCAACAUCAUUCAUGUACAUAACAUCAGUUGAUGCAGGCAGUAGUAGGGUCCUUUCUUCUCCGGCCCUUAAUGCCUUUAAAUUAUUUAAAUAAAGCGAGUCGUUAUACCUUCUUCUUUUUUUUUUUUCCCCUCUCUCUCUCCCCAUUUUCUUCGUUUUAAUUUUUAAAGGAUUUUUAAGGAAUGUAAUAAUUGGGAUUCUCUUCAAAAUUAACUAUCAUUGAAAUGAAAACAAUAAUAAAAUGAAAUAAAAAUAAAGAAGACUUCAAUGAUUCAUGUGUGACUUUUUAUAGCACCAUUAAUGGAGAAGACCCUUUGAUUUAAAUAUAUUAAUCUCUACUUAAUUUAGUGGGUAAAUAAUUAGUUAAUUAUUAAGUAAUAGACAAUCUUUAAAUUUAUGAAUUAGGUUUUGAUAUAUUAUAGCUCUUUUUUUCUGCUUUUUAACUUGUAAAUAAUAUUUUUUAAUCCUUUUUUUUAAAUAAUUACAAUAUUUUUAAAGAACUUAUAUACUUUUAUUAGUAUAAGUAUUUUAAGUUAUUGAUCAAAAUUUAAUGGUGCAUAAUUGUCACAUUAUUAAUAUUAUAAAAUAAGAAUAAGAAGAAGAAGAAGAAGAAGGUAUCAUAAAAUGACUCAAAAUAUUAUACAAUCUAAAUUCAAGUAAUGUAAUGUGUUCCUUUGCUUCUAUUUUGCUGUAAAAAGAUUCUAUAAAGUCAAAGUUUUUUUAAGUGAAAAGAUAUUUACACCCCUAAAAUUUGGUGGAAAAAUAAUUAUAUAAACCCCAAGUUUUUAAUGAGAGACACGAAAACUUCUUUUUGACUAUAAUGAAAAUUUAAAAUUUUUAAAUAAAUACAAGCAGUGAAAACAAUUUAAAUUUUUAAAUAUUUAUUUCAACAUUACGUUUUUAUUUAUUAUAAAAUUUAGUUUAAUAUAAUAUAAGAUUUCAAAGCGUUAAAAUAUUUUUAAAUAUUAAAAUAAUUUUAAAAUAUAUAUAUUGUUACAUUUACUUUAAUAUUAUAUUUUAUUUAUUAUAAAACAUUCAAGUUAAUUUUUUUGAGUUAAUAAAACUAAAGGGUAUUAUAAUAAAAAGAAAAAAGAAAUAUCAAUUUAAAGAUCUACAUCAUCGUUUCCCCAGGACUCGGGUGUAGGAGUCUUUUUUCGAAAAGAAAUGGAAAUUAACAACGUGGAAAUUAGCUGGCAAGAGCCAUUAAUUAAUUAAUUAAAUAAUGUCAACUUCAUGUGCUGGCGGAAUAAAUGAAUCAUGAUAAGAUCCAAGGGCUGAGAAUAGGGAGAAGACUUGAGAAUUUCUAUAGUUGACUUUGACAGGCCAAAAAUCUUCCAAGAGAGUUGACUUGAAGACUUCCUAGUUGCUUCCCUUAACUUGUUGUCCGGGGCUCUGCCCCAGAGUGGGGAGAAAAAAAACGCAUACUGUCCCUGUUGUUUUCCACAUGAUAAAAUUAUAAAAUACUCAAAAUGAAAACUGAAUCCGUUUCCCGAAGACAAAAAUGACAAAUCAAUAACUUGUUUUCCUCCAGUCCUUAAUAAUCAACAAGUGAAAAAACCAAAAAACAAAAAAGAUUUCCUAAUCGUAAUGUGAAAAAGAGAAGCCACUCGUUUCAUCGCGUAUUCACAUCCAAUUUUUUUUUUUUUUUAAUUUUAUAAAUAACAAGGUGAGAAAAUUCAACAUACAAACAGGCUCCACUGCCGAGUUUUUCCACACGCUCGAAGUCAUUCGGCGACUCACCAAAUUAAUCAACAGAAUCAAUAAUAAAUUAUCGCUCCCCCCCUUUCUCCCAAAUCGGACAUUCCAUUUCUGCCACCAAAAUUAGGCAAAUGGCACUCUCGCCAGCAAAACUGAACCUAAGUCUCUUCGCUCUCUUGUCCCUCCUCUUCCUUAGCCAUGCAAGGCUCAAUCUCGACCGUUCAGAUUACAAAGCCCUCUCCGUCAUCCUCAGAGAUCUCGGCGGUCAACAGCUCUUCAUUCCCAGUGAUCCAUGCAGCACCCCCGGUGUGUUCUGCGAGAGAAGGCUCUCAGACAACAACACCUACGUUCUUAAAAUCACGAAGCUCGUGUUUGUGUCUAGAGAGCUUACUGGCUUUCUUUCCCCGUCAAUCGGACGGCUGUCAGAGCUCAGAGAGCUCUCUCUGGCUAACAACAGCCUCGUUGACCUGCUGCCACCCCAAAUCGUUGACUGCAAGAAACUUGAAAUUCUUAACGUUCAAAAUAAUCAGUUUUCUGGCAAAAUCCCGUCCGAUUUGUCUUCUUUAAUUCGUCUUCGUGUUCUCGAUCUUUCUGGGAAUAGUUUUUCGGGGAAUUUGGGUUUCCUGAAAUAUUUUCCAAACUUGGAACAUCUCUCUUUAGCUAAAAAUCUGUUCACCGGAAAAGUCCCAACUUCCAUACGUACAUUUCGCAAUCUCCAAUUCUUCGACUUCUCCGGAAACAGUCUCCUUGAAGGUCCAAUACCAGUGAUGAGAAGGGUUGGACCCUCAGGGUUUCAAUACCCAAAACGAUACGUUUUGGCUGAGACUACCACCAAUGGAAGAAGCAAUGGACCUUCCCCCGCUGCAGCACCGAAUUCAAGUACACGCUCUUCCGGUGCUGAAGCUCCUGCUCCAUCACCACACCACCACAAACACAAAAAAAGUAAGGGAAAGAAGGCAGCUGGGUGGAUUUUAGGAUUUCUUGCUGGAGCAGUAGCUGGUACCAUUUCUGGGUUCGUGUUUUCUGUUCUUUUUAAGCUAAUCUUGGCGGCGGUAAGGGGUGGAGGUAGAGAUUCUGGCCCAGCAAUCUUUAGUCCAUUAAUCAAGAAAGCUGAGGACUUAGCUUUCUUGGAAAAAGAAGAUGGUCUUGCUUCGUUGGAGAAAAUAGGAUCAGGUGGAUGCGGAGAAGUUUACAAAGCUGAGCUACCUGGAAGCAAUGGAAAGAUGAUUGCUAUUAAGAAGAUUAUUCAACCUCCAAAGGAUGCCGCAGAAUUGACUGAAGAAGAUAGUAAGUUACUGAACAAGAAAAUGAGGCAAAUUCGGUCUGAGAUUAACACUGUGGGUCAAAUUAGGCACAGGAAUCUUCUCCCUCUGCUGGCUCAUAUGGCCAGGCCUGACUGCCACUUACUGGUGUACGAAUUCAUGAAGAACGGAAGUUUACAGGACAUUCUAAAUGAUGUCUCGCAAGGAAGAAGAGAAUUAGACUGGCUAGCUAGGCAUAAGAUCGCAUUGGGAGUAGCUUGCGGGCUUGAGUAUCUGCAUAUAAGCCACAACCCUCGCAUAAUCCACAGAGAUCUCAAGCCAGCGAACGUGCUUCUUGACGAUGAUAUGGAAGCCAGGAUCGCUGAUUUUGGGCUUGCAAAGGCAAUGCCUGAUGCACAAACACAUAUUACAACUUCAAAUGUGGCCGGAACAGUGGGAUACAUAUCCCCAGAGUAUCACCAGACGCUGAAAUUUACUGAUAAGUGUGAUAUAUACAGCUUUGGUGUGUUGCUAGCUGUUUUGGUGAUGGGCAGACUUCCAUCUGACGACUUCUUCCAACAUACAGAGGAGAUGAGUUUAGUCAAAUGGAUGAGAAAUGUUAUGACCUCUGAGAAUCCAACUCGAGCCAUCGACGCAAAGCUCCUGGAGAAUGGAUAUGAGGAGCAAAUGCUUUUAGUUUUGAAGAUUGCUUGCUUUUGCACCGUGGACGGUCCAAGGGAAAGGCCUAACAGCAAGGAUGUUAGGUGCAUGUUGUCUCAGAUUCGGCACUAAUUAAGUAUCUGGAUGUUUCUGAAUAUGCAAGAAUAAGGCUGCUCUGUGACGAACAAUGCAUGCCCUCUAAGUUGUAUAAUUAUGAUCCAUUUUGAGUUUUUACUUUCAAUAAUCUAUGAUGUGGUUAUGGUCACUGUACAACUUCAAACUAUUUCUGAAAUGUGAAAAAUAUUGUCUAUUGUAUUUUAUUUUUUUUUUCCAAGACAAAUGUUCUUCAAUUAUUCAUUGAUCAAUCUCAUCUCAAUUCUCAGCAGCCGCAUGAAAAUCAGUAUAACAAACAAUCUUUUGCUCUCAGCGGGUUGUGUGAUGAUGAAACAUCCACCAAUAGCGACCCUCGUCGUCAUCGCCCUAACUGCUCUAAUAAACUAUUAAUCUUUGAAUAAUACCCCUACUGACAAGAAUGCUAAGAAAACAGGGGAAGACCACAAAUCUUGAUUUCAACUGUAUUACACAGUGAAGCAAUGAAGCAAAAGAAAAUAGAAGACCACAAAUAUAACAGAAUAAUGAAUUGUCUCAAUUGAGACUUGAUGCUCCAUUGGAGACAAACAGGUUAUACACUUCCUUUCAUGCUCAGCAGUCACGGGCAACACGCCUCAACUUUUAUAUUUUCUUAUUUAUUUAUUUAUUAAUACACAUCAAGCCUUUCAUUUUGCAUAAGAAAAAUAGCGAAUACAAUUUAAUAUUGGUAAUUCCUUCGAUAAGCAUAUUCGUACACGUAUUGAGAAAGGGAAAGUUCCAGGCACGUGCACUUUGGUCAUUCACAGAAAAAAAGAGUAGAACAAAAAUGCCUUAAGGGUUCGAAGCAACUAAUUGUAUUUUACACUUCUGCUUUUAAAUAUUUCUCCCUUUUCUUAAAACAGACAAGUCUAAUACAUCUUUCCAGAAUUUAAAAUAAUACUUACUGAGAUGUGGGAACACUAGUGAAGAUUGGCCUAAGCUCUAAAGCUUCGGACAAGACUUAAAGAAAGAUAAUAAAAUCUCACAGAAUCUAUUUUUCUAUCUUAUUUAUUUAUUUACUAAUCAGACAAAAAAUGAAAACAAAGUCAUAAGCAAUUUUAUUCAUCAAGUCUAUCAUAUGUUACUAGAGAAAUCUGGAAAGGAUAACUACUAAAUCCACAAUUUGAAGGCAAAUGCUAUGAGGUUGACAGCUGCACUGGGAGAUGGUAGGGUUUAACCUGAAGAUAUAUGUUUUCUAGUUCACGUGACAUGAAAGCUCAUUGUGAAGUGGAAAAAUAACCCCUUAAUCAAAAUCCUCAUCUAGUUAAAUUGUUGGACAACUGUAGAAAAAACUCCUUAAAGUGAGAAUUAUUCUAAUUCCAUGACCACAAAAUGCAACAGAUCAUUGGCAAACAAAAGAUGAUCCAACAUUGCAUUUUCAUUCACAUCAAGGGUUAUGAUGAACAAUACUGGCCCUAUCAACUCAUUAAGAAUUCUAAAAUUGGCAAUUACCAUUCCAGAGAUACCGAACAAAGAUAAUCCUAGAGCAAGGGCACCUACUGCAUAUGAAUUCCACUGAUUGUUAAAGAGACAAUGGACUAAAUGUAAACCUUUCGAAGCUGACAAAUAGCUGCAAAGUCAAAGAUUCGAAGCUGACAAAUAGUUGCAAAGUCAAAAAGCCUCUUUCGACUCCAUCAACUUUGAAGCUGGAGCGCAUUUGGGCAAACAUUGUAAAUAGCCAUAACAAGAAGAUAACAAGACAAUCACGAAGAGUAAGGAACAUUUAUCACUCCAACUGUAAAAUGAUACUAAGAGUGAACAUUAGCUCAAUGGUGACAUUAGAAAGUAGCUCUUAGAAAUCAUAGCUUCGAGGAGAUUCCCAAUCACCGUCCAACGUAUAUUAUACUUGGUUCUUCAAGAUUACAUUUUAUAAUCAGAAUGCUUAGUUACAGGUGAUCACCAAUAGGUGAAAGAAAAACAAAUAGGUAUCAACUGGAAUACCUUAAAAAUCAAGAAGUAAUUGAGGAAGAAUUCUUUCCAAAUGAGUUGCUUCAAUUUUACUAACACCCUCUGCUUCAGCAAUCGCUGCUGCACGUUGCACAGCCUCUGCAUUAAAAAAAAGGGCUUUAAACCAAAACUUGGAAAAAAAAAAAUGAAAACUUAAAAGUUCCGUAAUUUGCAUCACAUAGGAAACACCCAAUUGCAACUUAACAUAGCAAAACCUGUGACAAAAACUCGGAGAAGUUCACAACUCAAUUUCAGUGCAUUGGCAUUAGCUGCAUCAGAUAAAUGUUGGAUAAGAGAAAGAACAAUUCAGCUGAUUGCUUCGGCCACCACCAUAAUAAUAAGGCAUACCAGAAGUGGGCCGAUUUUUCUUUGACGUUCCAGCUCCUGCUUGAUGCAACAAAAACUAUAUAGAGACAGAUUAAAGGUAGAGCUAAAAAUGAAAUAUAAGAAUUUGAAACUACGGAAAUUUUUUCAUAAAAAAAAAAAGAUGUAAAUAAUUAAUACCUCGGAUUCCAUGGCAUCAGUGCCUCCAUUUCUCUCACGCUCUACAAUGACAAAGAUCCAAUGAAGAAACUCAGAUAUAAGAGUAGCAAAAACUAAAAAAAGAAAAGAAAAAUCACAAACCGAGAGAUCGUCUGGUCCAUAUGUGCUUGAAAAUCGCGUGAAUUAAAUCCUAAAAUAUUUAAAGAACUAAAUGAAAUAAAUAAAUAAACAAACCAAGAUUUGUAAUAAAAAGAGAUUAUUAGAAACUGAAGUCGAAUUGGAAGCCCUACAGAAUCAAACGUCGUCUCUUUCUCCAUGAUACAUCAACGCAAAACUUCCCACGAGUUCGGGACUGAAACCGAAACAAAUCGGGUCGUACUCGGAGUCCUUGUUUCCGCUUUUAGGCUUUAUGUCAGGUGGUUGGGGCUGAUAUGGGCCUCGUAACCGACCCAAAUAACUAAAUUUGGAUUUUAAAAUUUUAAUCUACGGAUACUGUAAUCGGAGUGACAAAUGAUUACGGUAGUGGAAACCGGGAAAGAAGCAGUUGACUCAGCACUGUCUGUUGCCCUGUCAUCGUCAGAGCUCAAACUCGCCGUCUACAGGUAAUUUUCCCGGUUUCCAUUAACGGAGUGAAAUUUCUGCCAAAAGUCCAAAUAAAAGACAAACAUUUUUAUUUCACGUAGAAAUAAUAUUUUUAAGACAACGUGCAGCACAAGCCCUUAUAGCUCAGUGGUAGAGCGUCAGUCUUGUAAACUGAAGGUCCGUAGUUCGAUCCUGCGUGGGGGCAUGUUUUGUUGUUCCGAAACAACAAAGAUGUUUUUCUAAAUCUUAUUUAUAAUUAAAAUUAUUUAUUUGUUUAUUGUGAUUAAUUAAUUUUUAUAUUAUUCAUAAUUUUCUUAAAUUUAUUAAUUAUUUAAAUAAUUAUAUUUUUUUAAUGAAAUGAUAUGUCUCAUAUAAAAUUAAGUAUUAUUUUAAAUUAAUUAUAUUAUUUUUUAUUAAAUGCUUAUGAAUAGUUGAUAUUUAAAUUUAAAUAUUAUCUUAAAUUCUAUUUAAUUUAAUUUAAUUUCUUUUUUAAUACAAAAAGGCUUAACCAAGAUAAAUUACAGUAAAAAAUUAUCGCGCUAUACAUAUCAUGACAAAUCCAAAGACGAAGGCCUAACAGAGAUUCUAAUAUAAUCUAAAGUUAGUACUAUAUCUAAUUUAACUUAAUUUAAUUUAAUUUAGAAAAAAUGACAAACACACCCCCAAUAUUUAGAUAAAUUGAUAAAAAUCCCUCUAACGUUUCAAAAAAGAUAUUUACACCCUCAAUCACUAACGAAAACAGUAAUUUUUAAAAAAAUUACCGUUGUACCCUUCUAGCGUAGAAAAAAAAUAUACAAGUUUAACUUGUGGUAUUAAUACCAUAAAAUUUUAUUUAAAUUUUAAACUUGUAUAUUUAACAAUUCUCCACAUGUUAUCAUUUAAACUUGUAUAUUUAUAACUAAUUUUUUAUGUUAUUUAUUAUGGUAUUAAUUGAAAUACAAGUUAACAUUAAUAACCAAUUUUAUUUAUUUUUAUUCUUGAGUAAUGAAUUAAAUUUAUUUGGCUUGAAGAGGGAAUUUGAUAAAAAUUUAAAUAGAUGAAUUGAGUAAUGAGGAUAUAUUUAUAAUUUUAUUAAUAAUAUAUGAACAAAUUAGAUAAUUAAUAUUUUUUUUAUAUGUUAGAAGGGUAUAACGAUAAUUUCAAUUAAAAAUUACUGCUUUUAUUAGUGAAUAGGAUUUAAAUAUUUUUUUUAAAACAUUAAGAAAAUUUUUAUUCUUUUAUCUAAACGUUGUGUGUGUAUUUAUCUUUUUUUUUCCUUUAAAUUUAAUCCUGUGCGGUAAACGUGGACUCGAAGUUUCAAUUGUAACAUUUUUAGGGUGGGGGAAAAAGUUUGAAGCGUAACCUCACAAUUAUUAAUCAUAUUAAAAAUGAAAAUCCGACCACUGUGACGGGAAAAAUUGAACAUGGCCAAUAUUAUUCACAAACUCACCAGAAACAAAUCAACACUAAGAAUCUUCAAAAAUCUACAGAAACCCACACCAAGUCUCACUAACACAAGCAAUCCAAUAAUAUUUGUAAACCCUACAGCCUCUGAGAACGACAAUUCCAUUCAAAGCUUUCGGUUUUACCCGAGUUUCCCAUUUGGGUAUUGCUUGAAUCCGAUUUCUUCAACUGGGUUUUCUCAAUUGAAUGCUAUUGAUGCAGGAGUGGUGGAGACUGAUGAUGAUGCAACAACAGUAUGGGCGGAUAGUGUGAAAAAGAAGAGGAAGAAGAAGAUGAACAAGCAUAAGUACAAGAAGCUUAGGAAGCGCCUCAGACGAAAAACCUAGGCUGAUUAGGUUUUUUAAUCGAAGUUUUCCAAUUAGAUUUCUUUUGUUCUUUGGAGUAAUUGAGGAUAUGCUAUGCUUCAAUUUAUAGAAAUUGGAAUCUUUUACAUAAUUUUUUUAUAGGGAAUUUCGUCGAGAUAAGAAUAAGACUCGUGUCUUUGUGCUCAUAUUAUUGACAUUUUAUCUUAUGCGCUUAAUUGGAAGUUGUUUGCUUCUUUAUGUGAUUGAUUCACCGAGGACGUUUUAGUUCCUUAAAGAUACAAAUCCAGCCGGGUUGAGAUUUGCUGCUAAGAAUGAGCCAAUCUGGAAUCUCGAUAUGCUUUCCGGUGUAAUUAUAUAUGUUACUCCGCACUCAUAUGAAAAUGGUUUCUCUUUGAAAAUAAAACGUUAUAAUUGUGUGCAUGUGUUCGAGAACUAUAUGAAAUAUGUAUUAUUCUAUUUAUCGUAAUGUUACAGAGUGAUUGUGAUGAUAGAAGUGUAUGGAAGAUUGAUUUUGAUUUCUUGAUAAAUACAACUGUACUUUGCGAAGUGUUUGCCUUGUGUAUUUGUAAAUUUUUUGAGGCUUUCUUAAUUAGUUGUUAAGAUAUGGUGUUCAUAUCCUCUCUACUGGGAGAUUUGGUUUCCCUUCAUCUGAUUAGUUGUUUGGAAACUUGUCUGUUGGGUUUUAGCAAGUUGCUAUAUUGCAGAAGUCUUGGCUUUUCAAUGAACAAAUUUGUAAUUUAGUAUGCAUUGUUAAAGUAAAUGAUGUUGAGGGUAUAACUGCCAGAAUGUGGGAAGGAAUGAGUUGAGACCACGGAGUAAAUCAACAUGCUCAUGAUUGAGGGGCAUAGGGUCGUCAUUGUUGCGUCUAGUAGGAAAUGAUGAUUGAUGCUUGAAAUGGAAACUAGAAUGUUGCUUGAGGUUGGGAGAAAAUAUAUUUUGGCCUUUGACUCACUAGAAUGUUUAGUUGACAGCAAGCUAUUUUGAACUUGUGAGAUUGUUUUUCCACAUUUUCUAGUUUCAUUGUGUGUGGAGAUUAGCCAAGAGAAUCCCAGUUAUGAUGUUUACAUUUAUAUCCCACAUAAGUGGAAACAUGAUCAAGAACAUCAAAUAUGAUUCUCUUACCCCUUUCCCUCAUGCGUGGAGAAAACUGAUUCUGCAUUUGAGUGGUCAAACCUUCAUCUGCUGUAAUCAUACAUUAGCAACUUCGUAACAUAUCAGGAUCUGGCAACACCAAUUUAACAGUUACUUGAAAGUUGGAUUUUCAUUGUUAGAGUGGGCAAUUUCUCUCUUUAUAUCAGAAGGGGAAUUAAUGUUUCUGGAGCCAUCUUUGUCCUUUGAGAAGAUGGAUGGCUCUAUCUAGAGGUGACCAAUGGGCCGGAUGGCACGAGGCACGCACGUGUCCGUACAUCACGGCACGACACGCACGUGGGCUGCACUGGGCCGGGUUUAGAUUUUAGGCAUGUGGGCCUUAAAAGCACGGCACGAUUAGAAAUGAGACAAAGCACGGCACGCGAAAAAGCACGUUUUAUUUUUUCAUGAAAGUAAACUUAAAAUUUUAUAAUUUUAUAAAUAACUUGAAAUUGAAUCUUUUAAUUUAUUUUAUUAGCUCAAGUUUUUUAAAUUUAUUUAAUUGUUAGUUUCAAAAAAAAUAAAAUUGAUUUAUGUUUAUAAUUUAUUAAAUAAAUAAUUUAUAUCAUGAUUUUAUAAAUGUGUAUUAAUAUUAUUAUAAAUUAUGAUAUAUGACUCUAUGUAAUUCUAAGUUAACAAUUAAGUUAACCCUUAAAAAAAAUUAUUAUUGUUGUUGUUGUUAAGUACUAAAAAAGAAUUCUAAUAUAGAGUCAAACUUAGAAAUUAAUAUUAUAUUAUCUUAUUAUUAUUGAAUAUUAACUUGAGUUUUGAAUUCUUUAUUGUAUUAAAUUUGAAUAAAGGCACAUGGAUCCAAAAAAAUAUACAAACUUGAAAAAAAAAUAAGACAACAAUUUGGCAUGCGCUCUUAAAAAAAAAACUUAGUAGGCUUUUUUUUUAGGCACGGCCCACGGCACAACAUAUGUGUCGGGCCAAGCCUAAGUAAAAAAAAAAAAAGCACGGCACGACACCGCACAAAACGCAUAGUGGGCACGGCAUGACAUAAGCACGAGCACGCGUGGGCUUCCUUUGAUGGGUCUGGGCCGGCACGGCAUGACCCCCUCGCCUCCUCUAUCUCUAUCCCGUUUAUAGUCCGUAUAGUACCAACUUCGCCAGGUUUCUCGAAUGUGGUGCUCUACAAAAGAGCCAGUUAUAGGCUUAAAAUGCGUUCUACAGAUCUGCAGAAACGAAGGAAAAUUAUCUUCUUUGUGUGAGUACAAUGGUGCUCUGUUUCUAGUCUCAUGGAGAGAGGGAAUAUAACAAACCAUAAGUAUGUAUAUACACGCGUAUAUUGAUAAAUUUUCAUUACGGAACUGGUAUCGGAGCAAACGCUCAUUUGCGGACUUCGAACUUAAUUUGGAGAAAACUACUGAGUUCAUCCAUUACCAGGUUCUUGAGUGGUGCACAGAUAAGAUAGCCUUAUUCAGAUUGCCCCGAUCUUCAUGAUUGAGCUACAUUUAAGGGAGAGAUGGAAUUAUCUGUCUUAUAUUUUGGCUAAGGUUGUACAGAUUGUUAGUGAAAGUCACCAAAUCUGUCAUGAUUAUGCUUAUAAUAAUGGUUAUUUGUGGCAUCUUUAGCCAAUCUAAGGAGAAUAUGUAGGGGAAACACAGUGGUAAAUAAAUUAGUUAAGCAUCUAAUCUGUGACAAGAUGAGAUUAAUGUAAUCAUUGAGAAUUGUGUGAUCAAUGUACUGGAGCAAGCAAGAUUGCAAGAACUUGCAUGAUUCUUAUUCAAAUAAGAAGAGACGGGAUGUGAUUUGCUUUUUGGAUUCUUUAAUUUAAUCCCGGCCCGCCGACCACGCGGUGGAACUGGGAAACUUGCACAUGCAGUUUAAAUCUCAAUAUAAUUUUAAUGCAAGGAAUUGACGAAGUUGUUGGGAUGGAACACAAAUUCCAUCAGAGAACUUGUGAGCUUUUGAAUAAGCCAAUCAAUUUGAUUCAUGCUGUGAUCUUACAUCAAGUAUGCAUGAAACGUGGCAUUGGCAUAUUUGGCAAAGAAACUAUAAAAGUGAAUCUAAAUGGUGAAAGUUGAAGAAGUGAUUUGAACUUUGUAAUAAAAUUUGGAAGCCUGCCUGAAGUCUUAUAGUUGCGUCAGCGCUUACGCAAGAGUUUUCAGAUAAAAGGAAACAGAAACUGUUUAUUUUAAUUAAAUCAGCUCGGUGGCAACACACAUGCUCCCACUAAUCAGGAAUGCAAUUGCUAGAAAUACUGAAGGAAAAAGCCGACAGCAAGCCACCAGUCAGGUCUGCAAUCUGAGUUUGUUGCCAUUAAAUAUGUCAGUUUUUUUGGUUGUGCGCGCAAUUGUUGAAUUUGGAGUUUUCUUGAGCUAAUAAAGCAUUCGGUUUUUGGACUUUAAUUAAUUAUGAAAUUGUGGGUGCAACUUAGGCUCAAUGAUGUGAUUUUGCAGGUGCUGGCAACUUUUGAACGAGAUUCCUCGAGCUAGACAUAUUAAUUGAAGAGCACUUUACAAUGUGCAUAGACCAUAUACGAGUGAAGAAAAUGCCACCAUGUGAGAAUUGAGAGAGCCAUUUGGCCAACAAAAAAUAAAUUUGCUUUGCUUGUGAGACGGAACAUGCCAUGCUACCAUGAGUGGGUCUAAAGUCUAUUUAAAGCGCGCCACAUCCCUAUAAAUCUCUAAUUUAAUAAUAUAUAAUUAAUUUGCCUAUAAGAAGAAGACUAUUGUGCAUUUGUAGUCGUUGAAUAUAAAUCCAAAAUUCUAUUCUUAAAUUAUAUAUAUCAAAACUAGUCGUCUGUCGCAUCUCACCUUCAUUAAAAAAGAAAUUUUACUUUCAAUAAAUGUAUUAAAACAACAAAAAAACCAUUAAUAUUGGCAAAAGAAGCAAACCAUAAUAACACUGAUGAUAUCAACCAACAUUUUAUUACAUACAAGUAGUGUGGAUCAACCUUUGUCUAUGAUUUGGUCGGUAAUAAAGUUUAAAAUAAACUAAUAAUGCACCCAAAUCAUGUGACAGGGGCUAACUUAAUUCAAUUCACUGUAUGUAUGCGACUAGUAACUACAUCAUAGAUAUUAAAAUAACAAUAACAUGUACAAAAUAAGGUGUCUUUUCCCUUUUCUUGAGUCAGUUUCAAUCAAAUUUUAUGAUUAUAAACUCCAUUUCAAAUGAAUUUUUUGUUGAAGUUGUCAUUAUUAUCCCAGUACACAUCCCACACUUUAAUCUCUCCAUUAACGCUGCCGCUACCAAUCGAAACGAUGCCGUUAGACGCGCUACUACUGCUUGAAAUAGCUACCAAUGACUUCACCGGCUUUUCAUGCCCCUCCAAGAAUGCCAUACAACGAUAGCAAUUCUCCUUCCCACGCUGCCAAAUCCUCACCGUUCGAUCAGCUGACCCGCUGGCUAACAAAUCACCAACAUUGAUCAAGCACAGCAGAGCUCCGGUGUGACCCCACAGCGCUUCCGCAAACACCAUUCGAUGAUGACCAUCACCAUCUUUCUCCCUCUCCCUCUCCCACACCACGAUCCAACGGUCGCAACCGCCCGAAAACAACAAAGAACCAUCACCGUUCAAAGCAAGCGCAUUGACCGUCGACUUAUGCUUUACUAACGUAGUAACCAACAUGUGCUUUGAUUUUCUCUCUUUGUUAUGAUCAACAACCGAUCUCUCCCAAACCCUAAUACGUCCAUCAGCAGAGCCGGUGUAAACGACGCCGUUAUCAGACACAACCACCGCAUUUACAGCGUCCUCAUGAGCUUUAUUAACAGAUUCCAAGCAUUUAUAAUUACUAGCGCUCCAUAUCUUAAAACUUCUAUCCCAAGAAACCGAAUACAUUAACCCUUGUUUCACUACCAAAUCCGAAACAGCAUCCCAGUGUUCCAGCCAAAGCCGCUUCUUGUGACGUCUAACAGUGACGUAAUUAUUUGGCAAUACGGAUCGUAUUAGACGGUCCUUAACAGUUGGUAAUGUGGAGACAAGCUGGUGUUGUCUUGAAGCCGUGAUUUGCCAGACUCGUAUCUUGCAGUCUUGAUGUGCGGUGAAGAUUUUGGUGAUGUGAAAAGUGAUGGACUUGACUGACCCUGAAGAAGACAAAUCAUUGCUAAAAGUAUCGACGUGGGAGUAGUCAGAUAUUAAAUCGAAGACGUUGAUUUCGUUGAGGGAGGCGGCGUAGAGGAGGCUAUUGUGGACUGCGAGGCAGCUGAUGAUCAUAUGGUGAGGGUCUGGGCUUGGUAUUUUGAGUGAAGCGAUGCAGUGGUGUUUGAAUGCUUCAGACGAGACAGAAUGCAAAUGAGACAUGCUUGUUGGUUAAUUAUGACUUAUGAGGAGAGCGAGGGAGAAUUAUACUAUAUAUAUAAUUGAGGGGCAGAGCUGAGGCUAGGGUUAACUAUAAUGCCUAGUGGGUUGUGGUACAGGUGGCAGCUGGUUUAGUGGAUUGAUUAAUUUUUGGCUUUGUUGGUUGGAUACGUGGCAAUCUUAGCAGCCGAUAACUGAUUUGGCUGAUCAUUUAGAGGGCCAACAAAUCGAAUGAUUGUCCUUCAUUAAUUGAAGAUCAUUUCUGUGCUAUUUUUUUAUUCACAAAAUACUUUUACAAAUACUAAUUAAUUUCUUUUAAAUAAUUUUUUUUAUAAAGAAAGUAAACCUUUCAUAAAUCACAACAACUCAAAUACAACUUGAAUCUCGGCUGGAAUAGUUUCUAGCCACAUAGAAGAAGAAUUUCUUCCCAAAGCUAACUUAGCUAGGGAGUGGGCAUAAGCAUUACAUUGUCUUAGAAUGUGAUGAACAACAACUUUUUGAAAACCCUUCAAUUGAUUUCGGAUCUCUAGAAUUGUCCAAAAAUUUUUUGUUCUACUGCCCUUGGUGUUGUUUACAAGUUGAACCACCUCUAAGCAAUCUGACUUAAUGAUCAAGGAGGUUAAAUCUGCUUCUUUUGCCAACUGAAGCCCCCAUUGCACAGCCUCUGCCUCAGCCAAAUUGACUGGUCCCUUAAGAUGAAUCUGAUUAAUACCGGCUGCAAUUAUCUUGCCAUUAGAAUCUCUAAUCACUGCUCCCACGCAUGCAAUCUGAUUCUUAGUAUUCUAAUCAUCCACAUUAAUUUUGAAAAUAUUUUCAGGGGGAGGGAACCACUUCUGCUGUUUCUCUCCUCGGGGGUGGGCAAUAUGAGAAGGCUAUGUCUUCCUUACUCUUUGAAAAGUCAGCCUUUACAACAUGAGCAGGGAGGGGACUCCACUUUUGAUGCAUCAUAGAUAGUUUCUUCUCUGCAAAAACUUUGCCCAGAUUUCUUAAGUCUCUUAAAGGUAUCCAUCAGAUCUGCCUUUGAAACACUUUCCACAAAGUAUGAACUUUUCUUCUCAAAAUUCUGCAUCAUAAAACACAAAACCAAGCAAAAUAAAAUGAACAACCCCAGAUUUGUAAAUCUGGGUAGACAAACAAUAAUAAACCACCACAGAUCUCUAGAUCUGAGUGGAAGAACAUACCACCACAGAUUUAAAAAUCUGAGUGGAAGAACAAAACUACCACAGAUAUGAGGAUCUAAGUGGAGAAAAUAAGCAACGAAAAUGAAAAAGGAAUGAAAAAAGAAGGUUUCGCCAGAAAACCAACUCAUAGAGCUAAUUUUCCAGCGAAAGAAGAAGGUGAAAUGUUACUGGAUGUUCAGAGCCUUUUUUUUUUUUUUUUUUUUUUUUUUUCUGCGGACACUAAUAUGUUAAUCUAGGCCGUUCAAUAAAAAAAGGAACUUAGAACUUAGAACGUUGGUAAUUUUAAAAAAAGAUGAGGUACAUUUCUCAUUGACGAGAGAUAUUUAUUAUUUCUUUAGUCUCUCCAUCUCUAGUUAAAUCUAACUCAUACUAAAGAGUUAAUCUAAGAGUUAAGGAUCGAUUGUAUGCUUAUAUUUUAUAUGAUGUGAGAUAUUUUUCCAGAAUAUUGGCGCCUAGAUUUUGUUAUAUGGGAAAUUUUCAAAUCAAGCAAAAUUGAAAAAUCGAUCUAAGAUACUCUAUCACCAUGUCAAUCCAUUCGAACAAUCUGCAAUAACCAACACUUAAUUAGUGGGAUGUCCUAAACGUGCAUUGGAGAUUUUCUCCACUACAUCAAGUUAUUAUUUAUGUGUAUACAUAUGGAUCUUUUGUGAUGGAAUUCCAGUGCGUGUAAUUUCUCACUGGAUAUCAGUGAGUUUGCAAUAGCUAGCUUAAUUUAAUUUCUGUCCAGACCAGGUAUAUUUUUCUAGUUAAACGAAAUAGGGCAUCAAGAUAGGUGAAACGUUAGAACCGAAUCAUUAUAUUGAGAAAAUGGAGUAAUUGUUGCUAGUUUUUAUCAUUAAAGGUUUAGUCAGGUAAUUUUUAAACAAUUUUUUUAUCUGACCAUCUGAGUUCGAUUAUAGAAAGUAAGGUCUAAAAAUUUUAUUUAACUUUCCAUACCUCCUACCUUGCGUCAAUCAAAAGCAAACAAACAUAAAAACAAGAUCAGUGAGCAAUCCGAUCAAUAAAUUGUUUCUCCUCUUUGUGCUCUUGUGAUAUAUUGCAAUUAAACGUGUUGCUUAGUCUGUGAGACUACACAUAAACUAAUUUCGAUCAUAGUACGGCCACUUGUUUAGGGCUUACACAUAAACUAAUUUCAAUCAUAUUACGGCCGCUUGUUUAGGGCUUAAUUGAUGUUUCUCUUUAUUAAUGAUAAUGAAACAUGAGACCAAACCGUCAUAAUAUAUAAACCCAAUGAUAACUAAGCACCAACCGUGUUGUGCUCAAUUUGGAUGUCUUUAAUCUUUUAAUAGAAUAGAAUUAGUUUUGGUUGUGCAACUGUCACGCUAUCGUAGUACUGUCAUUUAGCAGGCGUUACUUAAUUUAAUUAUUCAAUAAUCAAACCACUUGACUAGUUUGUGACUUAAACAUUGUUAAGAAAUAAACAUGAUUCAUCUGAAGAUGAAGCAUCAAGAUACGCAGCUGCCCCUAAGGCCUUUAAUAAAUUUGAAUGAUAUCUCCUCCUCGUUCUUCAAGAUCCAAGGAUUAAGAAUAAUAAAAUUGGUAGUAUUUUAUGCUAAAAAGUUCCAUGAAUAGACUUUUUUAAGUAAAAGUUCACUAAGAAGCGGUUUUAUAUCUUUUAAAUUUCUUUUUGGUAGGCUGCACUCGCUCAUAUUUUUCUCUUUUCGACAUCAUUUCUUUCUAUCAAUAUAUAAUUGACAGACAGUUUGAUUGGAAAAGGCCAAAAAGAAACAAAAAUUGUAAAAUAAGUUGAAAGGGAACCAAUGUCUUGAGCAAAUAAACUAAUUAUGUGAAGAAAAAAAUUAUUAAGAAAAAAUGUAAAAAGUUAAAUUCAUUGAACAAUUCCACCAAAAUAAACUAUUUCUACUCUUUUGCUAUAUAUGGGACAUGAUGUGCUGAUUGAUUAACCACCUAAAACAAUGAAACGUGUUGCUAAGUUUAUAAAUCAAUUAAUACAUCAAUUAGUGUUAGUGAAUCGUUCAAAGUCCAUUUGGUAUCUGAUGCUUUUUAUUAUUUUCUUUCUGGAAUACUUAAUUAAGAACCUAAAAUAAUAAAAAUUAUAUUUUUACCAAAUAAAUAGUUGCAUAAAUUUUUUUUAAUACUAUGUUUAAUUAGUUAGAAUACUUACUGAUAUGUCACUGGUCAAUUUAUUAUUUGAUAGAACGUAAGACUAGCCGAUACAUUAAUUUAGCAAAUGCAUGAUUGAGAAGAUAUAUUUUGAUACACAGAAAUGGCUCUAUCAGCAAUGAAGUACUGCAAAUCUUCUUUCCAUCGGCAAGAAAAAUUAAAUGCCUCUAACACAUUACAACACUUGCGGGUUGAAGAAGCUAUCUCGUAGACAAUUCUCGCAAUGGAGGCGGGACUUGGUAAAUCGGGCUGAUAAGCUCGAAGCCCCACCCCAAGUAAAAGACAGAUUUACUAAGCUGAGUUUUUUAGACCACAGAAUCGAUGAUCGUUAGGUAAGAUCGAUAUUCAAUCCUUCAAUAUUUCACAUAGAAUUAGCCCAUCUGAUUAUUAAUACAGCCUCCGAGUCAUUGUUCAAUCGCAAGAAUUGCUUCCUUACACAAUCCUCAUUAUCAAGGUGACCGCCAUAAGAAAUAGGGAUCGUGAAAAUGGAUCUUUUGAUUAAUGUUGAUGGAAUUACAAUCGAGGUUUAUGGCCAUUGUACCUGUUAUGCGUGAGAGUCCAUUUCACUUCUUUGAUCCCUUAUAAAUGUAGUUUUUAGUUUUCCUAAUAUUAUUUCGCUUGAAAAAAAGAAGGAUUAUUUGGAAACCCAUUGCCAAAGCUCAUUAAAAAAAAAAAGAAAAAAAAAAGGGUUAUUCGGAAAUCAAUUACGAAAGCUCAUAAACGAAGAUGAAAUGAAAAGUGAUUUCUUUAUUCCUUUAUUAUCUAAUCCCUCUAUAGCGAGUGAACUGUGAGAUAAGAAGGAUAUACACAUUUAAUUUUAUUCGAGAAUUCACCGACACCCCCCAGUACUGAGAGAAUAAUUAUUAAAUAACGUUGAAAUGCUAUCACAUUUUCCAUGAUGUUAAAAAUGUAACCAUUAUAAAGUAUCUUCAAUGAUAAAGGGACCAAAGCGCCAUAGAUAUAAGGAUGAAGUUUCGAAUAGGAAACACUUUAUAUCUAAAGAGAAAUAGUAUAGGGUCACUAUCUUAUAAAAAUAAAUGUGUACAAAUUGACGUGACAUGAGUAGGUUUGGUUGUAUUAAAUUAUCAUGGAUCCACAUAAUGAAAAAAAUAAUUAUUAUCACUUUUCAGCUAAUCUCUUCGUACCACAUCAAUUUGUACACAUUAGUUUUUAUAAAACUGUUUGUGUACCAUGGCAUCAUUGCUUGUAGCUGCUCAAAUUUUUGUUGAUACCCGUCAUCCCAAGCAAUCGACCUGUCCACAAUUGGAAGCCAUACGAUUACAUAGUUACACUCUUCGCUUGCUUUGUGGUCUCUGUACAUAUGAUCAAGAACCAAAAUUUCUUCGACGGAGAGAUCAAGGUUCGAUAUGAGUAGCAACACAUGCUUUUUUCUCAAAACGUCGAUAUUAACCUGUUCGCAUAAACAAAAGUCUAGCGUUUGACGGUGUUUCUAGCCAGAAAAAUGCAUGGAAAGGAAUUUGGCAACAAACCCUGUUCUUGGUGAAACCAUCAACAACUGGUUGAAUAUCAUCCUUAGGAUAAAGCAAUGCUCUCAGAACCUUCAUGUUGUCCAGGUGAAUUGUUUCGAGAAGGCGCACGAGAUUGUGAUAUGCUUCUAUUUGUCUAUUCUCAUCUGCAUCCAUGGUAAGGAUCAGAGGGGGGGAAAAAAAACAUUAUUUGCUGAAAACUCUCGAAAAGGGCAGAGAUCAAACCACCUAAAUGUACAUUCUUAAGGGCUCACCGAUUUGUUGAUAGCAAAUAGCAAUUAGCUUCUUGAAGUGCUCGAGUAUACUGCUGACUUUAUGAGCCAAGCUUGAUAGUUCCCAUGCCUCAGUGGUUGAUGCAGUGUACCUGAAAUAUUAGUGACAGAUUUGCUAUUUGACAUUUAAUCUUUAUAUUUGAAUGGCGAUUAAUUUGUGUUCUUAGAUGGCUUACGCAUCUCUCAAGCCUGUGAGGCUUAAAGUCUGUGAAUAGCAGGCUACAAUGCUUCGAAAGGUCCAAUAUGCAGCUGCAGGGAUAUGAGCCAUGGCUAUGGACACCGCUUGUGCGUCAGUUGAAAUAUACUGAGAAGGUAGCUGCUUGAACUCAACAAUGCACUUGGUUAAAUCCAACAUGACCUUGAUGAGACUGUUGAGUGCAUCAAAUUGGGGUUUUAAAGCGUUAUAAUGCUCUAAAACGUUUGACACUUGCUUAAGCACAGCCACAGACUUGGCAAGUGAGUUAUUAGUACAGAGCUGAGCGCCAAGCCAAAAUUCCCCAUAAUUCACAGCAAAAAUGCUAUUUUAGCUUGAAAGCCUAGAAAAAAACCUAUCCUAAAUAUCAGAAAAACACACCUAUACCCGAAUUCAAUAGAAGCUCCCCUCAAAUGAAAUUGAGCUGGAUCCGGUGAGCACCACUCAAUUUGUAUGAAUCGGAUCCUAGCAAAAAUCCGGUGAAAACAUGCUCGAUUAACUAAUAUGAAAGGGAAUAUAGAUGUUUAUAAGUAAUGUUGUUAUUUUUCACUUUCAGCAGUCUCGCUUUCCAGAUCAACUUGUUCCCAUCAAAUUAUUAUAAUGGUCUUGGAUUUUAUUUCUUUAUCAAAUUCACUCUGCUCAUUGAAGUAGCCAGUAGCCACGAUGAUCAACUUCUUAUCUGUAUUUAGCUUGCUAGCUAGCUUGUCUCACAUCUAAAGGUGUAGAACAUCACACUUUUUCUCUUUCGCCCACCUAAGAAAGAUUGUAGUUUGUAAUUUGUAUCUUCUCAUAUUAAAUAUAAUUUACGCAACUCUAGCUAAGGCUAUAAUUGAUCCAAGUCCAUUAUUUAUCACCCAAUAGUAUAGCCAUUUAUGAAAAAAUAAAAAAAAAUAAACGAAAGACUACUACUCCUCAUUGAUGAAUAUUAACCUGAGUUAUCUGGUUCAUUUUCAUAUAAUAUAUCAAGUCCGUAUACACAAAAUUCACAGCCUUUCCCCUUUUAUCAUAUGUGUUGCAGCAAACUGAUUACUAUUAGGCAUACUAGCGACAGUCAAAAUGGUAGGCGAAAGAAACUUCAGCAUGCUUUAAGUGAAUCCCGACAUUCACAUCUAUUUGCUGAUGCAAACCAAAAAUUGAUCCAUCAUAAUCACUCCUCUCUGUAGCCAAGAAAAACUUCCCCUUAGAUUUAUCAAUCCAAGCGUUCUCACCACUUAGAGGAUAAGAAUUACCCUUACCAUUAAACUGAAAUUCUAUCUCCAGCAGAACUUUAACAAAUCGAUACCUUAUCAUAUAGCACAACUCCCAAUCUCCAUUAAUUAAUGUCCUGAGCUCUGCUUCCAUUUCGGGUGGCAUUUUCGUUUUAAUUUUCUCCAUUAACGCGUCCAUGGCCAGGAUGUGAAGUAGAGUAUAUGUAGUUCCUGCAUCAAUCAUCAGGUGUUAUAUAUUCAUCCUCCGAAAAUCUAAACAUCCAUUCCGGAACAUCUAGUAUUUCCCCAAUCAACAUCUUCAAAAUAUAUAUAUAAAUUGUCUACGCUGGGAGAUAACGGUGUGGUUGGAAAUUGCCCAGAAACAACAGCUGAUGACCCAAAGCAUAGUAUUUGGCUAUGGCAAUCGGUGACUUGGAUGAAAAGCAAUAAGAGAAUAAAUUAAAAAGUAAUUAUAUAGUUAUAAACUCUUGUACAAACUGAUGUGCGGUUAAUUUAUUGAUUGAAUUAAAUAUCUCUUAGCCCACAUGAUUUAUUUCUAUUAUUUUAUAUUUUUAUUCGACCAAUAAAUUAAUGUCACAUUAGUAGGUACAAGAUAAGUUUGUAUAAGAGUUUGUAGCUGUAUCAUUACUCUAAAUUAAAACCUAGCUGCCUCAUAAGCGAAAUAUUUAGGAUUAGGAUUAUGAUUAAUUUAUUAACUAUGAGUAAUAACAAUAUUUUUUUAAACAUAAAUAAGUUUUAAAAUUAUUCCAUAAAUCUUCGUAAAUUUUAUUCUAUACAAACAGCUAUUUUCCUUUUAGACUAUUUCUAAUUAAUAUUAAUCCUCAGAUUUAUACAAUAGGAUAUAUGUAUAUAACUUCUACUUAUUAUAUGUCAUGAUCUAUCAUUAAUUGUUCGGUUUGUGUCACCUAUUUUUGUUUCAGGUGUUGAUUGUGUUUAUUAUUCAUCGUUUAUUAAUAUGAAAAUCUUGGCACGUUGCAUCAAUUCUGAUCCAAAAUGUGUAUCAUCAAAAACCAUGUUAAGUGCUGCGGUGAGCGGUUCUUGGUCGUCUAAAGCAAUUGUUGGUCAUCUCGAAAUCGCGGUUGCUUGAUCUACGAAAUAUAUUGAUGUCUUCUACUGCGAUCUGUGAGUUUUUGCUGGCUGCCAAAUAAUCCUAUCUUUGAUAGAAUGUUUUGUUCAACGAAAUGAAAGAAAAAGAGAGAAGAAGAAAAGAGUAGAGGUCAUAAAGAUAAAAGCUAAGAGAUGAAUUUGAUGCUAAACUAAAUAAUAAAAUUGAGAUUGACUUCUUUUUUUCUUCUUCCUCGUUUUCUCUUACUCUUACUCUCUCUUUAUUUUUCAUUUCUCCCUUUUCCACUCCUCCUAUUUUUUAACAACCUGACAUAAGUAAUUUAUAUUAGGAAAAGAAAUAAAUAACUUUUAAUAUAAAAAAAAAUUCAAAUCCUUCACGAUGGCUAUUCUUAUGUUAUAUUUGAUGGCAAUUAUUUCCCCGGCCGUCGUUUCCAUUCAACGACUUCAGUGCAUUUAGCACUGCUAUUAAUCAAGUCCUACGUUGUAAAUAAUAUAAAGAUAAGGAAAAAAAAAAUUAAAGUCUUAUAUUUAUUAAACGAGUAUACUAGUUUUGCCAUCGUACUACUUGAAAUCGCUCUGUAAUGUUCUGAAAGAUAAGGAAAAUAUCAAGUCUUGUAUUCGCUGGCUAUGACCAAAAGAAUCAAAUAUGGCAAUUCUCUGUGCCAUCAAAAGAUUGAAUUGUGCUGCUUUCUCCCUUCAUAGGCUUCCCGGGAAGAAGCUAUCAAUGAUGGCCAGGCUCGGUGGAAAAGCGCCACUUAAAAAGUGUAUGCAAACGUUUCUUUUGAAUUAAUUGCUUUAUUUAUAAUUUAUAAUUACUUUAGUUGGAAUUAAGGGAUUAAAAUUUUCUCUUGAUAUGAACUUUUCAUGAAUAGAAAUUCAUGGUGGUUAAUAAAUAAAUAAAAGAUAAAAAAAUUAAAUCUUAUCCGCAUACUAUUAUAAUAUGACACAUGACAUAAAAUUAUUAAAAUUUUGGGAUUCUAAUUUGAAAUUAAGACGGGUCUUGCCAAUAAUUCGAUUACUCCGGUUUCAAAAUUUUAAAGCAGAACUUCAAUUUUGAUAUAUAUUGAAGCAAGUUUCCCGUCCGUCUACAUGCUCGAUGCAUUGAGCUGGACUUCAAAUCUUGACUGAUAUAUUCGGCAACGACAAAGCAAUAUUCAAAACCUACAUGUUCUCAAUCAUGCAUUCGCCAUAUAUUUUGCUUGAUGAUAAAUACGUUAUCUAAUCAAUUAAUAAAAUAACUCAUCCUGAAGCGUGAAAACGAGUGAAAGUGUCGAUAGGCCAAAGCUCCAAAUAUAAGCUAGAAAUUUCACCAGGAGAGACAUGUGAUGAGUCUCGGUUUAUCGAGGGAAUUGUCUUGAACUUCACCAACAUACUCCCUGUACACGAAGAUUUGGAGUUUUGUUCGAUCUUUUGAUUCACCAAAUACCAAAUACCCCUUAAUAAAUUCGAUUGCCAGUCUGUGUUUGUGUGCUCCAGACUCCACAUUUCACACUCUUUUUCUGGAAUCUUAAUUUAUUAUGCAAGUUUCUAUAAACCCCAUAUAUUCUAAGACGCUCCCCACCAAACAAGAAACCAAAUUAAAAUUUUCAAUUAAAGAUGGUACGAGUUAAACCCAAAUGGGAAACCCAGUUGUAAAUAUGAACGUUCUAAAUUUUGUCGUACAUACAUACGAGAUUUAAAGGUUCAUGAUUAAGGGACCCAAGUUUUUAUUAACAAUCAAUUAGGGCCGUUGAUUAGUACUUUUAAAUAUCAAGAGCAUUGAUAGCAGAAUUAAUCUCACUGAUGAAAUUAUGAAGUUUGAUGUGGUUGAUGACGGUAACGCUUUUCUUUGAUGAGUCCCAACCCCCCGCGUGAUCUGCAAUCGGAAGAAAUUUACAGGUCCGAAUCCGACAAUAGCUUUUGGGUGGGGGAAUCGGGAAAUGGUCCCCGCCGAAAUUAUAGAGCCACGUGUAACGAAAUGGGCCAGCCUGGAAAUUGGUGUUAAAAAUAACAAGCUUUUGCAAAAAAAAAAAGACCGCCCGAGUUUUAAUGAUUGAACUGUAUGCUUUGUUAAUACCUAAAAUAAUCCACUUCCCCAUUUAUUAUUAUUGGUAUAAUGUAAGGCUCUUCCGAAGAUUCAAUUUAGUUCUUAAUGUCGAAUAUAACUUGAAUUGAAAAUAAGAGAUUGCAAUUCAUCUCUAUUUGAUUCUCGUAAAUCAAUACUAAUGUAUUUCAUAUUUACUGUAUAUCUCCAAAAAUAUAAUCUUGUUGCGUUGCCGAACACGUGUAUAAUUGCAAUUAAUAUUGGCAUUAUUUCAAUACAAGAGAUUGGGUGGCAAUAAUUCAAGUCCCUUCCAAAUAAUUAAAAAUCAGAGUGAAAAUAUCAACUGGAGGCACCAAAUUUUAGGUUGUAAGCCAAUUAAAUUGAUCCUCAAACUAAUUUCCAUAGGGGCAUACCCCCAACUAAAACAUGUCAGUUGGAGAAAUAAAUAAUAAUAAUAUUGUCUGAACAUUUAUUUGGGUAUUUAUUAUUAGGGUAAAAUUGUGGUGCAACUAUGGUAUCGUGUCACAAUUACACCCAACCGUUAGAUUUUUACUUAUUCAAGUGAAUCCCACUUAUUUAAGUGGAUCCAAUCAUUAAUACAACUGUAACAUAAUACCACAAUUACACUGUAGCCUGACCCCUAUUAGUAUAAGUAUUCGGAAAGAAAAACAAAAGUAAUUUUGUGGUGUUGGGCAAUAAUGAGCACCCAAGAUAAAAUUAAAAAAAUAAUAAUAAUAAAUAAUGACAGGACACUAUUUGAACACGCGAGUGUGUGUGACCACGGUCUCAUGCUCGUCUUCAUGAGACAACUGGUAAUACCCAUCACUGGUCCAAUAAAUUAAUCAACUUUUUUCCUCUCAGCUUUAACCAUACGAGCGAGACUGCAAAUGUCUAAACACCGAGAUAAAAAAUAACAAUAAAAAAAAAAAAACAUCCUCUGAAAAAGAAGAAGAAGAAGAAGAGGAAGAAAGAGAAUGUUCAUCUUCGAUUCUUCUCAAUAGUUUUUGAAGCUCACUUUUAACAGUUAGUUAGAGAGAGAGAGAGAGAGAAGCAUGGGUGGGGUGACUUCAUCAAUGGCAGCGAAGUUUGCGUUUUUCCCACCCAACCCACCGUCGUACAAGUUAAUUACGGACGACGCCACUGGGCUUUUUCUCAUGGACCCGUUCCCCCACCGCGAGAACGUCGACGUCUUGCGGUUGCCCACGCGACGCGGCAAUGAGAUCGCCGCCGUCUAUGUUAGGUACCCCAUGGCCACGACCACCGUCUUGUACUCUCAUGGAAAUGCAGCUGAUAUUGGGCAGAUGUACGACCUCUUCAUCGAAUUGAGCAUUCACUUGCGUGUCAAUCUCAUGGGGUACUUCCCUUCUUUCCCUUUGUUAAAUUUUCGAUUUUGUUUCCCUUCUUUUUUAUUCGUACGAACAUGCAUAAGCAGAGUAUAUCAGCAUAUGCCAUAUGGGUUGGUGAUGUUAACCUGGUGCAAAAUUUGAUAAAUUUAUUUAUUUAUUUAUAAAUUAAAAAAUUCAACUGGAACAAGGUUCAGUAUAUGUGCCUUGUGAGUUAUUAACUGUAUAGCUUAACCAACUAAUUGAACAGUGGAGUUUAAGUUGCGCCGCACCAGCAUGGGGUAGAUUAACUCUGGCCUCAUAGAACUUGUUUUUGUUUUAGCUUCCAGUGUUUCAACUGUGAUCAGUUACUGAGUUUGCAGAUCUGUGUUCUAGCUGAAAUGUCUGUGGAUAUCAAGGACGAGGUGACUGUAACGGUAGUUGUUUAUUCAUCAGAGAGGAGGUGAUAAGUUUAACGCGGUGGAGACUGGAGAUAGUGGGAUUGAUGUGUGAGAUGAAUAAAUGGAGGUCGUGGUUAAAUUUUUUGACUGUUAUCAGGGCAUAUAGGUUUUCAAUUCAACUCCUUUGUUGGUGACUCCCAUUGAGAAAUUUUAGCAGUAUUCUUAGAAAGUACCAACUGUUUCAGAAAUUAAAAGGCUGGUAAUUGAGAUUAAGCAGAUUUGUUAGGAGGUUCAUUUUGUUCGAUGUUGUAAUCGAUGUCUAUCACAAAAAUCUUUAGAUUUCUAUUGCUGAUUCAUCUGGAAGAGAACAGAUCUCAAAAAACUGAAAAGCCAAUUCCCUAACCAAGAUGACCAUCUUGAAAAAAGAGAUGAAGUAUCCGAAAGAGCCAGAAUAGUUUGGUGGGCAAGGUGAUGACUUUGCUUUAGGUUUUCAAAUCUUGAAAUUAACUAAGAUACUAAUUGCAGUGAACCUAGAGCCUUUGUAAAUGAUAUUAUUUGAAGGUAAUUAUGUAAAUUUACAUUUCUUUGUGGGUAGAACAAUAAGUAUGUGCUAAAAUUGCCUUUUAUUUGCCAGCUGAUUGAAGUUUUUCUUUAUAAAGAAAGAGACAAAUACUUUUGUUAGUUUUUUGCCGGUGUUGCUAGGCUAACACCUUUUUGUGUUCUCCAUGUUUUAGCUUUAAAUGGCUAAUAAAUCUUUUUCUAGUGAGACAAGGUUGUGUAAAUUUUAUUUUGCUUUUGUUAUGUUAUAUUAAAGCACCUUUUUCAAUCAAUGCAGGUAUGACUACUCCGGCUAUGGACAGUCAUCAGGAAAGGUAGAUGCCUUGUGAGCUUUCUUCCUCUUAUCAUGUGAUUCAAAUAAUUGCAACAUAAAGCACUGUUGACGCUCAUCUUAUCUACUUAUUUGUUCAGCCCAGUGAGCACAAUACUUAUGCAGAUAUCGAAGCUGCAUAUAAGUGUCUUGAAGAGAACUAUGGUACUAAGCAGGAGGACAUUAUUCUUUAUGGUCAAUCUGUUGGAAGUGGGCCUACUUUGGAUCUUGCAAUCCGUUUGCCCCAACUAAGAGCUGUUGUUUUACAUAGUCCUAUACUUUCUGGGCUGAGAGUCAUGUACCCUGUGAAGCGUACUUACUGGUUUGACAUCUAUAAGGUUAAAUUUUUUGUUUCCUGAUUGUUUUUACUGCCAUUAUUAUUUUUGCUUAAGGAUAUGAUUUUGUUUACCAUGUCUUUGAGCUUGAUUUUUCUUGAAUUUUGUGCAGAACAUUGAUAAAAUCCCAUUGGUAAGAUGCCCUGUACUUGUAAUUCAUGUAAGUAUUCACAACUCAAUAUCUUGCAUCUGCCAUACAAAAAUGUUUCUAGUUAUUUAUAUCUCUUGAAUCCCCUUUCUGUCUCUAGCGUUCCAUAGAUGAUUGAGUGAAUGCAUUAACAAGCAAUUAUAUCUUUCAUGAACAGACCUUUUGGAGACAGUUGGACCCAUUUAUUCCACGCUCUUUGAAAUAGUACGAAUGUGUGUAGUUUAUGUUAGCAUGGCAUUGAGUGAAUGCAUUAACAAGCAAUUAUAUCUUUCAUGAACAGACCUUUUGGAGACAGUUGGACCCAUUUAUUCCACGCUCUUUGAAAUAGUAUGAGUGUGUGUAGUUUAUGUUAGCAUGGCAUUCUUCGGAAAACCAUGGCUUCUUGUAUGAUGGCAGUGAAAUUUAAAUAUUCGGUUCAACUUUUCGAAAUGAAUGUUGAGAAAGAUGUAUGGUAAAGAAAAGCUUAAAAGAGUUUACAAAAAUGAUAUCAAAUAAAAUUGAGACCAAUCACAAAAAAGUAGUAGGGCAUUUGACAAAUAUUCAUAUGGAGCAAAUAAUUAAGUUAGUUGGUUGGCCUUAAUAUGUAAACUGUUGAAGGGAGUUGAGUGAUACUGGAGCGUGAAUAAAGGCAGUAAUGAACCCAGUAACCCACCAUACUGAAAUUGAUGUUUGAUCAUUAGCUUUUCUAGUUAUCUAGCUGAUGGUUUCUUGAUAAUUGCUGCAUCUUUGAAAUUUAUCACUUAAUACCAUUACAAAGAAAGCCCAAUAUUUGUUGUUUCUCUUGAGGUGUUUUGGCUACAGUGAAGAGGUUCUGGAUAUUAAUUGAUGUGGCUUGUUAUUCAGGGUACUGCUGAUGAGGUUGUUGAUUGUUCUCAUGGAAGGCAGCUUUGGGAACUUUGCCAAGAGAAAUACGAACCCUUAUGGCUCAAAGGAGGAAAUCAUUGUGAUUUGGAACUCUUUCCGGAAUACCUUAGGCAUCUCAAGAAAUUUAUAACAUCUGUUGAAAAAUCACCUUCACGGAGGAGCAGUUCAAGGAGAAGCACAGACAGAAUUGAACGUCCCAGACGGAGUACAGAUUGUUUCGAGGCUCCGAGAAAGAGUACGGACCGUAGAGAAAGACCAAGGAAAAGCACAGACAGGCCUGAAAAACUGAGACUUCACGAAUACAAGUUUAAUAACAUGGACAAGCUAGAAAAGUUCAGAACCUCUUUUGACCAGAUGGAAAAGUCACGGAGAAGCGUGGAUUAUCAUGAGAAGUCAAGGAAAAGUAUUGAUCAACAGCUAGAAAGAGCACGGAAGAGUGUUGACUGGUUGGAUCGAAUUCGAGUUGGCUAAACGCAACGACUCUUUUACAAAAAUUUGACCAAUUUGAGUUUCCUCUGCAGGAAUUGGGACAAGGAGAGGGGGUAAAAAGAUGGGGAAAGAAGAUUGUUUGGGACAAAAUUUUUAACUUAAAAUGAUUUCACAAUGUUGUAUCUUGGUAUAAUGACUAUGUCAUCAUGGUUUGCAAUUUGUAGAGUUUGAUUUACUGGGAUUGUUAAUGAAGGUACCGCUAACCUCUUUCGUUUUCAUAAUUUGAAAGAAAUUGAAGCUCAUUACUGUUUUAUUAGCUGCCCAGCAGCAACAACGACGAUGCAUUUUGUAUUUAUACUUAUACGGUAGAUAAUUUACCCUCGCAAGGCCCAUGAUCAUCGACUCACAAGCGGGCCCCACAUCCCAUAAAUUUCAUUUGAUUCCUUUUUCUUUUAGGGUGCGUUUGGUAGUCCGCUUAACAUGGGAUAAAAAACUGUUUACAUUAAGUUAAUACUAACACAUGUUUGGCUCUUAAACUGUAUUGCAUUAACUUAUAAAGUAAAUGCGGUCAAAUCCGCAUAAAUCAAACCCGAGGGGGUGACGGGUUUAUACCGCAUUGUAUUACAGAGGAAAAAAUUAAGAAAAUUUUUCAACAUUUUCACCCCAAUCCUUCACGAUGAACUUCAUAUCACCCGAUCCAGCACCACCAAAUCGACUUGUCAAUCGUUGCUCGAUGCGAUCACCAACGCCUUCACAGUGCCGCGCGACACCACAACCACUGGUCCACCACCAUCGGCUUGCUCUAUGGAGAAGAUGAUAUGAAGACGCCUUCACUGUGGAGAAGAUAAAGCCAGUGAAGAAGAAGAAGACAAAAGAAGGAGAAAAAGAGGAAAAAAAAAGGAAAAGAAAUUGAAAAAGAUGAAGAAAAAAGAAGAAAAGGAGGGGAGAAAAAAAGAAAGCAAACCGAAGAAGACGAAGAAAGAGAAAAAAAAUUGGAGAAGACGAAGGGAGGAGACACAUGUAGCAAAUGAUGAUAAGGAUUCACCUACGGUACCACAGUAGUACCGUAUCACUGCUUUUAUCUUUAGUGCCAGCACUAGUGUAAACUUCCAUAAAACUCCUUUUACUCUUUUUUAUUUUAAUUUUGCUUCACAAAUAUUAAGUUAAUUUCUCCCAAAACUGUGAAUGUUUCAACGGCCGCAAAUCGGCUCCCCCGGUGGCUGUGGUUGGUCGGAAACGACAGAGGGAAUUGUGGGGAACAAAACCCAAGUGGUUCCGUCACCGGAAACCGGUGAAAUCGCGGUGAAUUGAAGCGGCGAUGCCGCGGCUUUUCAUGGCUUCGAUCGACAGCGUUCCGAACGGUUUCCUGCGAUAAGGAUGGCAUUGACAUAACCGGAGUCGCACGAGCUUCCUAUCGGUACCAACCUUCGCCGGUAUAGUGGCCGGAAAAGAAAACGGAAUCUGGGUCGAUUUCGAGGGUUCGGGUCGAACCGGUUCUUUUUGCGACAAGAAUUUUUAAGUAGGCGGUCGUUGAAGGAUAUACAAUUUGCGAAAAUAAUAAUAACCAGAAACUGAGCCAUUAAAGAUAUACAAUUUUAAAGAGGAAUUUGAUACAGUGGAUUAGUAGUAACAAGAAAAGCCAAAUGACGGGGCUUGUGAUGAUGACGAAGGGAGGUGGCUGCACUGGCGGGGACGGGGGAACGGGAAGGCGACAAAAGGAGCGAGAACGACUGAAGAGGAACAGAACCAGCUCUCGCUGGUGGCGUUUGUUAUGGCGGCAUUGAGGAAAUCGAUGGUGUCUUGUCGUGUUGAAAGAGGUGAAGACAUGAUCUCCGCCGUUCAUAACAUGGAGAUCGGGUGUCCCACAAAUGUCCGGCACAUUACUCACGUCACCUUCGAUCGGUUCAACGGCUUUCUGGGUCUUCCUGUUGAGUUCGAGGUGGAGGUCCCGUGUCGAGUUCCGAGUGCUAGGUAGGUAUUGUAAUUGAAUUGGAUUUUUGGUUCCGCUAUGUGGGCGUUCAUAGUUUUUUUCCACUAUUCAUCUGUGGUUUACUUGGAGUGCUCGUCUAAAUUUUGUUUCUAGCAUAGGCAUAGCUUAGCUGGCUGUGUCAUUCUUGUUUAAACAUUUGAAAUUUGAAUGUCUGUACACACUUUGAACUGAGAUUUAACUUCUUCGUUUAAGCUGAAAUUUUGCAUUCAAAGAUGGUAUUUUUUUUUUCUGUUGUGCAAACUGAACUUAAGAGGGUUUAAAAAUUACGUUUUUGAAUUGAAACCCCCAUGCCGCCUUCUUUUUGCUACGAAAUUGAAGGGAAAAGUUAAAUUAAUAUCAAGUUGGUAUAUCAGCCCCUUAAACUGUAAAAGUCGAAGAUUAACAACUCUGCUGUUGUUUCUUCCUAAAUUUUUCAAUUUUCUCUGAAGUGAAAAGUCGGAGGAGUGGCCGGAAACGGAAAUGAAAUUCGGGUCGAGUUCGUGGGUAUUGUGAUAAAGAGAGGGGUAUUAUAAUAUAUGUGUAAUAAAAAAUAAAAAUAUGUAAAUAGUAAAUAGUUUAAGGUGCUAUCUAAAAUGUUCAUAUGGAUGCAGUAGAAAUUAUCUUAAUAUUUGUAUAGCAAAGAUUAAAUAAAAUUAAGUAAAAGAGGCUCUAUAAAAAUUUACAGCUGUGCUGGUAAAAAAGACCAAAAUAAUGGUACGGUACUACUGUAGUACCGUAGCUUGAUCCUGAUGACAAUGAACAUUAUCGAAAGAAAAGAAAAAUUAAAAGAGAGAGAAGAGGAAAAUUAAAAGAAAUAAUUACUUUUUAAUAAAUAAACAUAAAGUUAAUAAAUAUUAUUUUUUAAAUUAAUAAAAAAAAAUUAAUAUAAUAUAAUACAGCUCAGCAACAGUGUUAUAAAUAUCCCUGAUUGCAAUGUUAUUUUUACUCUUUUAACUUAAUGCACUAUGGGCAAGUUCUUGAAUUAAUUGAUUAUGUGCCAUUGCUAUUAAUAUUUAUAUAUACUAUUUAUCAAUUAUUGAAUAUUUUGGAUUAAUCUAAACUAUUAUAAUUCCAAUAAACCUUCGUACUAACACAUUAAUAUGACAGAAGAUGAAUAUCUUUGAAUGUGUUUGGUUGUAGUAUUAAGGGGGUAUUAAAUUACUAUUUACAUUAAGUUAAUACUUGUACCAUGUUUGGGGAAACAUGACAUGGGUUAAAAGCACUGUAGCUAAUGCAUCAACUGACACAUUAGCUUUGUUUUUUACAGCAGCUUUUGCUUUUAACUUUUGCUUUUUGUUUUAUUAUUAUUAUAAUACUAAAAUAAUAAAUAAAUAUAAUUUUUAAUUUAAUAUAUAUUUUUUAAUUUAUUUGUUUUUAUAUUAUAAUUAUUAAUAUAAAUUAAUAAAUAAAUAAUUUAUCAUUCAAUAAUAGUAUUUUUUUUUAUUUUUACAUUAUAAUUAAUUAAUAAAUUUAUAACUUAUUAUAACUAAUAAAAAUAUUUAAAUAUGACUGCUGUACGGCCAAGGCGGAUGUACGGUACAGCAGUAAGGUCACAAGAAGAAUUCCUUUUUUCUAGGGACUUGCAGAAUAAAACAAUGCUUCUUCCUAACCAAACAUAAUCUGAUAGAGUGCAGGAUUUUCUGCAGCCUCUGAUGCAACACGGGUCUCAAUUUUACUUGGCCUAUUCAAGGUAGGUUCAUGCACUUUAUUUUUUAUGUCAAAUGUUUAUUUCUUUUGUAUAUGCAUUUCCUAUUUAAUCAUAUGAGACUAACGUAUUAUAUAAGUUUCAAAUUUCAUCUUGGCCUCAUUUUUCCUAAUUCUGAACACUUUGCAAUGAUGUCUCUGUCCUGUUGGUAAGUUUAGUGUGUUUUCUGAGCUUCCUUGGAAAGCUUAUUGCUUGAUUGGAGCAUGGAAGUAAAAGCAUGUGAAACAUUUAUUUCAUGGAAAGGUGGCAGGAAAUAUUUUGUUGAUUCUGUACAAAGUUACAAAUGUACAUGCACAAGUGUUGUUAUGUUUUUAUGACUUCCGAUACUGCAUGUAUGCUCCCCCUCCCCCAACAACAAGAAAGAUAUUUUUAGCUGAUUUAUCUUGAUUUUCAUUUUUGAAUUUUUGCUAAGCACAGCAGUAUCAUUCAAUAAUAGUAUAUUUUUUAUUUUUACAUUAUAAUUUAUUAAUAAAUUUAUAAUUUAUUAUAAUUAAUAAAAAUAUUUAAAUAUAAAUAAAUUUAAAUAAUAUUAAUUUAAAAUUAAUAAUAAUAUAAAUAAUAACAUAAAAUAUUAAUGCAAUUUAAAUAUAUUAAUAUAAUAUAAAAUAUUAAUAUAAUAUAAUAUUUAAUUUAAAUUAAUUAAAAAAAUAAUACAGUAUAAUGUAGCACUAAGUAUUGUACAAUAUUAUUAUAAUAUAAUACAAUAUAAUACAAUACACUAAUAUUAAAAUAAUAUAAUAUAAUACAAUACAAUAUAAUGUGUCAAACGCACUCAUAUUAUUGAACACCGACGGUAUAUUUGCCAUAUAUAUGUGUGUGCCCGUAGGGGUUUUUAGAUUUUAACAAAGUUUACCGUGAAACAUUUAAAUAAAUAAAAAAUAUUCAGAAACACUUUAGUAAUGAAUGGUCAGAUUAUUAAUAAAAAAGAAAAUAAAACGAACUGUGUGUGAAUCGAAUUAUAUAAUUUUAAUAAAGAAAAUAAUAAUAAUUAUUCUCAUUUAAAAUUUAUCACAUUGGUCCAAUAAAAGUUUAUUUACAGGAACACCAUUUGAUCGUCAAUCUCCGUCUAUCGACGAAGAGCACGACUUCUCGGGAUGUUUCUUUCUCUCUUGGGGAAACCUAAUUCAAAGCGACUCCUGAAUCCUGAAACCAGCUACAAUCAGAUUCGAUCGAUAUGUACGUCUGAUAUUGAUGCUUCAUUUUGUUUACUUCUUCGUUUGUUCGCCAAGAAAGAAAAAGAAAAGAAAAGAAAGCACGCAUUCUCAGCUGUUUUAGUUUAACGCAGCUUGUAGUAUUACUACUGUACGGAUUGUAUUAGGGUCAGUUAUUCAGCAACGACGACGAUUAGUUUUAAAAGUUAAUUUUGAUUUCAGGUCACAAGAGGAAAUUGCAAGGGAAGCUAUAAAGCACGCUCUCAAGGCGUUGCGGAAACGGCAUUUAGUGGAAGAAGGCGCUCAUGCUCCCGCCAUUAUCGCUCUUUCAAGGCCGAUCAUUUCUCAGGUCUCCUAUAAUAAAAAUAACAUUCUGCUUUUCUCUAAUUUCAAUUCAAUUAUUGCUUAAUUAUGGAUCUUUAUUUUUAUCGUUGAAUUUUGUUAAUCUAGUUGGUUAAGUGUGUUUAUGUGCGUGUCACUGUAGGGAUCCGAAUGGAAGGAGAAAGCGGAUAAUCUGGAAACAGAGCUUCAGCAAUGUUACAAAGCUCAAUCUAGGUUAUCAGAGCAGCUUGUGGUUGAAGUAGCUGAGUCUAGAUCUUCUAAAGCUUUAUUGCAAGAGAAAGAAUCACUGAUUACUUCACUACAGGAAGAAUUGACGCAAAUAAGGUUUUGUAUUUUUACUUUCCAUUAUGUUUUUUGUUGUUUGAUUGGUUGAUGCUUGGGAGGUUAAAUUAAAUUUUAAGUAUUCCAGGGAUGAAUGUUCUCAGUUGAAGACGGAAUUGGAAGAAAAGAUCAAGGCUUUGGAAUUAGUUGUGAGCGAGAACCAGCAAAUCAGAGCACAGCUAGAAGAGAUGACUAUGAAAGCUAAAAAUGCUGAAGCUGAAAAUAAAAUGUUAGUUGAUAGAUGGAUGUUGCAAAAGAUGCAGGACGCUGAACGGCUAAAUGAGGUAUUUGGUACUCUUGUAUUUGUUGAACUGCGGACUUGGAAUUUUGUAAUGGCUCUGCUAAGGAGAUUAGAUACCUUAGAUUUGGUGGGGACAAAUGUCAUGUAAUUGGUCUCUUAGCUGAUAUCUAUAAGUUGCUUUAUACUGAACAGUCUUGAGUUGGAUGUUACAGAGGAGAUGGCUGUCUUUACUAGUGGCUGUCGUCUUGGUCUCCUUUUUAUUUUACUUGGCAUGAUUCUGAGGCCAUCUUCUUUAAUUUAAUGAAUACAAGUUAUUAGUAGCCAAUAGAAUUGCAAAGUAGUUUAUGAAUAUUUGAGAAGAACAAAAUAUAGUUGGUGAAAAAAUUUAAAUGAGCAAUAAUGUCACUUAAAAUGUCGAUGCAUCCUUCAGUGGCUGAAUUUUGUACCUUGUUUUGAAAGUGAUAGGAUUUUCUAUUAGCUUCUAUCAGUCUUCAUUUUAAAUUUUGAUGCCUAUGAAAGAAUUGUGAAAGCAUUGCUGUUUUAGAAUUGGAGUUCAGAGUUUAAUGAGAGUGGAUUUUUCCCAUUUAUUCUGAAAGUGUGUAGAUUCAAAUUCAUUAUUUCCUUUUUUUGCUUAAUGUGUUUUUCUUAAUUUAACAUGAAUUCCUGUCACUUCUUUAGGCAAAUGCACUUUAUGAAGAUAUGAUUGAUCGGCUCAAGGCCAGUGGGUUAGAGAAACUUGCUAAACAGCAGGUAGAUGGUGUGGUUCGCCGAAGUGAAGAAGGUGCUGAGUUCUUUGCGGAGUCAACUGUUCCAUCUACAUGCAAACAUAAGAUCAAUGCCCAUGAAGGUGGCUGUGCAUCCAUAUUGUUUGAAUACAAUUCUGCCAGAUUGAUUAGUGGUGGACAGGACAAGUCAAUUAAAUUGUGGGAUACAAACACUGGGUCAUUAAGCAGUACCCUCUAUGGUUGCCUUGGCUCAGUUCUUGAUCUUGCUAUUACCCAUGAUAAUAGAUCUGUCAUUGCUGCAAGUAGCUCAAACAACUUGUAUGUUUGGGAUGUCAACUCAGGGCGUGUCCGUCAUACUCUCACAGGUCACACAGAUAAAGUGUGUGCUGUAGAUGUGAGCAAAAUUUCAAGCCGGCAUGUCGUAAGUGCAGCUUAUGAUCGUACUUUAAAAGUGUGGGAUUUGCAUAAAGGUUACUGUGUGAACACAAUCAUUUUUCACAGCAACUGUAAUGCUCUUGCCUUCAGUAUGGAUGGACAGACCAUAUUUUCUGGUCAUAUUGAUGGGAAUCUGCGUUUGUGGGAUAUUCAAACAGGAAAGCUACUUAGUGAAGUUGCUGCACAUUCACUUGCUGCAGUUACAUCUAUCUCUUUGUCGCGAAGUGGAAACAUAAUACUAACUAGCGGGCGAGACAACUUGCACAACUUAUUUGAUAUACGGUCUUUAGAAGUUUGUGGCUCACUAAGAGCAACUGGAAACAGAGUGGCAUCUAAUUGGAGCCGAUCCUGCAUAAGUCCGGAUGAGAGCUAUGUUGCUGCUGGCUCAGCUGAUGGAUCUGUAUAUAUCUGGUCAAUAUCUAAAGCUGAUAUAGUGAGAACGUUGAAGGAGCACACAGCUCCCGUACUGAGUUGUUCAUGGAGUGGGCUUGGAAAACCGCUGGCAUCUGCUGACAAGAAUGGAGUUGUUUGUGUUUGGACGUGACAGAUCUAACAAUAUACACACCCAUGUAAAUAUGUUAAAACAGAAGCUGCAAAUCUGGUUCCUAAUGCAUCUUCAGCGAUCAUCAAGUUGCUUGAACCGCAGAGAUAUUUAUUGUAUAAAACCAGAUCAUUACUCAUUUAAUUGUUCAAUUAUCUACCAAGAAAGUUGGGUAGACUGGUUGGUUACUGGUUAUUCUUUUACGGAAUACAAAGGAUUUAUUUUGGUUCUUGAUAUGUGUGUCAUCACAUUAGCUCUCACUUUGUCUUAUGUUUAAUGUUCGCAUCGUAUUGUAUCUUUGGUAUGAAAUUAUAAUGGCGGUGCUAGACCUGUAUAUAAAUGUUGAAAACGUUGAGCCGGGGGUCGGGGCAGAUUGGAUUGGGUGAGGUCUCAAGAUCUGCUAGUUGGGUCGGACAAAAGGCCCAAACCAAGAACAACUAUGUCCAUGUACAUAUGGUAGUAAUAAAUCAUCCUCAAUAAGAACAUUUGCGAGUUCCGAGCUUUAGCCAGCUUGAUAUUUACCCAAAUUAGCAAGUUGUACAUUAUCGGUAGUAAUCGCACCAAUUAUUAUUAUUGCUGAUUUGCUUCGAACAAGGAAACUACUAAAUAAAAUUUGAUAUCUCUGUCAUCUUCUUCUCUUCAUGUUAAAUACGUUAAAGAAACGGAAUGUGUAGGUAAGAAAUAGGAAGCACAAUCAAUUACUUGCAUAGUUGAAUUUCGGGCAAAAGCUGCCUGAACAAAACUUAGACGAAUUAUUAAUAAUUACCCGAAGAGGCUUGCAAUGCAUCAACGGCAAUACCAUCAUUUUCGUGGGUUUGGUUCAUGGCAGCUUCUAGUGGAGCAACACAUGGCAAUGGCCUCGCAUACUCUGCUUACAGUGCAAGUAACAAUCGCUUUAAGAGAUUAAUUAUUAGAUGUUGAAAAUUUUUACGAAAGAAAAAAUGGGUGGGAUUGGAUCAAUUUUCAUGUGUGUUCUUACUUAUAGUGAUGAGUGCCCCACCUAUUACGUUACAUUAUUUCUCCAAGCAACAACAACAAUACAUUGACCAUUUAGUCAAAUGUUUUGGACCAAUAUUGUUCCGUUUAAUGUGAUUUACAUUACCACUCCAUCCAAAAUGAUUUCUUUUUGGCUCAAAAUCUGAACUUGAGAUAUCUAUUGUUGUCACAUAAAUUCGAAUUAUUGACAGCAAAUGGAUCUGAUUGAACCUUUCAAUCUUCCAACCCGUUACAAGUUUAAAAAGCGCUUCCUGUUUCAGUUACAAGCACUUUUGUCCCAUUCGCAUAAUUAUCGUGGUUCGUAGCCUCCAUGGACGUAACCAUGCUCGUCACUUGUCACCCUUCCUUUGCUUUUCCGGUUACAAAUAUACAUACGUAAUAACGUGUAUGGCAUGCAAAAAAUCACUCAUUUUUCCCACAAGUUUUCUAUGUUAAGACCUAACUGAUUCACAAAAACUGCUUCUGAGCUUUUCAGCUUUUCCAUAGAAGUAACCCAAUAACUGACUUGCAUGAUAGGGAAUCGCUUGGAAAUGUGAAACCAAUCAAUUCAGCUUAUUCUCCAUUAAAUUUAUCUACAUUAUUAGACAUUGUUUAUGCCCAUAAGGAACCUCUAACUUCUUCAUUUAUAAUCCCUUGUUUUGUUCUCCACUCUCAUCAUCAUCUCUUAUCUUUCUCUUCAUUUUUUCGCUCUAUAUAAAGCAGUCCUCAAGGUUCUCCUAGUUCCCAAUAUCUUGUGUUGAAUCAUACUCGUAAGUACCACUUGAAAAAGAAAAAAAAAGGUUAAAAAAUGAAGAGGGUUUAUUUACUAGCUGCCUUUUUGCUAGCUUUGGUUCUGGGAAUCGUUGAGGGUUUCGAUUUCCAUGAGAAGGAGUUGGAAUCCGAGGAAGGUCUGUGGGAUUUAUACGAGAGGUGGAGGAGUCAUCAUACGGUUUCAAGGAGUCUUGAUGAGAAGCAUAAGCGCUUCAAUGUGUUCAAGCAAAAUGUUAUGCAUGUUCACCAAACUAACAAGAUGGACAAGCCUUACAAGUUGAAGCUGAACAAGUUUGCGGACAUGACAAAUCAUGAAUUUGCAAGCACAUACGCUGGAUCAAAGAUUAAGCAUCACAGGAUGUUCCAAGGGACGCGUGGAAACGGGACCUUCAUGUAUGGGAAGGUAACGAGUAUCCCACCAUCAGUCGAUUGGAGGAAGAAAGGGUCUGUCACCGCUGUCAAGGAUCAAGGCCAAUGCGGUAAGCAUUGGCUUUCACUAUGCUGGUUUACUAAUAAUGUGACAUUUCCUCUUAUGGCUAAACGUUUAAUUCUAUUUCGUUCUUUGCUGUGGGAUAGGUAGCUGCUGGGCUUUUUCAACAAUUGCAGCAGUAGAGGGCAUUAAUCACAUUAUGACAAAUAAGCUCGUAUCUUUGUCUGAGCAAGAGUUAGUUGAUUGUGACACUGAUCAAAACCAAGGAUGUAAUGGAGGGCUAAUGGAAUUGGCAUUUGAGUUCAUCAAGAAAAAGGGUGGCGUAACAACAGAGGCUAAGUACCCUUACCAAGCUAAUGAUGGAACAUGUGACGUUUCAAAGGUAUGAUAACUAUUGUGCAGCAUUUUCUUCAAUUUGAAUUGAACAUGAACUAUCUGUUACUUGUGAUAGUGAAAUAAUGAGAAUUUCCCAUCAAUUUUGCAGGAAAGUUCCCCAGCAGUGUCAAUUGACGGACAUGAAAAUGUACCUGCUAAUCACGAGGAUGCUCUGCUUAAGGCAGUUGCAAAACAGCCUGUGUCAGUAGCCAUAGAUGCCGGCAGUUCAGAUUUCCAGUUCUAUUCAGAGGUAAAAAAUCAGAUUGAAAGCAACCUAAAUAAAUAGGAAAGCAAACUGUUUGAUAAAAAUCAUUCAACAGUGAAUUUAUUGAAUGUUAUUGCAGGGUGUAUUUACUGGAGAAUGUGGCACAGAGCUGAAUCAUGGAGUUGCAGCUGUGGGCUACGGUACAACACUCGAUGGAACCAAGUAUUGGAUAGUGAGGAACUCAUGGGGACCUGAAUGGGGAGAGAAGGGUUACAUCAGAAUGCAGCGCGGCAUCUCAGACAAAAAGGGACUCUGUGGUAUUGCAAUGGAAGCUUCAUAUCCCAUCAAGAAAUCUGCAACAAACCCAACAGGACCUUCAGAUUAUCCUAAGGAUGAGCUCUAGACACCGUUCACUAUUGUCUUUGGCUUUUCUCUGCAUUUCAAGCUCAGCGGUUAUCUCUUCUGUGUUAAAGUUGGCAUGUAAUAUGCCCUUGUGAUUCAUGAUUGAAUAAUGUUUCGAUUUAUGCAAAUAAAGCCAACAUUUUACAGAAGUAAGUGCUUACAUUUUUCAGACAGGGUCUUGUACUUGAAGACUGUAUGACAUGCUCUGUCAAAUCUCUUUGAAGGAAGAAUUUCUUAUACUUACGACUACAAAAAAGUUCGAUACAGAUCCCAAGAUCCGAGUCCCGAGUCCCUACUAUUUUACAACUUUAUUAUAACUAUCGCGUCAAAUAAUUAUUAAUAUUUAACAUGAUGCAGCAAUUAUAAUGACUUGCCAAAUAUAAUGAUUUGAUGGAUGUUACACGGUUUAAAAUGAAAAAAAAAAAUUGGAUAAAAUUUGUGAAUCUUUAUCAUAAAAUCCCAACUACAAUUGCUAAGACUGAUUCUAAUAUUAAUUUGUAAACUUUGGGAGCUAACAAUUUGAUUAAUAAAUGUGCUUAUGUUUUGUAAGAGAGGAGAUAUUGGACCCCAUCUUCUACAUUAUGAAACCCCUUACUGAGUAUCUCCUAUUAAAAUUCUAAAACCUACUCUAAUUCCACUAACCACUAAGAUCCAGAUUUCAUGUUUGACAAGAAAUGAAUUUGCAAAGCACAUGCGCUGAUCAAAUAUUAAGCAUCACAGGAUGUUCCAAGGGCACAUGGAAACGAGAGCUUCCUGCACUCCAUUGAUUGAAGGAAAAAAUGGUCAGUCGCCACUGUCAUGGACCAACGCCACUGUGGUAAGGAUCAUUUUCCACUUUGCUUGCUGCUGAAAUAAUUGAUCUUAACAAAAAGCGACAGAUAAUUUACUUGGUAGCUUAAAUUUUUAACUCUGGUACAGUUGGUCGCUGGGCAUUUUCAACAAUUUUAGAGCUGAGAGUAUUAAUCACACUAAGAAGAAUGGGCUUAUAUCUUUAUCUGAGCAAGAAUUGGUUGAUUGUGACAACGAGCGAAACCAAGGAUGUAAGGAGGGCUAGUGGAACCACAAUUUGAGUUUAUUAAGAAAAAAGGUGGAAUAACAACAGAAUGUGAUGCUCUGCUUACAGAAGAAGCAAACCAACCUGUAUCCAUAGUCAUUGACACUGGGAUUUCAAUUUCCAGUUUUAUACCUGAUUGAGUUUAGUAUAAUGACCCACCGAGUUGCCUGACAAAGAGAACAGAAACUAAAAACUAAUUGAAGAACUAAUAGAUUAUCACUCCAUUGGGUUAAAUUUUUUUUCCGGGGUGUGUUUGCUGGACACUGAGACACAGAGCUGAAUCAUGAUGAUGCAGUUGUGGGCUAUGGAAAAACACUUUUCAAAACCAAGUACAGGAUAUUAAAGAAUUCAUGGGGAGCCAAACUGGGAGAGAAAGGUCACACAAGAAAGAGGGACCGUGUGGAAUUGCUACGGAGGCUUGGUGGCCCAUCAAAAAAUUCCUCGUCAAACCCUGCACGACCUUCAGAUUCUCUUAAAAAUGAACUCACUCUAAACAACGUUCACUAUUAUCCUUAGCUUUGCUACGCAUCUCAGCCGACUAAUGCUUUGAUAAGACGAACAGUUACAAUCAACUACUGCAAAGUCAGUCUUGCAAACAAACAAUCCAUAACCAGGAACUCAAGAAGUGCAGCAACGCCAAGGCAGUUUUUACAGAAAGCAACGCACAGUUUAUAUGGUAAUUAAUCAAAGCAAGCUUAACAAGAGUUCGCUUAUCGUUAUUAAGACACGUAGAUAUGAUAAUAAACAAGGUUCAAGCUAUAAAAAGGUCAAACGUCAACCGUAGCAUCUGAUGGGAUCAUUGCAGCCCUUUUCAGCAGACUGCUUGGAGCCUCUGCCACUACCCUUUUCAAGAUACUGCUGAUGGUACUCCUCGGCUCUGUAAAAUCUCUUCGCAGGAAGAAUCUCUGUUACAAUCUUCCUCUGAUCCUUCAUCUCCAACUGCUUUGCUUCCAUUGACUCUCGGGCUAAACGAGCCUGUGUCUCAUUGUAAUAGUAUAUCCCUGAUCUGUACUGUGUCCCCACGUCACCUCCCUGGCGAUUGAGCGUGGUGGGGUCAUGGCGGCCCCAGAAAACGGAGAGCAGAUUGGUGUAGGGGCAAACUUGCGGGUCAAACUGGACCCGAACAACCUCCACGUGAUUGGUGGUUCCGGAGCAAACGAGUCUGUAGUUGGGAUCAGGGACGUUGCCUUGUGAAUACCCCACUUCAGUCUUGGAUACGCCCACCACACGCUGAAACGCCAGCUCCACUCCCCAGAAGCACCCGGCUCCGAAUUGGGCGAACUCGUGACCCGGAUUGUCCGGUUGGUCCAGAUCCGGACCCACAGCUGGAUUCGUCGUGCUGUUAUCUCCGGUGGCGGCCAUUUCCCCAAUUCCCGCAACUGCAGGCUCCUCUAACUAACUGGCGCUGAAAAAGUAAACGGCUGUAGCUAGUGCCAGCGUACAAAAGAGUAGAUAGUUGUAAGAGUUUGUCAAUCAUUCAUUAUAUUAACCGUCAACCGGUGAAUGUAGCGACGAUCAUGGCCACAUACAAACGUCUUAAUUGAUUGUCUAAUCCUAACAAGUGGUGGCAAUGCUAUUAACAAACCGUAAAAAAUUAAAUUAUCAAAUUCGUCCGUAAUAUGAAACGCUUUGGAUUUCGACAGUUACCAAAAUGAUCAAUAAUUCGUAAUAAUUUUUUAACGGAUUUUUUCAUUUAAAAUCAUAAAUAUUAAAAAUAUAUAUUUAAUAAUAUAUACAAAAAUUAAAUUAUAUAAUUUAAACUAUAAAUUUAUAGUAACAACUUAAAAUAAUCUACAUACAAUAAUCAAUUUUUAGAUUUUAUAAAUAUAAAUUAAAAAAAAAAUAAAUUUUCAACAUUAAGACAAAUACACAAAAUAUAUUAAUUUAAAACAAAAUAUUUUUAUUGUAAGCAAAUCAUCAUUGUUAAUAUCAAUGCCUUACUCUAUCUUUUGAUCAAUAUACAAAUAUUAUCAGUAGUAUUAACAACUAAGUUUUGUACAAUUAUUACUAACAAUUAAUUAAACAAAUAAAAGUCUAACUUUAGUAAUCAAUCAUUAGGUUUAAGCCAUUAAAGAAAAACAAACAAAAUCAAUCAAUUAAAACAAAAAUAUCAAUAAUAUUAAACUUAAAAAUUAUAAUUUUUUUAGUUAUUAAAAGAUUAUUUUGUGUGUGUGUGUCACACACACACUCUCUCUAUAGAAUUAUAGACUAUAUAUACAUACUUUUUUUUUAAUACGUACACGUUUUUAAGCCAUGCAGUUUAAUAAAGUCAGUUUUUAAUAUCAUCACGACUUAACAACUUGUCUACAUUUAAAAAAUGAGAGUGUCUGUACUUGAGAAUAUAUAUAUAACAUAAGGAAAUAGGAUCGAAGGAUGGAUGUAUUUUAUGAGAGAAAUUAUAAACAAAGAAAUCAAUUUGCGAUUGUGAGUUCUUUUUAUUUGGGCUAUGGAAAAACACUUUUCAAAACCAAGUACAGGAUAUUAAAGAAUUCAUGGGGAGCCAAACUGGGAGAGAAAGGUCACACAAGAAAGAGGGACCGUGUGGAAUUGCUACGGAGGCUUGGUGGCCCAUCAAAAAAUUCCUCGUCAAACCCUGCACGACCUUCAGAUUCUCUUAAAAAUGAACUCACUCUAAACAACGUUCACUAUUAUCCUUAGCUUUGCUACGCAUCUCAGCCGACUAAUGCUUUGAUAAGACGAACAGUUACAAUCAACUACUGCAAAGUCAGUCUUGCAAACAAACAAUCCAUAACCAGGAACUCAAGAAGUGCAGCAACGCCAAGGCAGUUUUUACAGAAAGCAACGCACAGUUUAUAUGGUAAUUAAUCAAAGCAAGCUUAACAAGAGUUCGCUUAUCGUUAUUAAGACACGUAGAUAUGAUAAUAAACAAGGUUCAAGCUAUAAAAAGGUCAAACGUCAACCGUAGCAUCUGAUGGGAUCAUUGCAGCCCUUUUCAGCAGACUGCUUGGAGCCUCUGCCACUACCCUUUUCAAGAUACUGCUGAUGGUACUCCUCGGCUCUGUAAAAUCUCUUCGCAGGAAGAAUCUCUGUUACAAUCUUCCUCUGAUCCUUCAUCUCCAACUGCUUUGCUUCCAUUGACUCUCGGGCUAAACGAGCCUGUGUCUCAUUGUAAUAGUAUAUCCCUGAUCUGUACUGUGUCCCCACGUCACCUCCCUGGCGAUUGAGCGUGGUGGGGUCAUGGCGGCCCCAGAAAACGGAGAGCAGAUUGGUGUAGGGGCAAACUUGCGGGUCAAACUGGACCCGAACAACCUCCACGUGAUUGGUGGUUCCGGAGCAAACGAGUCUGUAGUUGGGAUCAGGGACGUUGCCUUGUGAAUACCCCACUUCAGUCUUGGAUACGCCCACCACACGCUGAAACGCCAGCUCCACUCCCCAGAAGCACCCGGCUCCGAAUUGGGCGAACUCGUGACCCGGAUUGUCCGGUUGGUCCAGAUCCGGACCCACAGCUGGAUUCGUCGUGCUGUUAUCUCCGGUGGCGGCCAUUUCCCCAAUUCCCGCAACUGCAGGCUCCUCUAACUAACUGGCGCUGAAAAAGUAAACGGCUGUAGCUAGUGCCAGCGUACAAAAGAGUAGAUAGUUGUAAGAGUUUGUCAAUCAUUCAUUAUAUUAACCGUCAACCGGUGAAUGUAGCGACGAUCAUGGCCACAUACAAACGUCUUAAUUGAUUGUCUAAUCCUAACAAGUGGUGGCAAUGCUAUUAACAAACCGUAAAAAAUUAAAUUAUCAAAUUCGUCCGUAAUAUGAAACGCUUUGGAUUUCGACAGUUACCAAAAUGAUCAAUAAUUCGUAAUAAUUUUUUAACGGAUUUUUUCAUUUAAAAUCAUAAAUAUUAAAAAUAUAUAUUUAAUAAUAUAUACAAAAAUUAAAUUAUAUAAUUUAAACUAUAAAUUUAUAGUAACAACUUAAAAUAAUCUACAUACAAUAAUCAAUUUUUAGAUUUUAUAAAUAUAAAUUAAAAAAAAAAUAAAUUUUCAACAUUAAGACAAAUACACAAAAUAUAUUAAUUUAAAACAAAAUAUUUUUAUUGUAAGCAAAUCAUCAUUGUUAAUAUCAAUGCCUUACUCUAUCUUUUGAUCAAUAUACAAAUAUUAUCAGUAGUAUUAACAACUAAGUUUUGUACAAUUAUUACUAACAAUUAAUUAAACAAAUAAAAGUCUAACUUUAGUAAUCAAUCAUUAGGUUUAAGCCAUUAAAGAAAAACAAACAAAAUCAAUCAAUUAAAACAAAAAUAUCAAUAAUAUUAAACUUAAAAAUUAUAAUUUUUUUAGUUAUUAAAAGAUUAUUUUGUGUGUGUGUGUCACACACACACUCUCUCUAUAGAAUUAUAGACUAUAUAUACAUACUUUUUUUUUAAUACGUACACGUUUUUAAGCCAUGCAGUUUAAUAAAGUCAGUUUUUAAUAUCAUCACGACUUAACAACUUGUCUACAUUUAAAAAAUGAGAGUGUCUGUACUUGAGAAUAUAUAUAUAACAUAAGGAAAUAGGAUCGAAGGAUGGAUGUAUUUUAUGAGAGAAAUUAUAAACAAAGAAAUCAAUUUGCGAUUGUGAGUUCUUUUUAUUUUGAGUACGUGGCGUUGUGACCAGAUCGAUGCAGAACUUAAUCUGCCUUUGUGACCAGAUCUGACUUAGAACAUAUCAAUAUCACGCACGUUCUGUUUUUCAGCCGAUAUACUAUAUUGUUUUACCGAAUAUGAAUUAGGUUCUUUAAACAAGCCUAGCAACAGAUCUAAAGGCUCAUAGAUAGUACUAGAUCUGGAUCCCAGAAGUAGCACUCUGAAUGGAUGGGGGGAGAAAAGAAGAUACAACUGAGAAUAGAGAUCUGGUCUUGUUGCCUCAGAGGAACGUAGCAGUUUUAUGGCAGAGCUGAUACAGAUCAGUCUGCAAAGUAUGCAUAAAAUUUAAAUUGCUGGAAUUGAAAUGUUUUAAAGUAAAUUGCGGAAAUUAAACAUGCAGAACUUUAAAUAUACAACAAAGCUUUAAAUAAAAAUUUAAAGAACUAAUUAAACAUACAUGCUUGCUUUAUUUCUUGGAUCCAAAUGUUUUUCCAAGUUUUGUACAAUUUUACAGAUCUUCUAGAGAAGAAAGAUUGAAAGACGGGAAGAUUACAAGACAGGAAAAGUUUCCUUGACGUCUUGAUCCAGACUUCCCAAGAGAGAGAGAGAGAAGAAGAGAAAACUAGAUCUGAAAAAUCUAAGGAGUCUAAGUCUUCCUCUCGAUUUAAAUACAAAGAUUGAAUUUUUUAACUGUAGCGAGUCUGUAGCUUCUCCACUGUAGCGAAACUGUAGCUUUCCACUGUAGCGAACUGUAGCUUGAAACAGUAGUCUUUGGAACAUACAGUCUUUACAAAUAUAAUUCGGAUGAAGAGACAUGUGCGCUCUCACUUGUGUCCAGGGGACCACCUGAGGGUACAAACAUGUAUACAUAAUUUGAAAAUACAAGAGAGGAAUAUAAAUACUGGAAUACUUUUUUUUUUAAUUAAACAUAAUAACUAUUUACAAUGCUUUACUGGAGAGAAGAUUCCAAAGCAGUCGUCUUCAUUCUCAUCUCCAAGAGAAAUAAAUGGCUCUUCAUCUUGAUCAUCAUCAUCAGAGGAGUCUGCAACUGAGGACUUUGAUCUUGAGGUGAGGAGUUGCUCCAUGACUUUAAAAUAUUCUUCUUCAGAUUUGGCGCUGGCCAAAAGAGAUUGGGCUUUGGAUUUUUGGGUUAGAAAUGUUUCUUGGGCCUUUACGGCUUUAAUAGUUGGGGGUAAGAAACCUUUAGAACAGAGCCAAUUGCGGAUCAGAGUGUGUCAAUUUGGACUGUUCGUCAAACUUUGACUAUCAUUUUACUUUGAAUGUUCUUUGUAAGAUGAGCUGGGCAUCUUGGGUAUGAAAUUUGAGAUUCCACAUUCAUACCUAUGGAAGGAAGAAAUUUGUACAAAAACAAAGAAAUGGGGGAAACCUUUUCUCGGAUUCAGAAGGAAUAUAGUGGGCUUUAAAGAGGUUUAAACAAUGGGUGGCAUUUGGAGUUAGAAUCUGAGGGAUUGGGCCAAAAGAGUUCCACCAAUGUUGAAACCAGUUUGGGAGGCUUUGAACGGUUAUUUUUGAAUUGAAGAAAAAUAACCAAGAGUGAGAUUUUUUUUAGGGUUUUGAAUAAAAAAUGUGUUAGACCAGGCUUGUUGGUAACCCCAAUAUGAAUAAGUCAAACAAUGUGGUAAACGCAUUUGAAAAUUUGGAGGGAAGGUUUUUUGUUUGUGAAGUUGAUCACCCCACUGGUUUGGGCUCAAGACUUUUAGGAUAGUAGCCGUGGAAUAGGCUGGCUCUGAAUGGGUUUCACUGAGAAAGAAAUGUUUGAAAUUUACUGACUCAGUGGCUUCUAAAAUGCUUUGAUAAUAAGACUGGGGUUUUGUAAAAUCCCAUAGUUUGAAAAAUCAGCCUUUAGGGAAAAACUUUGAAAUAGCAUGGAAAGGAUCAGUAUGGUAAAAACCAUCUUCCAUAGAUAAAAUAUUUUGGAAGUGGGUUUUAUCAAACCAAUCCGAAGAUUUCUUUGAAAGUUUUGGCUGGGAAAACAUAAUCUGAGAAUAUGAACUUUCACCAGAAACAACUACAUUUUGAGAAGAGGGUUUUAAAAUCUCUUUGGAAAUAGGUUUUUCUUUUUCAACAUCUUUUUUAGGAGAAAUUUGGCUUUGAGAAAAACUUCGUAAAGCGAGCAUAAGCUCAGGAGAUUUAGAAAUGGAUUUCAUCCAUUCAUUUACCUGCUCAUGAGAAGUAAGGGCUUUAGACUGGGCUUCUUGAUCUUCUAUCAUGUCGAUCCAAGACUUGAUUGGCAUGGCAGAAGAAAGUAAUUUUUCUUUAGGUGGAGAUGUUUGGGAAACUUUGGAAUGUGUUUGGGACACAUGUUCCUUAAGAAUCCUUUUCCCUUUGUCUUUCUUUUUGGGCGGGAUUUAUCUGUUUUGGAGAAAUUCCCUAGUUAGAAAAUCAGGGAUAGAAUUUGUAUCUCCUUUAAUAAACUUAAUAUUGAAAUAAAAAACGCUUAAAAUGGCUUCCCAUCUUGCAAAAAUUUGUUUUGAAGCAAUAUUUUGAACAUCUUUUUCCAAAACAUGUUUUGCGGCUUUGCAAUCAAUUCUAAGCAAAAAAUUUUGAUUUAAUGAAUCACUUUGGAAUUUAGAUAUGCACAAAACAACAGAAAUAAUUUCUUUUUUGAUAGUAGAAUAAUUUUUCUGGCAAUCAUUCCAGUGUGCAGAAACAUAUUGUACUAUUUGUUCUUUAUCACACUCUUUUUGUUUUAAUAUACCUCUGUAACCUAAAUCAGAUGCAUCAGUUUCAACUAUUUUAGGUAAUGCAGGAUUUGCCAGGAAUAAACAAGGAAUAUUCUUUACAGAAUUUUUUAUCAAUCGAACAGCUUUAGUGUGUUCAUCUGUCCAUGCAACAAGAUUCCUUUUUAAUCUGUCAUGCAAAGGUUUAGACAUCCGGUUAAUAUUAUGACAGAAAUCAAGAACAUAAUUUAAGCUUCCUAAAAAUCUUUGUAGUUGUGUUUUAUCAAGAAUUUUAUCAGGAAAUUUAUCCACAAACAAAAGUGAUCGCUCAAUAUGGGUGAUAGUUCCUUUAGAAAUAUAGUGACCAAGGAACCUGACCUUUGUUUGGAACAAUGAUACUUUAGAACUAGAAAGGGUUAGACCAACCUUUCUAGUGGCAAGAUAAAAGGUUUUUAAGUGCUUAAAAUGUUGAUCAAUUGUUUGAGAAAAAAUCAACACGUCAUCUAUAUAAACAAUGCAAAACUCAGAAUAAGGAUUAUAAAUGUCAUUCAUGAUUCUUUGAAAUUCUAAGGGUGCAUUUUUUAAUGCAAAUGGCAUUAUAGUCCACUCGUACUGUCCAAAAGGAACAGUAAAUGCAGUUUUAUAGCGGUCUUUAGAGUGGAUUUGAAUUUGCCAAAAACCAGAUUUCAUGUUAAAUUUUGAAAAAAUAAAAGCUGAACACAACUUCUGGAGCAAAUCUUUUUUAUUAGGUAUAAGAUACCUAAUCCAUUUUAAUGCUUUAUUUAAGGGUUUGUAAUUUAUUACAAGUCUCAGUGUUCCUCUUUCUAUUUCGGAGUUUUUAUUAACAUAAAAAGCGGCACAAGACCAUGGGGAUCUGGACUUUACAAUGAGUCCUUUGGUUUCUAAAUCUUUUAUCUCAUUUUUACAAUGUUGUUCUAAUUCCAUGUUCAUUUGGAUUGAACGAGCUUUAGUGGGUAUUUGUUUUUCAUCAAAAGAAUUGUCAUAGGGCAAAUCUACCAAAUGUUGUUUUCUUUCCCAAAAAGCAGAUGGUAAAUCGGCGCAUAUUUCUUUUUCAAUGAGAUUUUUAAAAUCAGAGAUUUUCCUUUGUAUAAAGUCAUUUUGUAAUUGGCUUUCAAUUCUUUGUAAACUUAAAUCAUUUUUUAAGCAAAAAAAGUUAUUUUGUUUAGAUUUAAGUAUGGCAUUGAUUUGGUUCUGGUAAACAGAACAAGCUUUAACAAUAUUUAGAUUUCUCGUUUUUGGUUUUUCAAUAAAAGAGAAAACAAACUUUUUGGAUUUUGCUUUAAAAGAUAUACUAUCAUAAUUGACAGUAUACGGAGUAAUGAGAUUUAUAAAUGGAGUUCCUAAAAUGACAGUAUAGUGUAUGUCAUUUGUAAGUAGAAAAGAAGUUCUGAAUUCAAAACCAUUGUUGUGCACUGAGGCAUCAACUUUUGAUUUAAUUUUUAGUUUUGAAUUAUUGGCGGCUGGGAGUCUUUCAUUUGUCUUUUCAUAGAAUUUUUUAGGGACAAUAUCUUCUUUAAUGCAAUUUAAGUCGGCACCAGUGUCAAAAAGGGUAAUGGUGUCAAUUUCAAAAUCUUUAGAAAGAAUUAGAGUGAUUUUAAUCAAAUAUUUUCUGGUGGUGAUUUGUUUUAAAACAAACAGGAAAUCAUUGGGCACAGAAUCAAUGUUUUCAAGGUUUUGUUCAUUAUCACCAUCUGUUUCAACUUCUUUAUCAGAAUUAUCCUCUAAUUGUUUUUGUAAGAGAAGUUGAAUAGUUUCAUAAUCAUUCUUUUAUUUUUCUUUUAAUUCUUUAAUCUCAAGUUUGAUUUUUUUGAUUUCUUUUUGAAGAUCUUGGAUAUUAGGAAUUGUUUUCUUUGUUUUCUUUUUAUCCAAAAUUUCAGUGAGGUCAUAAAAAUUCUUUUUAAUAAUUGGAACCUUAGAAGUUUCAGCUUUGUUAGAAUCUAGGGUUUUUAAAAGUUUAUCAAGGUAUUCUUUCUGAAGAUUAGGAUCAGAAAUAUGUUUAACGAGAAAGAUCUCCUGGUCUUUAGUUAAAACAUUGAUUUUCUUUAAAUAAGAAUCUGAAUUACUAGUGUCGGAAUCACUAAGAGAAACAGAUUCAGAGUCAUUUAACUCAUCAACCUGUAGAGGUUCACUAUCUCCCGUCAUGGAAGACUCAGAGUCAGAAGACUCUAUAAGCAAAGAGGCAACUUUGGAGAGGGUUUCUUCAUCAAGGCCAAGCUCAUGGAGCUUUCUGUUCAUUCUACAAAACUUUGCAGUAUGGCCUUUCUUUCCACAUUUGUAACAUGUGGCUUCUUUGUAAUUAAACGAGGUUUUUAGUUUGGCUCUAAACUCUUUCUUUUUAGAGAAGUUGGGUUUCUUAUAAGGCCUCGAAGGUUUUUUAUAAGAAGGUUCUCUAAAGUCUUGAAAGGGUUUCCUAUGGGAUCUAGAUUUGUAAUGUUUCUUGUAAGGUUUUGUAGAACACUUACCAUUACAAUCUUUGGAAGUAGAAGUUUUAAAGGGGUCAUAAUUGAAUUGUUUACAGAAACUGCAUAAUUCUUGCUUAGACUUCUUAAGCUCCCAUUUUAGUCGUUUCUGUAACUUCAAAUCUUGACAAAUCUUUAAACCUUCCUUAUUGACAAAACUGACAAGUUCACCAUAGGUGAGCUCAUCAUAAGGAAUACAGUUAUCAUAAAGAGCUUUAAUAGAAUUCCUAACCUUUUCUCUUAGUAGGGUAGGUAAACCUGCAAGGAAUUUCUCCUUCCAAGUUAUAUGAUUUGCAUCAUCCCUAAGGAAGAGUCUGGUGAAGAAAGUGGUUUUAUAGCUUUGGAAUUCACUAAGUUUUCUACACCUCAAGUUGUGUAGUAACUCAGCGUUUUUAUCUCUAAGGUGAGAAGGGUCACCUAUGAAAUGAAGGGAUAUAGUCAGAAUCAGGGUAGCAACAGCAUCCUGAAUUGGACUAUUGAACUCAUCAAGAAUAGGGGCACUAUUCUCAUCAACUUGAAUGGAAUUUAGAAUAUCUAAUUGUUGCUGUUUAGUGAGGAGAUGAUCCCAUCAUCCUUUAAGUUGACCAAUAAAACCAACAACGAGAAUUUCUGCUAUGGCUCUAUCAGAAGUUCCCGUCUGUGUUUUAUAGGCAUUGGCUGUCAUGGUCAUCUGUUGCAACAAUCCUAAGAUGUUGUACUCAGACAUACCAUCAAUAUUCCACUCAUAGACAGAAGAUGCAUUAAAUCUUGAUUGAUUUAAAGCACUCGGUCUAUUGUCUAUAGCUAGAUCUGGUGGAGUCUUGACAGUAGGUAGGGCUAAUUCCCAAUGGAUUUUGUUGGCUUUAGGAGCAGAUGGUUCUUCCUUAAAUGCUUCUAUGUCUAAAGAGGCUAUAGAAACAUUGUCAUGCUCUAGGACACCAAUCUUGCUAGAUUGGGCACUAUCAGGGGCUAUUUGGACCUUAGAAGAAGAAUAAGAAGCUUCUAUUCUAUCUAAUUGGUCUCUAAUGGCUUUAACAAAAUCUGAUUUUGACUCUUGAACAAGCUUUUGACUAGUUUUCGAAACCUGGAAAGGUUUGAAAAUAGGUUCCUUAAGCUUUUUGUCAGAAUCCGAUUUUGAUGAAACAGGAGAAACAGCUAUGGUUGACUUUUGGAACUGGCUUUCUAUCAUAGUCAACUGUUUUCCUAUAGUAUUUAAGUUAGUAUUACAGAAAUUAUUCUGUUGAAUAAUACUACUUAAAUUCGCAUCAGAAUCAUUUGGUUUUGAGAUUUUGUAAGGUGAGACUCUAAUUUCAACAGAAGGUUCUCUGUGGUUAAUGGUUAAACUCCUAAGAGGUGGAUGUUCAGAUUCUAUGGUUCUAUUACUAUCAGAAAGAUUCCACUCAGGGGUUUUCUUCCUAACAGUAAUAUGGUUUGACUCUUUAAAGGGAUAAGAGAUGUUGUUAUUGGAAGAAUAUAUCUCAAACCAAUAAAAAAACAAUAUAUGAAUUUUAUGCGAAUUAACAAAUUCAUAAUAUGUCUCUUGAAUUUCUUUUCUUUGGUUUAGAAAGUGUCCAAAAAACCAAAGUCUUUUUUCUUUAUUAUUAUCUGAAUAAAAAUCAUUUUGAAGAAGAGUUUUAUCCAGUUCAAAAACCUUUUCUAUGACAUUUAUUACAUUUUCUGUGACAGCAGAAAAUGUAAGAGAAGUUGGAGGAGAAUGUUCAUUCUCUUCCUGUCUUUGCUCAUGUUGACUGCUAGUGUAGAUUGGGUGAGGAAUACUAGUAGUAUAGUCAACAGAGCGUAUAGAAGAACUAGGUAUAUCUGAUGUAGAAAACCUAGGUUGACUUUUCUCUUGUUGGAAAGGGAGAUUUAUAAUAAAAAGGAUUUUUGAAAAUUUUCUUUCUAAUGAAGGGAUGCUCGAACAUGAAUCUUUAUCGGAGUAUCUAGAAGAUAUAGAUCUCCUGAAAGACAGUUUUACUUUACCAUCAGAAUAUUGAGUCACAUUUUGCAACUCUGUAUUUGGCUCAAGUUGUUUCGGAAUCACUGGUGCAGUGGCACCUUCAAGAAUCCAUUCAUCUGGAAGAUUGAUAUCUUUCCAUUGUAUUGGUUUUGGAAUGACAGUAUUUGCUCUAGACAUAUCAGUCUGUAAGAGAAGAGUCUCGUCUCUUUUUUACUGGAAUUUAUGUUGCGUACUAAAGGCAGAAAUCAUGGCUUUAUAAGAAAUUUUAAAGAUUAAAGCAGUUUUGAUUUGUAAAAUCAUGCUUUUUAAAAUGUUCUUGUCUUUUAAAGAAAUUGUUAUGUUUGGAUAACAAUUAAAUGAAAUGGGACCUUUACAAAGAUUUGAUUCUAUACUACUUAGUAAAGAAUCAUCAAAAGAGAUUAAUCGGCCAUCUCUUAGGACAGCAAGAAUAGAAGUAUCAAGACCUUAUUUUGUUAGAGGUUUUAUAUUGAAAGGGUUAUGUCACGUUCUUCGGUCUUUAUAACAUAAUCAUUUUUUAGAAAAUCAAGUUUUUUUGUUUUGUAAAUCAUUUCUUUAUUAACCUUUGGUAAUUCCCAAUUAUCAAUUGCUUUAUUGAAGUCUUCGAUAACAAAUUCUUCAAAAUUCACAACAUUCUUUGAAUCGUUAGUCUUCCCAGAAGAAGAGCUAGAAAAGGACAAUGCUCUACAGAGCAGAGAAUCCAUGGAUAAAACCUAUGAUCUACUCUAAGGUCCAGAAGAAGAGCUAGAAAAGGACGAUGCUCUACAGAGCAGAGGAUCCAUGGAUAAAAACCUAUGAACUACUCUAAGGCCUGUCAGUAUGGCUACAGGUAUGGUUUUACUGCCCUAAGCGGAAAAUUUUAUCCUAAAGCGGGACUUACUACCAGUAAGGAAUUCACCACACAAACAAGAAUUAAAAUAAAACACAAGUCUUUAAACACAGAGUUUGAACUAUAUUACACUAUCCUCCCAUUGGCUCUGAUACCACAGCAGAGAAUUAAGAACUUUAACUUACACUUACAUAUAUUUAUAAUUAAAAUUUUAAUGUAAUUUUUAUUAUUAAAAUUAAAAGAUAUAAAUAAUUUAAAUAAAGAUUGCAGCUUGGUAGAUAUCUGCCCCGGUAUUCGAUAGAUUUUUUUCCUCAAUACUAAACCUAACUGCAACUCACAAAGAGUUUUUGUUUGAAAUACCAAAUUCGCUCAUAACCUACAAAAUUAUCUAUAGUGGGUAAAUUUAUACAGACGAAAUUGGACUACUUUUUUAACUAUUUUCUUAGGACCAUCCAUUUGCACGUUCGCUGAUCUUUGAAUGGUUGUGUGUUUUUAAGACUAUCCAUUUGCACGUUGCUAAUCUCUGCAUAGCAGUAGGGAUGACAAUGGGGUGGAGUUGGGGUGGGAAGAACUUUCCCAUUCCUACGUGGCAUUGUCUGUUUUUUUCAUAACAAACUAAAAUGAGCGGCACCUCCUUACUCUCUACUUAUAUUUUCAAUGUAACAAAGGCAUUGCUUGAACCCAUUCCGUAGUUAAAAAUUUCGAAUGAAAUUUUGGAGAUCAUUUUUGUUAAUAAUAGAGAUUUGUAGAAGAGAAUCAAGUGAUUAUACUGAAAAGUAUGUGUGUUCAAAUCGGCGUAGCAUGCCCAAAAUAUUAGUAAAACUAAAAUUGUGUGCAUCAUUUUAAUUUGAUAAUUAUUAGUAAUAAAAAUUAGUAUAUUUUUAUUAUAUAAAAACUAGAUUAUAUUCCAAGCCACGAGCAAACGAAAAAUUUAAACAAAGCUAAUUUCUGCUUUCAAAAGGAAAAAAAAAAAAAAAAAGCUAAUUAAAUUAAUAUAAAUUGGCAAAAGACUAAAUUAUUUGCGUUCUGAUGUCGCAUUGACGCUUAGUUAAAUUCGGAACAGAUUACGACAUGUCAUUUGGAAACGGUAGCGCUGAUGUAUAAAGUUUCGAACAAAUUAAAAACGCAUUUCUUCUUUUUAGGGGACAAAAACGCGUCUAUUUAUUUAAAAUCUUCUAUGACAAAAACGCGUAUUCUUAAAACACGCGUUUCCGUUAGAUCUCCGAAAAACGCGGUUGCGCUUUUUUUUAAACCAGACGAGUUAGCCUAUUUAGGCUCCGUUUGGUACAGCUUAUUAAAUAGAGCUUAUAACAGUAGAGCUUAUAGCACUAGAGCUUAUAUCAAUAGAGCUUUUGGACAAAAAAUCAUUGGGUGUUUGGUUGUCAAUAAAAAAAAGUAUUUUUGAACCAUUAAAUUGUGUGAUAUUUUUUAUAUUAGAUAUUUUUAGAAAAGUUCUAUAACUUCUACUCCCAAAAGUUUAAAUUUUGGGCUUUUAUUAAUAGAGGUAAAUUAGCUUUUUUAAGCUAAAAAAACUCUACUAAAAAAAUAACUAAACACCAUAAAAAAUUUUAAAAAAUACUUAUACGAUUAAAUAAGCACUUAUGGCUCUUAAAUAAGUCAUACCAAACAAGCACUUAAAUGUGGAGCGUACCGUUAGCUCUUUCAAAAUCAAAACCCCAAUUUACAAUUUCUUUUUCACUCUCUCAAGCCCGAACCCUAAGAGGAACAAAUGUCUCAAUUUGUUAAUUAUCGUUGCUAUAUCUGCUAAUCGCUAAUGAAUUGGAGUAUGAUUCUUUGCUUUUCUUUUUUAAUUUCAUAAUAUAUUUUUACAUUCUUGUAUCGUUCUGCCUUCGUUUUCCGUUGUGGAAAAUGUCAAAAGAAAAGCAAAUAUUUUGUACUUUUCUUGUUCUGGAGACUUAAGUUUCUUUUUUAAGCAAUUCUUUUUUUUAUAUAUUUUAUUUUAAAGCUGCUUACUUGUUUUCUUUUUUUCUUUUGGUUGAAUUUUCGAUGUUGGGUUUGUUACUAAGCGAAUAUUUGCACAAAUAGGAAAGAUUUGGUAUUUAUUCCAUAUUUAUGCCAUUUUUUGGGAAUUGGGGAAGAUUUACAUUUUCGUCUAUGAACUCUUGAUGAAAAGAACAAGCUUGCUGGCCUUAUGGCAAGCGUAAUAUUUGUCUCUAGCCGCUAUUUUAGUGGUUUGUCAAGUCUUGUUUUCUUAAAAUGUAGGAAAAUAAUAGAAUCUGUUGCCUUUGGUUAAAUGAGACACUGAUUUUUAUAUGCAUAUCUAUUGAUAAGAAUUGUUUGAAGGGAAUUAGUUACUGUUCUUACUAUGUAUCAAUGGGUUUCUUGAAAGGUUGUUCUAAUGUUGCCAAGUAAUGUCUGUUCCACUUGGACAUUGUUCAGUUUCAUAAAGUAUUUGCCCUCUGCUUGGCUUUUUGGAAAAAAUGUUUGUGAUUGUUUGCUAAUAGGCAGUUUCUCACUCAUUAUGUGAAAAUGGGGGUGUGAAGCUAUUACGGUAGUUGCAGUAUCUGAAGUUUACAGAUUUAUAGCAUUGUAAUGUAAUGGAAUUUCCUUUUUCAAUUCUGUUUUCAACAUUUUCAGUUGGGAAUGCUCAUCAUUUUUGGCAUUCAGUUCAUGCUUCUUCUAUUUGGCUAAGUAUCUUGAUGGUGAUUGUUUUGUUCGUUGGAUUCAAUGGUUUUUGGAAUUUGACAAAAGGUGUUGGGAAAGUAAUUUUGCCUAUUGGUGAAAUGUAGUUGUUUGAGAUUAGAUAUUGUGUUAACUAAACAAUCACCUCAAGAGCAUAUUUUAACCUUUUUGGGCAUAUUUCUGUAAUUAUUGGAAAGUUCUAGUGCUUACUUGUUGGUUUGAGCCCAUCUUCAUGAGGAACAAUGGGCCAACUCCAAUAAAAUUUUGUUUUUGUUGUUCGAAAGAGGUUUUAUUGAACCUGUCAUUGGUUGGCUGGUAAAUUGCUUCACCUCUUGUUGUGAAAUCUGUGCCUAAGACAACCCUAGAUUAUAAUGAUAAAGUAAUUUUUCCUAAUGGUGAAGUGCAGUCGGAGGCAGGACAUUCUGUUGACAGAAUGACAGUAUAUAUACAUUUAAUUCUAUUAUGGAGGAUUGUUCUCUCAUGAGCUUAUUUUUAACUUCUUUGGGCAUGUCUUCUUUAACCAGUGAUAGUUGCUUCUUGGUUCUCUUAUUUUUAGUUUCCUACUUUUAAUUGCUUUAAACCCAUUUAGGCUUUUCAAUAUCUCUCCUCUAUUCAUAAUGGGAAACUGGCAAUGUUGAGGAGCUAUUAUUUUCAAUUUUCUAUGUUUUUUUUUUUAAAUCCAUUUAGGUUUUCAAAUUAAUCUCCUCUAUUCUUAAUAGGAAAACUAGCAAUGAUAAGGAGCUGUUAUUUUCAAUUUUCUAAGUUAUAUUUUGAAAAAAAAUCAAUUUAGGUUUUUCAAAUUAAUCUCCUCUAUGCUUAAUGGGGAAAAUAGUAAUGAUGAGGAGCUAUUAUGUUCAAUUUCUUCUUUUUAUUUUUUUAAAAAUUAAUUUAGGCUUUUCAAAUUUAUCUCUUGUAUUCCUAAUGGGAAAAUUGGCAAUGAUAAGGAACGAUUAUUUUUAAUUUUCUAAGUUUAUUUUUCAAAAAUCCAUUUAGGCUUUUCAAAUUAAUUUCCUCUAUUCUAAUGGGAAAACUGACAAUGAUGAGGAGCUAUUAUUUUUAAUUUCUACAUUUAUUUUUGCAAAAAUCCAUUUAGGCUUUUCAAAUUUAAUCUCCUCUAUUCUUAGUGGGAAAAUUGGCAAUGAUGAGGAGCUAUUAUAUUUAAUUUCUAUGUUUAUUUUUGCAAAAAUCCAUUUAGGCUUUUCAAACUAAUCUCCUCCAUUCUUAGUGGGCAAACUAGCACUGAUGAGGGGCUACUAUUUUCAGUUUUCUACGUUUAUUUUUUCAAAAAUCCAUUUAGGUUUUUCUCAAAGUAAUCUCCUCUAUUCUUAUUGGGAAAACUGGCAAUGAUGAGGAGCUAUUAUUUUUAAUUUCUAUGUUUAUUUUUGGAAAAUUCCAUUUAGGUUUUCAAAUUAAUCUCCUUUAUUCUUAAUGGGAAAUCUAGCAAUGAUGAGGAGCUAUUAUUUUCAAUUUUCUAUGUUUAUUUUUUCAAAAAUCUAUUUAGGCUUUUCAAAUUAAUCUUCUCUAUUCUUAAUGGGAAAACUGGCAAUGAUGAGAAGUUGUUAUUGUGAAUUUCCAUUAACCAUUCAGAUAGUUGUUGCAAUGGUUCGUUGGCAUGCUUUUGGCAACAAUGGGAUUAUUGACUUUGCUGGGUUUCGAAUCCAUUUAACUCUCAGAAUCAUCUGGUUGUUCAAUUUGAAUAUUAGAGCCCAUAGAUUUGUCCAUGAGGCUUUUAAUCUCAAAACAGUUAAUUCUCAUUAUUACUUUUAUUGCUUCGCAUGAAGUUCCGAAAAAAUGUGGUUGCCUAAGAGAGGGACAGUGUCUUUCUCUGUUUUUGGUCAUCGCUCUUGUAUCAGCUUACUGUUAACAAAUUGGAUAUGAUUCUUUGCUUUUCUUGUUUUAAUUUGAUAUGCUUUUAUAUUUUUUUAUUGUUCUGCCUCAGGCUUCCUUUGUUGAAAAAGAUCAAAAGAAAAAAAAAAAAAGAAGUUGUUUUGUUUUGAUUUCUUUUGAAAUCAUGUAUCUUUACCCUCGACUUGAUUUGAGGCAAGAAAAAUCAAUUCAGAGUUUGAUCACUUUGUUGAUUAAUUAAUGUGGCUUCCACUUUUGUUGCCUAGAUACUAUCUUAUUUGCUACAUAGAUGUUGGAAAUGGGGAAUAGUUGCAUUCCUCUGCUUACUUGUGCCGAACGUUAUUUGCCUUGUUCUUAAAUUGAUUUUUUAUUUGGUUCCACAAACAGUUUUAAAUUCAAACUUAGAUUUUCGUAAAUCUGUUUGUUUUGUGAAACGUUCUAUUUUUUGUAUAAUCUCAUCUCUUUUAUGGGAAAUUGACAACUUUGCGUUUUUUUUUUUUUUUCCUAACAGAAAUUUUCUUUACUUUUAAGUAAGCAUACUCCUUUAAUUUUUUUUUUUUAAUUUGCAAUGUUGGUUUAUCGGCAAUAGAAAAUAUUUUGUACAAGUUUGCUAGCCUGUAAGUCUUCUUUUCUGAGAAUGUAGGAAUAGAAUAGAAUCUGUUAUUGUUCCCUAGAUGAAACGAACAGGUCUACUGGCCUUCUUUUGAACAUAAUGUCUUUCCAUAGCCAUUAUUUUGGUUGUUUGUCUUUUCUUCUGAGAAUGUGGGUGUAUAAUAGAAUCUGUUACUUUUGGCUUAAAUGAAAUCCUGAGUUUUAUAUGCCCAUAUCUAUUGAUAAGAAAGGUUUCAAGGGAAUUAGUUAUUGUUCUCAUAUACCCUUGUUGAAAAGGACAGGUUUGAUGCUUCUUAUAUGCCCUUGUUGAAAAGAAGAAGUUUGCUGACCGUUACUGAAAAGAGUAAGUUUGCUGGUGCUGUUGCAAACACAAUAUCUGUCCCUAGUGUGGUACUUUUGUAAUUUGCUGGGUUUAUUUUCAAAGAAAAUACUCUUGAGGUAAGAAAGAUUUGAAUUUUCUACUUUUAAUUUGUUUUAGAUCCAUUUAGUUUUUUCAAAUUAGUAUCCUCUAAAUUCUUAAUGAGAAACGUCAAGACUCAAGAAUAAGGAGCUGUUGUUUUGAUUUUCCUACAUUUAUUUGUUUUAAAUCCAUUUAAGAUUUUCAAAUCAGUCUCCUCUAUUUUUAAUGGGAAACCGGCAAUGAUGAGGAGCAAUUAUUUUAAUUUUUUAAUUUUAUUUGUUUUAAAUCCAUUUAGGCUUUUCAAAUGCUCACCUCUAUUUUUAAUGGGAAUCCGGCAAUGAGGACGAGCUAUUUUUAUUUUUUAAAAAUCCAUCUAGGCCUUUCAAAUUUUCCCCUCUAUUCAUAAUGGGAAACUAGCAAUGAUAAGGAGCUGGUACUUUGAAUUUUUUACUUUUAUUUUGUUCUAAAUCUGUUUAGGCUUUUGAAAUUAAUCUCCUCUAUUCUUAUUGGAAAACGGGCAAAGAUGAGGAGCUGUUUUUUUGAAAUUCCACUCUUUUUUUUUUUUAAUAAAUCCGUUUUGGCUUUUCAAGUUAAUCUCCUCUAUUCUUAAUGUGAAAACCGGCAAUGAUGAGGAGCUGUUAUUAUUUGUUGCAUUAUUUUGAACUUUUUUUUUGAAAUCAUAAUUCUAUACCUUUGGGUUGAUUUCAGGCAAGAAAAAUCACUUCAGAUUUUGAACACUUUCUUGAUCGAUUUAUGUAGCUUCAGCUUAUGUUGCAUAGGUAGUGUAAUCAUUGUUGCAUAGAUGUUGGAAAUGGGGAAUAGUUGCAUUGAAUUUCACCCUGGCAACUUUGAGGAUUUUUUUUCUUAAAUUAAUUUUCUUUAUUUCAAAUCUGCUUACCUCUUCGGUUUUUUUUUUCUUUUUUGGUGGAAUUUGCAAUGCUGGGUUUAUAUAAAGAGAACUUGUCAGAAAUAGAAAGGAUUUUGUAUUUAUCCCAUUUUUAUGCGGUUUCUGGAAAAUAAGAGUGUACAUUUUCUAUUUCAUACACUUUUGUUUUUAUAAACCUUUGAUGAAAAGAACAAAUUUGCUGGCCAGUUUACGAUGUCCUGUUUUCUGAGAACUGGGAAAAUAUGUAUAUCUAUUGAUAAGAAAUGUUUCAAGGGAAUUGGUUUUGUUCAUAAAGUAUUUGCCUUCGGUUUUCCUUUUUGAAAAAUGUUUGUGAUUAUUUUGCUAAUAAGCAGUUUCUUAGUCAUCAAAGGUUUUUCACUUUUUCACUUCUGUUUUCAACUUUUUUGAAAUGGGAGUGCUUAUCAGUAUUGGUAAUCUGUUCAUGCUUCUGUUUGGCCUAAUCACCUUGGUGGUGAUUGUUGUUAUUCUGUCCAUGCUUUUUCUGUUUUGCCUAAUUAGCUUGGUUGUGAUUGUUGUUGUUUCUUGGAUUCAAUGGCUUUUGGAAUUUGACAUAAAGUACUGGGACAGUGAUUUGCCUAUUGGUGAAAUUUAGUUGAGAACACGUUAUUGUAUUAUUUUAAUAUAUACAUGGUAAUUAUAUUAUGAUGGAUAAUCCUCUCAAGUGCUUAUGUUCGACUCUUUUCGGCAUGUUUCUAUGUUCAACUUUUUCGGGCAUGUUUCUGUAACUAGUGAAAAUACCUAGCGCUUACUUGUUAGUUUGAACUUGUCUUGAUGAGGAACUAUGGGUCUCCUCUGAUAAAAUUUUGUUUUUGUUAUACAAAUGAGGCUUCAUUGGUUGUUAGUAAAUUUCGUCACCUCCUGCUAUGAACUCUGUGCCUAAAACGACUCUAGUUGAUAAUGAUAGUGACCUUUCUGCCUGAUUGCCGUGCCAUUUAAGUUGCUAAAAUAACAUUGAUUUCUGGGUGUUGCGGACCCUUUGUUCCAUCAUGAUUUAUUUGUGGGUGAUGGAUAGAUAAUGGGGGGAGUUUGCAGUUCCAAUUUUGUAACUUUUGGGCUCCUUCAUCAGAAGAACAAGUUUGCUGUCCUUGUUGAGAACAUAAUCUGUGUUCCUCGCCGCUAUUUUUGUAGUUUAUGAAGUUUUUUGUUUCCUGAGAAUGUUGGAAAAUAAUAGAAUCUGUUACUAUUCAUUUUAAAAAAUUCUGAAUUUCAUAUGCAUAUCUAUUGAUAAUAAAAGUUUCAACCAAGGGUAUUGGUUAUUGUUAUUACAUACGCUUGGCUUUCUCAAAAGGUUUCUUUACCUGGAGAGUGUGUUGUUCAUAAGCUUGCGGUUUGCGUGUUUGAAAACUCUUUGUGAUUGGUUGCUAACAAGCAAUUGCUUAGCUCAGUAUGUGAAAAUAUGUUUUCGUCGGCCAGAGAGGAGGCUAGAAAUUGCAAUGCAAUCUGUGAAGUUGGACUAGUGGAUUUGGAUCUAUUUGACUUGUUAAAGAACAUUACGUAACCGAUCUUCGUUGGUCAGAAGUUGAUCUUCAAAUAGUGUUCUCGUUUGAUUUAUAUACAAUAUUGACAUUCUUGUUCAAUUUAUGUACGUAUUGUUCCUUGGAAUUAUUGGUUUUUGGAAUUUGACAUUGUACUACCAAGUAAUUUUGCCUAAUGGUGAAAUUUAUUUAAAGGCACAUUAUAUGGAAAUUUGAAUUCUCUAUUAUGGUGGAUAGUCUUCUCGAGUGCUCAUUUGUAACUUCUUUGUGCAUGUCUUCUGUAACUAGUGAAAACUGCUCUUGCUUGCUUGUUGGUUUGAGCUCGUGUUGAUGAUGAACGAUGGGUUUACUGUGAUAAAUUUUUGUUUUGAAUGUGAAAACUGGCAAUGAUGAGGAGCUGUUAUUUUGAAUUUUCUACUCUUAUUUGCUUUGAAUCCAUUUAGGCUUUUCAAUUAAUCCCCUUUUAUGGGAAAACUGGCAAUGAUGAGGAGUUGUUACGGUAUUUUGCAUUUCCAUCGCCAUUGGGAUAAUUUUUCGCAAUGGUUCCUUGGCAUACUUUUCAUCUAUAAUCGGUUUGUUGAGAUCAUUUCAAAUCCAUUUUAACUCUCGGAAUCAUCCUCCAACUCUGGUUGUUCAAUUUGAAAUAUUGGAGCCCAUAGAUUUGUAUUAGAGUGCAAAACAGUUAAAUUGUCGUUGUUCCUCAUUGUUUCACAGUAAGUUCUGCUCAUUAGGUCACUGGCUUCAAACUAUCUGUUAUUUGGAUUAUGUGCUUUCUUCUAUUUCUCUGCUCAUUGAGUUGAUGAUUGUGCUGAGCUACCUAAUUUCAUUUUUAUUCUUUUAAGAUGCAGAACUUGGUCUUUGAGAUUUUGUUUUGAAAGUCCCCUUUUUAGAAAAAAUGAAACUUAUAUUGUUUUGAAUUUUCUGCGAUCAUCAUCUUCAGUAUUUUGGUUAAUGCUUUGGAAGCUAGGGAGACUUGAUCGCAAUCCUGGCAUAUAUGGCCUCUCCUGGUUGUAGCGAAAGCAGUUUUAUUUUUAACUUCCUUGGCAUGUUUUCGGCAACUAUUUGAAUUGUCUGGAUAGCUGAUGCUGCUAAUUUGGUGCUGGUUUCACCUUUUUUUUUUUUUAGAUGCUGCUAAUUUGGUGCUGGUUUCACCUUUUUUUUUUUUUAAUCACUUCCACUACAUUCUCUUAUUAAUUUUUACUUCCCUUGUUUAUAGCCCUUUAAUGUUUUCUCUUCUUGUUUACUGCUUUUGAUUAUUUAAACUUCUUGGAUUCCAUCUUUACUUAUUUCCAGUAUGCUUUUAGUCUGAGCUGAGGUUUUCUCUCUGUAUGACUUCUGACAGUCCACUAAAAAUCUCUUAAAAACCCCUUUGAUUCUUCAUCAAUAAGUUUUUGGUUAUAUAGAUUUUCUUUGUUAUGAAAGACUUUAUGGGCUCUUAACUGAUUAUAAUUGAUGAGUGACCUUGGUUAGGGUCUGAUUGAGAUUAUUUUUUAGGGUUUAAAAGUAAUUUUAAAAUAUUGAAAGUUUUUUAUUAUUUCUUUUACUCCACUACAUCCUCUUAUUCAUUUUUACAUCACUUAUUUAUAGCUCUUUACUGUUUUCUCUUCAUGUUUAUCGCAUUUGAUUAUUUAAACUUCUUGGGUUCCGUCUUUAUUUAUUUCCAGUAUGCUUUCAGUCUGGGCUGAGGUUUUCUCUCUGUAAGACUUGGCCUAUGGACAGUCCACUAAAAAUCUGUUAAAAACCUCUUUGAUUCUUGUAAGUUUCUAGUUAUAUAGAUUUUCUUUAUUAUGAUAGGCUUUAUGGACUCUCAAUUGAUUAUAAUUGAUGAGUGCCCUCAGUUGAGUUAGGCGUCAAUGUGAGAUUGUUUUUUAGAGGCUCAAAUGUGAUUUUUAAAAAGUUAAAAAUUAAUUUUAAACUAUGUUUGGAAUAACUUAUUUAAAUAAUGCUUUUGUUAGUAAAGUCUUUACAAGUAGAUUUUUAUUCAAAAAUUUUUAUUUUCUAUGCAAAUGCUCGAUGUCCUAGUCCUACUUGUGUGGAACGAUCUCAAAACAGUGACUUUUUUUAGGGGACAGGUAAAUUUGUUCCACUUAUGAUGAAAACCCUCUUUUGUUUAGUUGUCAAUUACAGUUUUUUUUAUGAGUAAGUUUUUUAAAGUUAUGUUAUAAAAAAAAAUAAGAUUAUCAAAUAAAUAGAUGACAUUUGAGAUAUUUUAAUAUUUAAAAAAAACAACAUUUAUUUCUAAAAACUUAAAAUUUGAGCUUUUAUUAGUAAAGAUAAAAUAAUUUAUUUAAUUUUGAAAAGUUUUAUUAAAAAAUAAUUGAACAACAAAAAUUUUGAUAAAUCUUAUGUCACUAAAUAAGUAUUUAUGAUCAUUAUAUAAGUCAUACCAAACAUGUAUUUUAUGUUUGAUAAAAUAAUUUUUUUGUUCUCUACACAAAAGACAACUAAUCGUUAAGUCAUUAUUUGCUCUUGGAUUUCGGCUACGAGAACUCUUUUCAUAAGCCUCAACCUUGUAUAAUUUUGAGAGAGAGAGCAGAUGAGGGAGAAAAUAAAUAAAUAUUAUAUGAGUAUUGACAUGAACAUAGAGCUUUUAUUGGUCCAAACUUGGUUAACGAGUCUAUUAUUUAAGGCCCAUUUGGUGCGGAAAUGUCAAAGGGAUAUUGUGAUUUGUGACCUAUAAACGUUUCAAAAAAAAAAAAAAACAAACAAAUUAUGUUAAUGUAAUCAAUAAUGAUAAGAAUGCAAGGCAGUCAAUAUCCUACUUUAAAUGUUUUGAUAGGAUCAAAGUCAAUUGCUGCAGAUGUCUAUGUCCAUUGUCUACCAUACUUUUGUCUUAAAUGAUAAUAUAAUACGAUAAACAAAAAUUAGGUGAGAAAUGAUUGAGAAGAUCUCUCUAUUUUUCUUCAAUAUCUAUUUCUUUUAAGUUUUUUUAGCAGGCAAAUGUUGUUUAUUCUCGGUAUUUUUAAUUAGAAGUUUGUUACAUUUAAAUACGUUAUAUUUUAUUAUUAUUAUUAUUAUUUCUUUUAUUUUACAGUAAUAUUCUUUCAACAAUAUUCUUGAUAUUAAUUAAUCUAUUUAUAAAAAACUAAUUAACAAAUUAAUUGAGAAUUAUUUUUUAACAAAUUAACCAAUAAAUAUCCGUGUGAAAGAAAUAGUAUUUUCUGUACAUGUACAAUAAUGUUACUAAUAAUUAUUUAUAAAUAAAAUAAUAUCAGCCAAAUAAAAAUAAUGUCUAAUAUCCUUACAACAAUCUUACUAAUGAUUGUUUUAUAAAAAAAAAUUAAUUUACCAAAUUAAUCUUACAAGUAAAAUAAUAAUAUAAAAGUUUAAGUAAAUUUUUAUGUUACUUUUGAGGUUAAUUUGAUUUUUUUUUAUUAAUAUCCCCAAGAAUAUUGUUGUAAGGGUAUUAUUAUAAAAUAAAAUAAAAAAGAAAGGUAGAAGUGUCUACUUUUCUCUUUUCUUCAAAUAUAAAGACUAAACGAACGCUUAACCUAAAAUAUCUAGACAAAAUGAGCAUUUACAUUUUGUUUGGUUUCUAACAAGUUGUAAUUCAAUGAUGUUGUUAUUGCGUGCUUCACUUAACAUUAUAUUUUCCCACGGGAUUUCUCUACGGUAUUGUUAGAAGAAUUACUGUAUUAAUAAUGAGACUAUUAUGAACCAUGUGAUUUAAAAUGAAAUAUCUCCACCCUUGGUUUAUCUUUAAUGAAUAGUUAUCAAUUACCUAAGUAACAAGUAAUACCUUAAUUUAAUAGAGGUUUAGCUUAUAUCGACUAUUACAAAUAAUUUUUUUAAAAGAAUUCAUUCUUUGAAGAAAUUGAGCAUUUAUGCUUAUUAAAAUGAAUUUCAUGAGUUUAUUUUUUUCAUCAUUAAUUUGUUUAACUUUUCACUAUACAUAUUAAUUAUCAAAAUCAACAGUUACGAAAUUUAUAUCAAUUAUAAUUUAGUAAUAAAGGAUAAAAAUACAAUUUGUUUGCGAGUAAUGAAAUUUAUUUAUUAAUUGAUUUAUAAGAAAGAGUUUGUAUAAUGUAAUUUUUAUACAAUUUAUAAAUAAAUAGCAUAAUUAAUUAUAUUUUGUAUGUAUUAAGCAUUAAAUAAUCAAAGAUUUUGUCACUCUUUAGUUGCUGUGUUCGAAUAAAUUUUUUAUUUUUUUCAAGUUAUAAAUCUAUCUCUAUCUUAUUUAACUGCAAUGGUUUCUUAUCUUUUAUUGAAUUUAAGUUAUUAAAUCGAUAAAGAGUUACCUGCACAAUAAAGGGUUUAUUUUUUAUUUUUUUAUCUUAUUUAAUUACUAUAUACCAUUGAUUUCAUCCGAUAAUACAUAUUUUCCACAUUACAAAAGGGUUCCAGGCUCUAUGUGGUUAAAACAAUGACUCAAAGCUCACCAUGUGAUAUGGAUCUCUUUGUAAUUUAUUUAUUAUGCAAUAGAGUGGCAACCUGCAAGCAACACAUGUGAGGACAUUGUUUGCAAAGUUGUGACAUGAGAACUUUCAGCGGGCCUGAAGAAUUUAUACUUUCUGUGGAAAGGGAAAAAGCUUGAGAGGCAUGAUGCAAUAGCCAUUCAGUAGGACAAACAUGUUUGAAAUUUCUGAAUGCCCAGCAGCCCUUGUGAGAAUUGCAAGCUGAAAAAGCAAUUUUUUCAUCGAAACAAUGAUGAUGCAGGUGUGUGUGUGGCCUAUUGGGUGAUUCCUCGUGUUCAUAUUCAUGCAUUUCUUUUAACGCAUGGACCAUCAUAUCUCCAAUUUAGUAUCAUAAAACCCAGCUUUAGAAGACCAAUUUUCAGGUUCUUUUUCCCAAUCUUAAAGUGGAGAAAUUUACCAUAUGGAAACACAAGUAUUGUUUUUACACACACAUGCUUGGCCGAUAAUAAUGGGUAAUUAUUGGAUUGAAUUAAAUGCAAUACGCGUCAACCAAGCAAAGACGAUUACAUAUGCAUGAUCAAACAAAGCUCUUACUGCAGUUAAAAUAAUGGCACAUGCCUCAGCCUUAGGCAGUUGGUAUAACUACUACUCAAGUAUAUAUGCUUUGCUUUGUUCAAAUGUGUCUUCCUCGUCCACCAACAUUUGAUGGCCAACGUUGGACUUGGACCUUUCUUUUUGAUCCAAUAACAUAUUUUUAAUUUGUAGCAUGUUUUAAAAGAAGGCAAAGCAUCUCUCCGCCACCUUUCUUUUUCAAAUAUCAAAUCCUACCACAAAGAGUUCAAAAAAAAUAAAUGAAAGACUCAAAUUAUAGAGGCCUUUACAUUAUUUUGAAUUAAUUUGAGAACCCACAUGUUGCAAUUUUCCUUUCAUCCUUCACCAUCAGUAGCUAUCGAGCCCGGUUGCCCUGCCAACCAAUGCCAAAAGUACUUGAGAAUUAUCUGAUGAGAUUCCUGUAGUUUAUUUAUAAAAGAUGUAUAAAACUCAAUCCACCUCAUUUAUUGCGAGUAAAAAAGGACAAUUGAAGAGGUUUUCUUCUCUUAAUUAAUAAAAAUAAAACUAAUAUAAAUUAAUAAACGCUGCUUUUAUGUUUGUAUUAGGACUUUGGACCUCUCUUUUUUUUCUUUUUUUUUUCCUUAGUAUUAAUUAAUUUUUCAUGAACUCUUCUUAUUAAUGAUAGCAAGUGCUUGUUCUUUCAUGAUUAGCUGGCUGACCUUAAAAAACAAGAUCAAACGAAAAUGACAAAAAGCACACAGUCUUAGAUAAAAAAUUUUGAAUAAUUGUGCUAGGUUCGCUUUCCUUUGGACUAUGUGGGCUGCGGAGGUUUUUGUUUUUCCAAUCUCUUUCUCGGCGGGGCCUCCAUUAGCCGCACCAAAAACAAGGAUUUUGGUGCAAACACAAGGUUGGGAGAUAAUUGAAAUGUAAGCAUUAUAAAUGAAUGAAUAAAUAAAUAAUGAGUAGCAACUUGAAUAUAAUGAAAUAUAAGUGGAGGAUAUGAAAACCUACAAGCAACCACUCCAUUUAUUACAUCUUUUUCGUUGGCAUACAAACUUAUCCACUCUAGUCUGUACCCCCAUUUUUUUUCUGCUACUCCAAAGGGUACAGGGUACAGGGUACAGGGUACAUCAUCAAAACAAAAUUAUAAAGAAAAGGGCAAACUGAAGGGGGUUCAAAAAAAAAAAAAAAAAACCACCCUCAUUUACAACGAAGUCGACCCUAAUUUCUUAUGAUCAAUAAAAGAAUAUGUAGAAACAUUUGCAGUGACUCUUUUCACUUUGGAUAUCCAUUCAUAGUUUAAAGCUUCUGAUGCUGUAAUCACCCACGGUGCCCCUGGAUUCUUCCAUUCUCUUCCUCUUUUGCUGAGACAAUGAAGAUAUAGUUUUGGCGGAUACCACUUUCUUCACUAGAAGCCUCCACCGGCCAUCGUCGCCUUUUUUCUCUUGUUGUGCUUUCAAUUUGAAUUGCCUGUCACAUUCCAAGACCGAGAUUUUUUUAAUUUAAUGAUCGAUUUUGAUCCCUAGUUGCGAUAGAUAAGGACGUGUGAAUUAAAUGGCACCACUUAACUUAAAUCAAUUCCCAAAAUAUCAUUAGUCUUAAACCUGGGCCUGUACAAGAUACAUGCCCUAUCAGCCUAGCUUAAUUUAAAAUAUCUAGUUGCGCGGGGACCCCAUUGAUUGGAUUUUUUACGGCUAAGUCCACUCUUUCUAGUGAAAAUCUGAAUCCACAGAGAUAUUGGUGAUUCUUGUUCAAUCUACUAAGAUGAGGUGUUUGUGACGUGCCAACUGCCAUUUGUUUUGGACACAAGGAAUGAGCAGACUAAUGACAAUCAUUCAAGUUCAAGACGGACUCAAAAACACAAGUGUGAUACGUCUCCAGGAAAUAGUAAAGAGGACAGAGCAGGCCGGUGUGAGCUGGCAGUGGCAUCCAUCCCCACACAAAGACACGCGUACGGCUGAUUGAAUUACAUUUUCACAAGUCCCCAAAUGCAAAUCAAAGAACAAUUCAUGAAUCGUUUAAAGAACACGUGCUUAUUGCUAUCUUAUCCCAAGUUCUUAAAAUGUAAUCCAAUCGGCAACAACACAAGAGAAACGAAAGAAGGGAUCGGUUACCUGCAAAGCGGCACCCUACAAGAAUCGGAUUGUUCACACAUUGACGAGUGGAGUCUAAGAAGCUGCCACAUCCGCUUGCAGCGCAGGCACCCUCCAUUGACCCUCUUCUUACAGGUAGCAAAAUGCCUUAUCAAGAGCUGCAGACCCUGACACGUGGAGAAUUUACUACAGGGACCCCUGUUCUUUGUGGGCCCCACUUCAUACGGCCCCACGCUGGUGCACCCUUCGGUGCAUAUGUGCUCCAAGCACUCCAUCGCUUCGCUUAGCUGCAAAUACAAGCCCUGUUCUUGUCGACGCCUCCUUGUCCUCUUUAUCCUCUGAAAUUUCAUUUUUGCCAUCAGUAUGGAAUGGAAUUUUCAAUUUUUCGUACAGCAUUAUUAAUUGUUAAUUUUUCUCAAAAUUAAGGUAUGCUGAUUAUUUAAUUAAUUAAUUAAUUAAUUACCGAUUCGGCUUCGUCCAUGAAUUGUAGAAUCUGGAGCUCGAGCCAGGGAUCAUGAUCCUGCAAGAACUUCCAUCCUUCAGUUUUCUCAACGGCCUUGAAACGGCUGGCAGCCAGUUUCAUGCACCUGAGGUAAAGGUCCGGAGCAUCGCACAGCCUGGCCAGUUGAAGCACGUCCACCACAUUGUCAAUCGUCAGCCGUUCACCCAAACCUUUGGUACAUCUCUGCUUCAGCUGUGGCACUGAAUACACGUGUGACAGCGCCAGUAGGUGGAUCCCGUAUUUCUCCAUUUCCUCCUCCGUGCACCUGAACCAGGGGAACACCUCAGUCACUUGAUAUAAACUUAAAAUAUCUAAACCAAUCACACUGCUCCAGCGAAUUCGGAGAAACCAGUUCUAGGUUACUUUAACUAAUUCUAUUUUUCUUCAUGACACGUGCAAAAGGUUGGUUCAAACAAAUUCUAUAAGUUCAAGGAAGGAUAUCCAGAGCCGUCUUUGUAGACCGAAGAGCUGAGAGCCGUCAGAUCAAACCACGUGGAAGUUAAAGAAUGAAAUGGGCGGCAGACAAAUAAUUAACAAAAAAAAAAAAUUACCUGGACGUGUAGAGGAAUCCAACGAACGAUGACACGGCGCCGCAUGGAACGCCGAGAAUCGGAAUCACUUUCUCCGAGCUCCGGUGCUUACGCGGCCGGUCUGUGAUAUUUUCCAGCACCGGCGACGCAGAAACCUACAUUUUCACAAUUUAAGAAACAGGAAAAAAAAAUUAGAUCUUCAGAAACGGAGAUAGGCGAUUCAAAAUUACAAAGUAUAAGAAGAAUAUGAAGUACCAGAAUGCUGGCGUGGACGGGGAUGCGAAGGCCGCCGGACGUGAGGAUUUGAACGUCAGGUUCGUAAAAGGCGGGAGCAUUUUCUUUAGUCAAUGUAGUGACCGGAGAAUGAACGUCGGGAUGGCCGGCGAUUGUGUUAGCGUUAUAACACACUUCCAUUGAACAGAAUUAAAGAAAGCAAAUGAGUGAUCUGUUUUGUUUUGGGCGUAAUGUGAGCGAAGCCUAUGGGAUAUUGUGAUUGCGCGUUUGGUUGUCGCGAACUUUAUAGACAGCUCGGUUGAGAAAAAGGCCAAUUCUAUCAGACUGUAUAACGACAAGCAUCAACAGUUAGAUUUUUUUUUUGCCCCUCUUCUUCUAAUAUUCAGCUCACGCACGCUCUUACGUGGGUUCGUAGACUGUACCUUCGUAAUUAUUUCCCUGAAUUACAUAUUAAUAUUUACUCGUGUGAAAAUGGAUUUCAUUCCCGAAAUUGAUGCAUGAAAAUAAUGGGUGUGUGUUCGUUAGUCAAGAACGACGACUUUAUAAUUGAUAACUUCGUCAAGGCUGUGGCAUUGACAAUUUUAUAAUCGUCAUUAAAAGUUUGGAUUAAAAAAAUAGUGGUUCUAUUCACGCGAAUUUGUUUUAUUUCUAUUUUUUAUAAUAAUUUUGCUAUAACGUGUUUCAGAUCCUUGAGAGUCAAUUCUUGUAAACUGUGUGUUUAUUAAUUAUUUUUGAAGUACUAAUCACGCAUAAAAUUUGAGAGUCAAUUCUCAUAAAUAGAUUAAAUUUUGGGAUUCAAAUCCUCUUAAAAUCUGAGUUAAAUUUGUACUUGUUUAGAUCAUUUGAUAUAUGACAAUUAUUAAAAUAGGUGACCAAGCUUUAUUUUCUUUAUUAAUUAUUAAUUAUUUUACCUACCUCUUAAACAGUGUGUUUUACCAUUUACUUUCACUUUCAACCUUUGAAAAAAAAUAAAAUAAAAUAAUUACUAAACUUUAUCAAAAUAUCUCUUCAUCCUAUAAGAUGACGGACUACAUAUUUUUCUCUUGAACUUUCUAUUCAAGAUGAAGAAGAAAAAGAUACAAUAAUCUUUGCUGGACAACAAUAGUCUGGUAGUAAGACGGAAAAUAUUGGUAAAUUCUUUUAUGGGGGUAGUGAAUAGUAAAUCACAAUUGAUAAUGGUGAAAGUGCAACGAAGCUUGGUUGGGAACUUGGGAUACGAUGGUCUAAUGCGAGCUUGUCUAGGUUGCGGUGAGCGACACUUGUUGGUUUUAAUAGUGGUCACGAUUGAUGAAAAGACCAGUAGCAGCAGCAACAAUUAUGGUUGAUUCUUGAAGCGACGGCUAGGGUUAUAGCUCAAUUUAUUAAAAGAUUUGGAUCUUUGAUGAGAGAAAUUUUAAUCUUCUAAAAAUUUGAUCACAAAAAUGCAACAUUUCUCCUAAUAAAUUGAACAAAAAAAUUAUUUAAGAGUUUGGUAAAACAAUUAAUAAAAAUAAAUCUUGUCCACACAUUUUAAUAAUUUUUUCAUGUGUCAAAAAGAUCAUAUUUAGCUCAAAAGCAUCUCAUUCUUAAAUUUUGAUUUGGUGAAUCCGAAGUCUGAAUUACUUUUUUUAAUUUUUUGACAUUGAACCGAAAGCAAAAGGUGAAUUUUUACUGUUUCAAAUAAAUGGUUUGAUGCAUCAUGUGACAUAAUAUAUAACAUUUUUAUCUACAGACAGCCAAAUUAGACCUGUUGAUAAUAUCAUCUAUGGGUCUUUAUCUGUUGAAUUUAAUUGCGCAAUUGAAGUAAACUCGUUUAUAGGCGCGUGGGCAUCGUUUAAAUUAAACUUCCAUAUUUAACUUGUGCGUUGAAUCUUUGCUGGACAACAGUCGGCUGGUAGUAAGACGGAUGAUGUUUUGAGUCCGACGUGGGAAGGAUAAAGCACCUUGUGAUCGAGGGUUAAGGCCGAGUAAACAACAGCGGCUUUUGAUGUUCCGAAGAGCCCUGCCUCAGUCUGACGUGUACCUCGUUCUCAUCCGUCCAGCUAGACAAUCCCCUCCCACUUGGAAGCUAUAAGUUCUCAAAAUCACACGUAUGCUCUCCUCGCCACGUGGCAGAAACCCAGUCGACGAGUGCCUCAGCAUAAUAUUUUUUUUUUUAUCUUAAUCACGAGGUAUUUUGGGGAGGGCUCCAACUGUGGAAUGCAUCUUUAAGCCCGUACCACAACUCAGAUUAGAAGUCUCCGCUCGAACCGGGAGGCACAUGUUCUCCCAACAAAGACAACUUCUCUGCGACUCGAACUGAGAAGCAAACCCAAUCAAACCACUUAAGGGGAUUCCAAUGACAGUGGAGCCAACACUUUGUCAGUUCAGCAUAAUAUUUUAUCAGACAAUUGCCCCCUGUCCAUUUAUUUUCCAACACGCGUCGGUCAUUUGACCGUGACCGCAUAACCAGAUGAUUUCAUUGGUGGAUGUAAUACGUGGGCCCAUGUUUUAAAAAAAAAAAAAUCCAACGGCCUGUAUUGAAAGGAGAUUUGUGUGGGAAGGAACCGAUUCUGCUUCGAACGUAAUCAUCAGCGACGGUGGUGCGCCGCGCUGCCGGACAAAUCCUUAAAAGGGUUACGUAUUAUUCUUUAAUUUAGUUUAAUAAUCAUAUUUUAAUCAAGUUGUAGGCUUUUCCUUUCUUUAAAUUAAUGAAGAGUUGUUUCGUGGGGCGUUUCUCAAAAAACAAUUAAAAAAUGGCAGCUUGCACAUCACAACGAGCAAUUGAUGACUUGACUUAAUCCCAAAUAGAACUUUUUGAAUAUUCAUUUCCUCCACGAAAAUUGGCCCUAAAGCUUGGAACCUUCUUCUUCCUAAUUACAGACGUGCUGCGCACGUGAUUAAUUUUCCCCUCUUGUUUAUGUAGGUAUAGUUAGGUUCGGAGGCGGUCAAACGUCGAGUCAAAUAUGUGAGAAACGAUCGUUCGAGUUACGUAUUGAUGCUGGCCAAUGCUUUUAGCGUCGUUUGGACAUCAAUAUGUGCUCUUUUAGGGAGUUCAUGAGACCCCCUUCUUUUUCUUUGGCCCCUCUUCCCGUCCAAAAGUUAUAGAAAUGUUAUAAUUUUGUUUGAGUUGUGACUGACUCCAGCCGAAACCUAAAUAUUGAUAACAUACAGGCAUUCUUCCUAAAUUUUUUAUGUUGGGUGGCACAAGAUGGCAAGUCUGCCUUACAUCGACAGCCAAUUUUGAAUAACAUUGAGAAGCACGAUUAGUAUUUGGCCAUCCUUUUUUGGAUAAUGAAAUAUUGUCUGGUUGAUAUUUGGUUUGUCAAUGCGAAAAGAAGUUAGAAAUAAAUAAUAUUCUCAGGCAUUUGAUCUAGUGGUCAUAAAUUUUUUAAUAUUGUUGGUUACUGUAGUUAAUGUAUAAUGAACUUCUUCUUUUCUCUCUCUCUCUCUCUUUUUUUUCAAAGACUUUUCAUAGGAGUAAUAUUAAACUUUCUCAAUGAUAUUCUAAUAUUUUUAUUCUAGACAUCGACAUGACAUCCUAUCUUCGGAAUAAUCAAUUUUGUAACCAUCUAAUCUUAUAAAUGUUAUUUAAAUUUGGAUUACAAAAGUUACAAUACAACUUUGAGAGUAUAUUACUAUUGUUUAAGUACAAAACAACUAAUAUUUAAGUCAUUUCUCAAUGUAUAUGAGUAAGAGUGACUUUAAGUAUAGGUGAACUAGACGGUCGCUUAGAACCCCAUAUGUUAUAAAAGCCCCAAUGUGAUUGUCUAGACCCCACAUGUUAGAAAGACCCAUUUUUUAAGUUGCUUAUAAUAAGAAAACUUAUUUUUAAGGCAUCUCUUUAAUUAAUAAUUAUUAUAUGAUUAAGAAUUUUUAUACAAAUUUUAUAUUUGACGCCUUAAUGUAAAAGAGUCAUAAAUGAUAGUAUUAUCUAACCAUUAACUCAUUAUUAGUUUUUCCAAGAAAAAGAUUAAAUUCUUUAUUUGUUUAAAAAAAUCCUUAAUUAUUUAACAUCAUAAAAUUUGGUGCACUCUUUUCUAUAAACAAAAUUAUUACAUUUAUUAGUUCAUUUUUGAAGUGAAAAAAAUAAAUUUUUGGAAUAAUAGUCCUAAAAAAAGUAAAAAAAUAUAUGUCAUUGAUUGCUUUUCUUUUUUUAAAUUUCUUACUAUCCUGUUGAUUAUUAAUAUUCAAUAUAUGACUAAAAUUUGAUUGAAUUUUGAACUCUUUUGUGUUUCUUUGAAUAUUAAAACAGCUGAAUGUAAGGAAACCAUAUAAAAAAAAAUACUCUAAAGCCUACACCGCAUACGAGUAGGAUGGAAGUCUUUGGAGCUAUUGUUUCAACACAAAAUCGUUGUAUCAACUUUAACUAACAGGCACCAAGAAAUGUACCGUUACGCUUUAAUAUACAGAGCUUCUCCUACGAAAAUCAAUGUCCUUAUUUGUCCUUUCAUUGCCCCUGCACCCCGCCCCCAUCCCUCUCUUUUGACGUGAAAAAGCCCAAACAACGAUAAUCUCAAGUCUCAAUAGUCUGUGUAUUACAGCCCAAAAAUGUAAAUGAGCCCAGAAAUCAAAUCUCAACAGCUUGUGUACGAAAAUGCACAGAUGUGCUAGCUAAACAAUGAAUUUGCAUUAGUAUCAAAAUGUGUUCGUGUAAAAAAGAAAUUAAUGUUGUAUUUACUUACGGAUUAGGGAAUCGGAAUUGUCCAGUUUUUGGUACUUGCAGUAGAGAAACAUUGUUAUCUCAAGUCGAACAAUUAAUUAUACGACAAGAUUUGGAUCCAAAGUGAUGUAGCUGUUGAUUUGUAAUUGUUGCCACAGCAACAUGGGCCUAAUCCUGUUGCAAGUAACUUACGAACCAACUAGCAAGUACAUUAUGGAAGAGUUGUGAUAUUUUUGACCCCUCAUUGUAUCUUAUCAACCCUUACUAAUCAUUUUUUGCUAAUACUUAUUUUAUUCUUAUAUGAAAUGACUUAAAAGGAUAAAUAGUUUUUAAGUAUACCCACAUGAUAAUUUCUAUUAAUAUAUAGUUUAGCUAAUAUAAUCUUUUAAACUCUAAUUUCUUUUCUUUUUUAAAAUAUAUUUUAUAAGUUUUUACGGUGGGUGUUUGGAAAAAAAGAUACAAAAUACAACAAGGAUAAAUUCUAGAUUAAGUAGGGUAUAUUGGAAGAUAACAAUUAGUUUAAAACUUUUAAUGUGAUUAGCUAAAAAGUGAAGGCUAAUGAGAGAUCAAAUACCACCACUCAUCGUGGGAUUCAGUUUCUUCUACAAAGGCUGCUGGAACACACCAAUAAAGAUAAUUUCCUCCGCAUUUGGCUCAUUGAUCGCAACAGAUUUGAACAAAUUAAUUUGGACAGACACGGGCCGCCCUUGCCCUUAGCGGCAGUCUCGCAUAGAACAUCUUGACCAGCCAGCCGAACGAUCUGAAAACUAGAGCUGACUUCAUAAUAAUGGCCUGGGAUUUUAUGGUUGGUGCCAUUCACAUUGAAAUUGAAUCAUAUCUAUGCUCGUGUAUUAACAACAAUUGCCAGUCAACAACGCUAACGCAAACUGGAUUUGAUCUCAUCCUCUUGCCUCUCCGCCAAGGCCAAUAGCAUUUUCUCCAAAAUUAAAUGACCAUUAGAAGAUGCAUUUUGGAUAUCUGAUUCUACAAUUAAAAUUUAAUUUUCAGAAUCUCUUCUAUCAAACUUGCAAUGACACUGUUAAAACUAAUAUCUAAGAGCAGAAUGAAUUCAAUCUAUUUUCAAAUAAUUGGAAAAAAAACAACAACAGCAUGCGGAAAGGCAGUCGAACUCGAACCCCUUUCAAGUCGAUUAACAUUUAUUUAUGUAUUGCAUUAUGGUUUCAGUAGUCAGAAAGUAGGUCCUGCAGGUGCUGGGCGCCGGCCUCUCUCUGAUCAGUUGGGUCAAUUCUCGCUGUCUGCCACUCAAUUAAUUUCGCUCAAAAUGAUCAGCUUACUAUACGUAUCGCCAUAUGUGAGCUUCAUUGCCCGUGAUUGGUGGCCUUCCUUUUCUCGAGACGACAGCCUAGCUAUCGGAUGGAUUACAUUACCCAACUUAAAUUUAUGGUAUACUAGUUGUAUCAUCCAAUCGCGGCAUUUGAAUUACUAUGACCCAUUAUAUAUUUUCAUUUUCCGUCCUCAAAUUUUAAGGAUUUUGAAGAAACUAAAGGUUCAUUUACAUUAAUUUUCAUAUCAUUAACAAACUUCAUCUAAAAUUUCUUUUAUUUAAAAGAUGAAAAAUAAUAUACUUUUGUGGGGAAUUUUUUUUUUCUUUUUAACCUUGGAGUUUGAUGCAAUAACUCAUUUUAUCAUUGUUUUCAUUUUUUUUUAUAUAUAAAAAGAUAGUGCAUUUUAUCCCUACUUUCUAAACAAAAACUUAAAAUACUCUUUCAUAAAUUUACGGUUAGUUUAAUGUAUAAUUUAUUGUUGGUAAAAUAGGAUUUUCAAUAGAUGCGAACCAUUUUAAAAUAAAAUUUUCAAACACAAUUAAAUAAUAUUUAAUUAACUUUUGACAUAAAUUUAAAUUUAAGGAUAAUUUAACAUCAUAAUUUUAUUAAAGUGAGGAUAUUAGUAAAAUACAAUAUAUAUAUAUAUAUAUAUAUUCCAAUACAUUAGAGACUGUAGUUUUUUUUGUUAGUGUAUUAAAAUCUAUGUUUCUUUAUUUGUUAAUGACAUACUCAUUUUAACAAAAUAAGGAUACCCUCAUUAGAUAAUUAUUACUGAUUAAUUAAUUAAUUAUUAUUUUUAUCAUAUUAAAGUCAAGGACAAGCUAAAAGACCAAAAAAAAAAUUAUAGUGCAUGUGAAUUCUAUUUUUUAAUUUUAUUCUAUAUAUUAUUUAGUAUUAUUAUUGUUUAUUCAUUAAGCUAUCCUUAAAUUACAAAUAUAUAUGUAGGAUGUUAUAUGUUAUUUAAUUGUAUUUGAGAGUUUUAUUUUAAAAUCUUCUUAAUUGAAAAUCUUAUUUUAAUCUCAAUGAAUUAAUGUUAAACUAAUUAAUGAAAAAGUGUUUUAAACUAUUAUUUAAAUAGCAUAGAUGAAAUAAAUUAUUACAACAAAUCUUAAGAAUUAAAAGUACUUUUUCCCAUUUUUGUCGUGUCAUUUAAUAAAUUUUUAUCUUAUCUCGUGCAAUUUAAUGGCCUCAUCAUCCACAAGUAAAUUAAAAUAUCUUUUUCUUCUAUCGUACACUAUUAAUGAUCUGUUUUUAUAGCUUAUGGCAUGAUUUUAAGAUUUCGGUGUGCACUAUUUGCAGCCGAUGGCUAACAUCAUAUCAUAUUUACACAAAUUGCUCACAUUGGCCAUGUCAACAUCCGGCCAGCCAACCAGAUAGGGCUAACUUGAGGUUGAAUCUCAAAGACUUGGACCAAAUUAGUUAAACCAGCGGCAGCCACGUGUACCAAUCCUAAUUUUAACUUGCAUGUGCGACCUAACAAUGUGGUUACUUAAAUGCACACUAAUAAUUAGGUCAUAAUCAUCAUUAUUAAAUAAAGAAAGUACACUGUUGAAAAAUUAUGAGAAACACAACACUUGUCAAAUAUCUAGUUGUAGCCAACUUCAGUUUCGAGUCCUAGUCGACGGACACAAGUCUCUCGGCCGCUCGCAUCGAAAGCAGGACUUCCAUGGCUUGCAUGUGCUCCUUUUCUCCUUUUUCUCUUCACACACAAUCUCAUAUCACAUUAUCUUUAUAAUCUUCACUGGACCCUAGGGCACAAGACCCUAAUCUAGCUAGCUAGCUGAUUUUACUCUUUAUUUUUUAUUUUUUAAAUCUAUUUUUUUUAUUAAAAAAAUAGAUUUUCUUUAUGGUUUGUUUCCAAUCGCAUUUGUAGAAACAACUGUUUUUGUGCAUGGUCAAAGAUAGUCUGCAGAUUGUGGAGUAAUUUUUAUGUUCCCCAAGAAAAGAGUAAUACGUGGACGAUUUUGAAUAUAUUGCGCAUUGAGAUAGGCCUUUUCUUGUGUCUUUACUUGCGAUUUUCUUUUUGCUUUUCGUCUUCUGGGUCUUUUUUGUUCGUUGAAUUUAUGGCUUUAUAAUAAUUGUGUACGAGAGUGAUUUUCCAAGAGAGAGAUACAUUGAGAAAGACAGAGAGAGCUCCAAAUUAAAUUAAAAAUUCAUUACAAAUUAAUACAGAGAUAAUUUUAUAGUAUAUAACCAACACUUCUGCACUUGCAUUAUCUUAGCCCGCCAAGAUUCUCGAAAGAAUCCCCGGACAGUUCUAAGAGCAACAAGUCGAGGUUGUAACCAUCAGAUUUGAAUAAAAAUGAAAGAAAAGAAAAAAGAAAAAGACAAGAGUAGAAAGCAAACAGGAUAAAAAAAAAAACCGCCAAGAUUCUCGAAAGAAUCCCCGGACAGUUCUAAGAAAAAGACAAGAGUAGAAAGCAAACAGGAUUUGAAUAAAAAUGAAAGAAAAGAAAAAAGAAAAAGACAAGAGUAGAAAGCAAACAGGAUAAAAAAAAAAAAGAGAGAGAGGGAAGAAGAAAAAGCCAAAUAAAUACUAUAGUUAGGCUUUUCUUCUGUUCCCUCAAUUUUGGCUUCUACCAGUUUUAAUUAAUUCUAUCUAACUAAUUAUAUCCCAACAAACGCAAUAAUCACUUGCAGAAAAAAAUAAUAUUGUUUUCAAAUGGG
rnacentral:lncRNA from 1 species